rnacentral:lncRNA from 1 species
CCUUCAAAUCUUCAAAAACGUCCAUCCUCAUGUCUCCAUGCUUGCACUAUCCAAUCUUGGCUCAAAAAUGCUCUAAAAUGCUCCAAAAUGCACUUUUUUGCCAACUUAGUUAUUAUGACCUACAAACACACGAAAAUAGCUUAAAAUACAUAAUUAACUAAGAAAUAACAACACAAAUGCACAAGAACAAGCUAACUAAGUCGCAUAAAUAUGCUCCUAUCAAAUUCCCCCACACUUAGCUUUUGCUAGUCCUCGAGCAAAACAAAAGAAAUGAAACGAAACAAAACAUAACCUAACCUUCCAACAUUUGCCUCAGGGAUUUUCAAUGAAACAUGACAUGCCGCAAACAUCACCACUUACAUAGAAUUAAGCAUUUCGUACCCUCAAGCAUACUUAAUCAUAGUCACCAUUCACUAGCUCACAUUUAAUCAAUUAAAACAACAUUUUGAAUAUAGUAACAUGCCUUAGAGAAUUUCCUCAAUUCCUUACUAGAUACACUCUUAUUUUCACACAAGAAUUUCUGACUACACUCUCUAUACUAGGUAUAUGUGAGAAGAUUGAUGUAAACAUGAAAACUAGUACUCACAUAUGUUUUUUAACAAAGAAGCAAUUUCUAGAAUUAUUAAUUCAUGUAUAUAUAUGAUCUCAUGAAUGGAAUGCUACUACUUAGAUGCGAGAACCAGUGACACCAUAUGCUCAUAUCAAUUUCAAACUCCACAAAUUGAAACACACAACACUCGAGAUUGAAGUCAAGGGUUGUAACAGGGCUUGGGGGUAAUGGCUAACAAAGAAAUGAUAGGAAUAACAAACGUUCUUAAAGCGAUAGCAAGCAAAGUAAUGGAAUUGACACUUGGAAUUUACUUUGGAAUGCAAAAAUCAACAUUUAAACACAAAGGGAAGAUUCAUGCAACACUUAGGGUCGAAUUCAAUGCUUUGGACCUUUUCUUCAACAAACAACACUUUAGAGCUCUUUCUCAUAAAUUUUUCUACUCUUUUCACAACUUUUCUUCUUUUCAUUCUAUUUUCCACGAAUUUUUCUUUUUCUUUUCCUUUUCUACCCGUGCCUUAUGAAGGACUUUGGCACACACACACACAAGAAUCACUUCCCCCACACUUGUUUUUCUGCAAGAGUUCAACAAAAGGAAUUCCUUCUAAAUUAUGCUUUACUAUGCUUCAAGAACAAGGGUAUGGAUGGUCCUAAUCUAGGCUAGGUGAGGAUACUGUGGGUAACAAAGAACAUAGGCAACACAAGGCUCAACGGGGUUAAACUUAAACACAUAAUGAACAGGAUAGGCUUUUUGGCUCUUGGCCCACUAAACAACUUCAACUUGAAUAUGUGUUAUGCAAAUCAAUAACAUACUUUGAAUGAAAUAGGCAUGAGUUCUAGCAUUUGGAACUAAAUAAUGAAACGCCUUCUAAGUAGCAACUAAGCAAAGAAUAAUGAGAUCAUGCAACGACUUUAGAAAACAAAAAAAAAAUUGCACAGAUUAAUAACUCUCCAAAUAAAUGUUUAGGCCCAAGUCUCUCAAGGAUGUAACGUUAGUUUGAGUUCCUUCUUUCAAGCAUGUUACAAAAAAAACUGAUUUUUCCUUUUAUGAUUGCAUGUGAAUUCAUAAAUUAUAACCAUAACCAAGUAUACACCAAAGAAUAAAUCAAAUUUUCAUCCAUGUUUAUAACUCUCUUUAACAGUCAUGUAAUUAAAAACCAAAUCCUCAUCAUUGUGUUGGAAGGUACCCUAAGACACAAAUAAACAUACAAAAACAACUCUUUUUGGGUUUUUCAAAAUAAUUUUUCAAAUUUUUAAGAGAUUUUCAGAUUUGUAUGUCAAAACACACUGAAACACUCCAAAACAGCUUAAAACACUUAAAACAGCAAGGAACAACACUAGAAGUAAUGGGUGAUAAACUCCUACGAAUUUCAUGCAAAACAAUGGUUAUCUCCCCACACUUAAAUCAAACAUUGUCCUCAAUGUUUCAAGCAUAAACUCACACAAAAAAACAAGCAAACAAACAAACAACGAAUAAACAUGACAAGUAUGGCAAAGUAAAAACCAGACAGAGUAGAGUUUAAGAACGCAAAUCUGGUUUUGGAGAUAGAUGAUCUUGUUGUCUUUCCACAGCUUUGAUCUCGAACUGGUUUGGAAUUCUGAGUGAGGAAUAUGAAAGUUCAUUGGUUUCAAAUCAGACUCCUUCUGCUGGGUUGAUUUGAUUGUGCACUCUGCAUUCUUCUCUUGCUUUCUUUCUCCUUGUCCCUAGCUGAGGAUGAAUUCGCAAAUUGUCUCCACAUGCUUCGAGGUAUCAUUUUCACUUCCCUUAUCUAUUCCCCAGGCAGAUGUGGUAGACGAAGAGGAAGCAUAAAAUGAUGAAGAUGAGUACUGGAGAGCAAGGCUAGGUAAGCAACCAGGAAGGGGUUCCAGGUCGUCGGUUCCAGAUUGGAAGAUUGAUACCAAGUGCUGGCUGAUUGCUCUCUUUCUCCUUGUCCUCAAACAACGACAAUGAGAAUGACAGGGAGAAAGCAUGAUAUGAGAUACUCUUGCUUUCAACCUUCAUGAUAUGAAAUACUUUUGCUUUGGAUGGGUUAUUUGCAGAGGUACCCCAAGGAAUAAGGAACACUGGGUAACUCGAGAAGGUUUGUUGGAAAGGCAUUCUCGGAGAAGAAAAAGGGUUAUGUAUGUCUGCCUUGCAAUGGAGGGUGAAGGGUGACAUUUAUAAGAAUUAAUAACCGGUACUAUUCUUUCACUCUUAUCAGCAACCGUUGGAUGAUUUAAUAGUAAACUUCAUGUGCUUUCUACUUCACAAGAGAUCUUCGACAAAUUGCCCGUAAUUUUUGCAAAGCUGACUGUGCAUGUGACAGGCGCUGACACAUCUGGAAAAACAAGUGCCUCUUCGAUAUCUGGAAACGGCGUUUUGACAAACUACCCGUGAUUUCUGCAAAGCUGACUCUGCAUGUGACAGAUGUUGACACGUCUCGAAAAGGAGAUGGUUGGAAUCGGCGCUUCGACAACUGCCCGUGAUUUCUGCAAAGCUUACUCUGCAUGUGACAGAUGCUGACACGUCUGGAAAAGCAGAUGCCUCUCCGAUAUCUGGAAUUGCCUCUUUAAUCUCUAAAACCCCGUCAAAUGCAGAGGUUGCAUGUGACAAGUGUGGACAAAUCUGGAAAAGAAGAUUGGUCGUGGUUUCUAAGCAAGCCCAACUUUUGAGAAAGCUAGCGCCUCUUUGAUUUUUGAGUUGGCCUCUUCGAUUUCUGAGCUUACCUCUUCAAUCUCUAAAAUCUCAUCGAGUGCUGAUUUUUUUAAAGGUACGCAGGACGUUAAAAGCACACUUGAAUUUCUGCCUAUAGAAACUCCCUUCUUGCACUUCUACGAUAUUGACUUGUCCGACCUCUUCUUUCUUUAACACCUCUGAAAAUGUCUGGCCCCUCCGACCGUCGUUUUGACUUGAACCUUGGUGAAGAGGUAGUCCCGCCUUCUCCAGACAACAUAUGGCGCCCAUCCUUCAUAUCCCCUACUGGUCCCCUUACAGUUGGGGAUUCGGUGAUGAAGAAUGAUAUGACAGCUGCGGUGGUGGCCAGGAACCUUGUCACUCCCAAAGAUAAUAGACUACUUGCCAAACAGUCUGAUGAGUUGGCUGUUAAGGAUUCUUUGGCUCUCAGUGUGCAGUGUGCGGGUUCCGUGUCUAAUAUGGCCCAACGCCUAUUUGCCCGAACCCGUCAAGUUGAAUCAUUGGCAGCUGAAGUGAUGAGUCUCAAGCAGGAGAUUAGAGGGCUCAAACAUGAGAAUAAACAGUUGCACAAGCUCACACAUAACUAUGCUACAAACAUGAAGAGGAAGAUUGACCAGAUGCACGAAUCUGAUGGUCAGAUUUUACUUGAUCAUCAGAGGUUUGUGGGUUUGUUCCAACAGCAUUUGCCUUCGUCUUCUGGGGAUGUACCGUGUAAUGAAGCUCCAAAUGAUCAACCUUCGAUGCCUCCUUCUUCUGGGGCUCCGCCGACUGUUGAGGCUCCGCCGACUACUGAGACUUCUCCUAAGCAGCCUUUGUGAAGGCUCCCUCUUGUAUUUAUCUGCUUAAUGUUCCUUUCUUUUUUUAUGAAUGUAAAAAUACCUUGCAUAACUGUCAAUGUUUCAAAAAUAAACCCACAUUAAAAACAAUUAAACAAGCAACAAAUAAAAAUGACAAUCAUGGCAAAAUAAAACUACAGAAAAUGGAAGGUUUUUAGAAAUGCAAAACUGAUUGUGGAGCAAUUCAAAAAUCUUCCUUAUUUGAAUACAUGGGUUGCCUCCUAAUAAGCGCUUGCUUUAACAUCUUGCAGCCGGACGAUACCUCCAGUCACACUCCUCUAGGUCCCAUGGCAUGGAAGUGAUCUUCGAAUGGAAGGUGAUACUUGAAGUGAUCGGGCAAUGGUGUAAAUUCUAGUGUGGGUGCCUGAAUCAUCAAAAUCAGCAAGUUAGUGGAAAACGUAUGUAAAAUUGGAGAAUAUGACUUACUUGCUUUGUCCGACAAGAACUCAAUGACAAACACCACUUCUUUGAAAGUUUCAGGGAUAUUAGACUUGGCCAGAUUGAGUGUGAUGGUUGGGACUUGUCCCGUGUCAUAAAAUUCAACUUCUUUAGGAAUGGUUGUCUCAAUCACAUCCUCUUUGAUGCACUUUACAUCUUCUCCAGCCACUACUUUCUCUUGAAUCAUUCUUCUUGGUGUACAAAGUCCUUUGAACAUUUCAACACAAUCUAGAACUUGAUUUGUUGCACCAAGAAUUGGAAUAUCAUUUUGCACCUUUAGGAAGGCUUCCACGAUGUUUUUUUUACUCUCUUCUUUCUUGGGAAUCAAAAACCUGCGAGGAAAAAGGACGUUCGGAGGAAUAACAUUAGAAUGAAAUGAAAUUGGGACGUCCUUACUUGUGGUGGGUGGUUUAGAGAGCUUAGGGGGCUGCGGCAAGGGUUGUUCUACCCUUUCUGUGUGUAUGUCUUCUUCCUCCUCCUCAAUCAGCAGCUCCUCAUCCACUUCUAGGCUAUGUUUGGAUGUUUUUAGGUUAGCUCCAACCUCCAUAGCACUUCCCAAAGUGAUAGCAUCAUGGAUUUCAAAAUCUUCCUUCGAAUUUUCAAUAGCUGAGUUGGGGAGUUCACUUUGCUCUUGAAUUUGUGCCAUGAACUCCAUCUGCCCAGUUUGCUUCUCCAAUUCACCCGUCUUCUUGGCUUGAUUUUGCAUCUCUUUGUUUUGAUUUUCUACUUCCUGGUUCAAAGAGGUGAGUAACUUAUUAAACAUAUCAUUAUCCAAAGACGUACCUGAAUUGAAUUGGGCAGAUUGUUGUGGUGGCUAUGAUGGUUCAUAUGGCCAGUGAUAGAACUCCUCUGAUGGCGGCAAAUAUUUUUCUUGUUGUGAGGCCUGCACCAAAGAGUUUAAUUCAUUAAGAAUUUGAUUGUAAUCUAUUGAUGAAUCUGAGUUUGAUUGGGCAUAUUGUAUAUGAGAUUGUAGUGGCUGCAUAAGUCUUGAAUAGAACUCCUCAUAUGGCUGCCAAUAUGCUUCGUGUUGAACUUGUUGAGCUUCCCACCACAUAGAGUUUGAAUGAUCACUUCAAUCUCUUUGUAGACAUUGAUUGGCUUGAUAUCCUUGCUUAUAAGACGCACCAAAUGUAGGGACACUUUGCAUUGUGGUCCUUUUGGCAUACUGCGACAAUUGAGAAGUAAGAUUUGCCAAUUGAGCUUGAAUGCUAGCAAAAUCCAUGUCCUACUUCUUUAGUAUCUUAAAUCAAAGAAAGAGAACUAAAUCAAAUAUCAAAAAUUAAAAUAAACAAAACAAAACCAAAUAAGAAACUAAAAACAAAAGACACGAAAAGAAACAAAGUCAGUAACUAAAACAAAAGACACGAAAAAGAAAUAAAAAGAAACAACGGGGGAUUAGCAAAGUUGCUAAUCCCCGGCAACGGCGCCAAAAAUUUGAUGCGAAAAUUAACUUAACACACAAAUUAAACCCUCUUGUUGUCAAAUUGUAGUAUAAAUGCAAGUAGGGAUCGUUCUAGGCCGGGGAUUAGGAUGGAUUGCUAAAACACUUGAAAAUGACUUAAAUAUGUGAAAACAGACUUAAAAGCAUGAAAUUAAACUUACAAGACUCAAAACAAAGCCACAAGACUCAAAACAAAUUAUGGAGACUCAAAAAUGCUCUAAAAUCUCCAAAAUGCACUUUCUUGCCAACUUUGUUAUUAUGACCUACAAACACACGAAAAUAGCUUAAAUACAUAAUUAACUAAGAAAUAACAACACAAAUGCACAAGAACAAGCUAACUAAGUCGCAUAAAUAUGCUCCUAUCAGUAAGGUUCUUGCUCAUUGUAACCUCCUGAGUACAUUGAUACCCUUGUUUGGACGUGAAUGCUUCGAAAACCAGAGAAAUCCCUAACCUCGAUUUUGUGCAUUGUUAAUGAAAAAUGGUUGAAAAAUGAGUGAGAAUAAUGGGUUUAAAGUUUUACCUAGUUUUCCGGCCACCGGCGACUCGCCGGAGAAGAUGACGGCAUAUUCCGUCAGUUUGGAUGGAAUAUGUUGAAGCCGUCAGUCAGUUUUAACGAAAUCUGUUAGGUUUAAUGGAAUAUUCCCUAACGGUGGUUAGGGAAUUCGUCAGGUUUGGCCACGUAGGGGCGCGUUUUGCCGUGCCCUUGCCGGCGCGUGAGGGUUCCAAAAAAAUUUCUAAAAAUAUGGGGAUGAUCCUGAGGUUAUGUAGAUCACUGUGGUAUAUUCAUAUACCCAAUUUGAGCAAUGUAUGAGAAGUUAUUAGCUAGUUUUGCCUAUGUGCUUUAAAAUAGCAUUUUUAUAGUUAAUUUGCAUAUAGGUGAGACUUAUCCCGAGGACGAGCGUAUCCACGGGCGACUCGGGGGUUACGACCUUUUGACAUACUAGUGAGUGGGCUUUUGUUUUCAGUAUAUAUUUAUAUACUUGAUAUAUUUCCCAGAAAUGCAUUUUAAGGAAAGUAUGCUUUGAAAUAAUAUGUCAAAUGCUUUUAGAUUCUGAAUAUGCAUUUUAUGGUUGUAUAUAUAUAAAUGUGGUGCUAUGGAGCCACAUGUAAGUUCAGGUAUGUUAUGUUGUGACUUAUCGAUGAUGUGAUAUGUGAAAUGAUGUUGAACUUAUAAAACUGCACCUAGGGUGAUUGAGAUUUAGCCAGAAAUAUAAAGUACAGACUUGUUUAUUUACGUCACCUCCCGCACUAUAUGCUCAUAUUAGAUCCAACUUAAGUGCACAGUGUUGUCGUACAGACCUUAUUCAUGGUUUCGACUCGUAGGUGACUAGUGAUUUAUCGCCCGACUAUUAUGAGAGAAUAUAAUUGAGCAUAAUUAUAUUUCACCAAAUCUUGUCGUAUAGACCCUUUUUAGUGGUUCCGACUUAUAUGCAAUAUAUUGCCGUAUAGGUCAUUAUAGUGACUCCAGCUAGAUUGACUUUUGAGCUAUGAAUUCAGCCGUACAGACCACCUCAGGGGUUCCUGCUAGCAUAUCAUAUAUCUAUGAAAUCAUUCUUACCUGGAUUGUUUACUUUGUUAUAUUUUGGCAUGACAUACAUAUGAAAAUGAUUAUGUGAAGCAUGAAUUGAAUUGUUAUGAUUUCAGAUAUAAAUAUAUAUUAGACUUGGCAGUUUUUGACACGACACGGUAACACGACACGAAAACGACACGAAAAUAACGGGUUUCGGGUCAACACGAUAACUUAUCGGAUCACUAUCGGGUGACUCGUUAAGAACCCGUUAAUAACGGGUUCUUAACCGGUAUACACGCGGGUAACAUGUGGGUAACCCGUUUCGACCCGUUAAGAAAAAAAUUAUUUUAAUAAUUUUAAAGUUUAAUUACUAAAAGAUUUAUUAUAAAAUACAAUAGUCAUAUAUAUACAAUAUAUUCUAUAUUAAAUAUAUAGUUUUGAAUUAUCGUUCUAUAUAAAUUAUAAAAAUAAAUAAAAAAAUGUUUUAGUCAUUAUUUAUUUUUAUUAUGAGAAUUCCUUAUUAUCAUUACUAGGAUAAAUUUUACAUAACACAUUCUUGUCCAAAAUUUAAAUAUACUAGUUUAGUAUUUGUAUAUGCAAGAACUAAGAAGAUAUACAUACAAGUAUGAAAAAUGUGAAAGAAUAUAUAAAUAUUUGUGAUUUAUCAUUAUUCCUCUACGAAUAGAUAAUUGUUACACUUACAUUAUCGUUUAGAUUUUUAAAAUCCUUCAAACCCUCAUGAAUAAUGUUUUUUAUUUGAGGGAAAAAUUAAUAAUAAUUAUUGUAGAAGUGUAAAAAAUGUAAAAAUAUAUAUAUACAAUCACUCAUAUAUAAAAAAAUGUAAAUGCUUUAAAUUAAAGAUCAAAUUUAUUCAUUACAUUCUUAUAGGGUCGAAGAGUGUAUAUGUACAAAAUCAUCAAAAACGAAGCUAAAAUAACCGUUAAAUUGUAAUUUUUUGUUUAUAACCGUCGAAAACUUUUGUUCCGUUACAUAAUCUCUGAAUGUUUGUUUUUUACGAUUUUUUAAGUUUGCAAUCUUGGAAUGUGUACAAAUAAGUUUGACGGUUGGAUCGUUGAAAAAAGUUUCAUAGAAUGCAUAUUGCGUCAAAACGGUAUAUUAAACAAACACUUAGAGUUAAUAUUAUACUUCUAUUAAGUAUAAAAUAAGUUUUUGUGCUAUCCACUAGUGUAAAUACUUUAAAUUAAAGAUAAAAUUUAUUCAUUACAUUCUUAUAGGGUCGAGGAGUGUAUCUGUAAAAAAUCAUCAAAAUCGGAGCUAAAAUAACCGUUAAAUUGUGAUUUUUCGUUUAUAAUCGUCGAAAACUUUUGUUCCAUUACAUAAUCUCUGAAUGUUUGUUUUUUACGAUUUUUUACAUAUGCGAUCUUGGAAUGUGUACAAAUAAGUUUGACGGUUGGAUCGUUGAAAUUUUUUUUGUAGAAUCCAUAUUGCGUCAAAACGAUAGAUUAAACAAACACUUGGAGUUAAUAUUAUACUUUUAUUAAGUAUAAAAUAAGUUUUUGUGGUAUCCACUAGUGUAAAUACUUUAAAUUAAAGAUCAAAUUUAUUCAUUACAUUCUUAUAGGGUUGAGGAGUGUAUCUGUAAAAAAAUCAUCAAAAUCGGAGCUAAAAUAACCGUUAAAUUGUGAUUUUUCGUUUAUAACCGUCGAAAACUUUUGUUCCAUUACAUAAUAUCUGAACGUUUUUUUUUUACGAUUUUUUACGUAUGCGAUCUCGGAAUAUGUACAAAUAAGUUUGACAGUUGAAUUGUUGAAAAAAGUUUCGUAGAAUGCAUAUUGCCUCAAAACGGUAGAUUAAACAAACACUUAGAGCUAAUAAAGGACUUCAAAACGCAUCUCCUACACGUGACAAGCACAUGUAUACGACGCGCCUUGAAGUGGGGGCAUUUGUAGACAUCGAAAUUUCGGUAAAUAAAUGUUGACCGAUAAAUCAAAGUGUCAACGCUCAUGUAUUACAUAAAUUUUACACGUAGCGUGUGACUCAACGAAAAUUGAAAUGAGUUGGAAAAGUCAUCAAAUAGGACACGUGUCAACACCUGGCAGAAACGACUUAUUUCAUCUGGGAUAUUAUAUUUAAAAUUAGGCCUUGGAAAAUUCUAUAAAUACAAGCCCAUUUCAUUCAUUUGAGGGGGAACCAAAAUCAUUAGGCAAAAUUCUUGAAGCUCUGAAGCUCUGAAGCUCUGAAACUCCGAAGCUUUCAAGCAGGUUCCUGAAGAAUCAAGAAAUCUCUCUUCGUUCUUCGUUCAUCAUUCUUCGUUCAUCGUUCUUCCAAGAUCAAGCCCCAACGGCCCUUUGGAUUAACAAUCAUCCACCACUUCAAGAUCAAGCCCCGACGGCCCUUGAAGAAAGUAUUCAUCGUUCAUCAUCCGUUCAUCCAAGAUCAAGCCCCAACGGCCCUUUGGAUCAACAAACGUCGACAAAUCCACACAUCCAACCGUUCUUCAAGAUUAAGCCCAAAAACCCUUGAAGAUCCGUUCAUCACUGUUCUUCAAGAUCAAGCCCAAAAGCCCUUGAAGACCCGUUCAUCAUCGUUAUUCAAGAUCAAGCCUUAACGGCCCUUGAAGAAACACUCAUCAAACCCCAACGGCUCAUUGAAGAUCCGCUCAAAUCCACCUUCAAAGAUCAAGCCCAUGGCCCCUUGAAAGAAACUUCCAACAGUUCAUCCAAGAUCAAUCCUCGACAGCCCUUGGAUCAACGAAACAUCCACAAAUCAACGCCUUACGGAGAUCGAAUCAGAGGAUCAAAAUUGAGAGAGAUUGUAAUCCAAAAUCAUCAAAUACAUAAUAUUUGUUUGUGCACGUUGUUCUUGUCUCUUUCGUUUCAGGAAUUUUCCGUGUUUACAAAUUGGCACACCCGGUGGGAUCAUCUCUGCCUCUCAUCUCUUUCUCCGUUCAAGAAAAUCAAAACGCACUUCCAAAAUUAAUGGCAUCAAGGAAGGCUCAAACUGCUCCCGCAACUGGUGUCACUUUGGGCAUCACGACUCGAAACAUGGCAAGAGCUACUUCUGCCACCUCUUUCACCUCUGCAUCAACUCUGCCAAGGGAACAAGAGCACCCAAGGCACGAGCCUUUGAUCACCUUAGCCUCACUAAGGGCACCAAGGGGGAAGCCCAAGGAAAUACUCCGAAUCCAUGCUCUCCGAUGCCGAUUCAAGCGGCAGUGCAGCCAUGCAAGUCAUGACCAUUGGAGCAACUUCAAUCGAUGAGCAGCUGGUUCAGAUGAAUGAAGCGAUUGCAAGGCUAACACAGAUUGUGGAAGAAAAAGACUUGCAAAUCGCUGCACUCGUCAGCCGACUGGAGCCACAGGACGACGAGAACCCUAACCCAGAAGAUGAGCCUACGGUGGAGAGAAUUGAUGAGAAGCCGGAGCCAGACCAAGCAGCGACACUCAUGGGAUCUCUUUCUAUCCAUCAGCUGCAGGAGAUGAUCACCAACAUCAUCAAGGCAUAGUACGAAGGGAGCUCACAUACCUCAUUGUUCUACUCGAAGCCCUACUCCAAGAAGAUUGAUGCCCUGAAGAUGCCAAUGGGUUAUCAACCACCAAAGUUCAUGUAGUUUGAUGGAAAAGGAAACCCGAAACAGCACGUUGCCCACUUUGUUGAAACUUGCAACAACGCAGGACCCGAAAGGGAUUACCUUGCCAAGCAGUUUGUGCGCUCGCUAAAAGGAAACGCCUUUGAGCGGUACACGGACCUAGAGCCUGAGUCCAUCAACAGCUGGGAUCAAUUAGAGCGGGAAUUCCUCAACCACUUCUAUAGUACCCGCCGCACUGUGAGCAUGCUAGAGCUAACGAGCACAAAGCAGUGGAAGGACGAGCCAGUCAUUGACUACAUCAACAGAUGGCGCACUCUAAGCCUCGACUGUAAAGACAGGCUCUCGGAAACCUCUUCAAUCGAGAUGUGCAUCCAAGGCAUGCAAUGGGGUUUGCAAUACAUCCUUCAAGGCAUUAAACCACGGACCUUCGAGGAAUUGGCCACUCGUGCCCAUGACAUGGAGUUGAGCAUCGCCCAUCAUGGGAAGAAAGAACCGAUCGCCGACUACAAGAACGACAAAGUUGUUGGGCCAAAGGAGGAGAAGACUGCGUGGAAACCCACCAAAGAGACAAUGACGGUUAACACAACUCCCGUCAAAAUCUCCACACGAGGCAAGGCGAUUCAAACCGAAGCUUUUCGUGAUCAAGAGAUGCGUAGACGCACUUUGAAGGAGCUUGAGGAGAAGAUUUAUCCGUUCCUCAACUCUGAUGUGGUUGCCAUGCUGGAUGACCUGUUGGACAAGAAGGUGAUCAGUUUGCCUGAGUGCAGACGACCGGAAGAGAUGAAUCGUACCGACAGCCCAAGAUACUGUAAAUUCCACCACUUUAUCAGCCAUCCGACAUAAAAGUGCUUCGUGCUGAAAGAUCUCAUCAUAAAGCUGGCUCAGAAAGGAAUCAUCGAGCUAGAUCUUGACGAUGUGGUGAAGUCAAACUAUACCACCAUCACUUUUGGCUCUUCCGACUCAAAGUUUUCACUUCAACCACUGGGGGCAUCCUCCAAGAUAAGCAAAGUUGAAGGAUUGACUCAAGUCACUCCUAAGAAAUUGCACAAGAAGCAUACGUCUCCUCCACAAGUCCGCCAAUCGGAAAUGGGGCAAAGCAGCUCUUGUCAACCUUCAAAGCAACGUGAACGUGUUGAAGAUGAUGAAAUUUCGACAUAUAGAUCGUCCAUCCCCAUCACGAUGCGUGAUUUCUUGCCCGAAGACUUCUUCAAUCACUCGGUCAAGGCUCCUUGCUAUGAAGAUUAUGAGGAACGCCUCUCCAAAAUUGCUUGACAAAUUCACCAAUGCUCCUUGUUCGCACGAGCCUAAACUGCAUGGCACAAUGCUCCUGGUCUGCACGAGCAUAAAAGGCAACACCAACGCUCCUGGUCUGCACGAGCAUAAAAGGCGACAACCCAACGCUCUUUGCCUGCACGAGCUGAAACUGCAACAUGGCACCAAAUGCUCCUUGCCUGCACGAGCUGAAACUGCAACACGGCACCAAAUGCUCCUUGUUCGCACGAACCAAAGCUCAUUGUCUACACGAGCCUAAACUGUAGGACACGAGGCUCCUCGCCUGCACGAGCCUAAAACUGCAAACGGCACAAAAAAAGAAAAUACCAAAAAAAAUAUAUGUAUGUAUUCGAACUACGUUAAGACUUGAUCUCUUCUUUGGAAGGGUACGUAGGCAGCUUGAAUAUUCAAUUUCGAGUUCAGUCACAUUAAAAUAAAAAAUAAGGGUUUUAUUAAUGAAAGUCAAUUUCAUUACAAAAAAAAAAAAAAAAAAAAAAAGAAUACAUAUGUGAUUACUAUGUACUUAAAAAAAUUACAUAUAUUAAAAAAAAUUAUAUAUAUAUAUAAGUAAAUAAAUAAAAAAGGAAGUGGAUGGAUCAAAGUUCUUGGGCUAGAAAAUCUAGAAGGUUCAGCAAUCAUUUAAUUGGGGCUUGAAAUCGUGAUGAGCCCAGCCACAAAUCCAGCUCCCCAAGUCUCUCUCUCAACUCAUUUCUCCUCAGCCCAUCAAUUAAAGUCCAAGCUCAGCGGCAGAGUCGGCCUGAUCAUUCAGAACAGUCCCAGCUCUCCCUCAUCUCCUCAUUGUUGUUGAAGAUGAUCAAAUCUACCUAGCCGUGGUAAAUUAAAGAAGAAAUAGAGGAACAAUGGCUUCCUCUAUGGUUCCGUCCGCCGCGGAGAUUAGGACCCUCACGAUCUCCUCCGACAACCGCCCCAUGAUUCUCUUCGAGAAGUUCGGGUUCACCCACAUCGGUCACGUGAGCAUCCGGGUCUUGCACGUGUCCGUCACCUCCAAGCACCCCGAUAUCGAUCCCUCCCGCUUCGGCUUCUUCCUCCUCUCCGAGAGUCCCUCCUCCAGGUCCUCGUCGAGAUCCAGCAGAACCCCCAGCUCUGCGUCUUGGACUCCCGCUACAUCACCCACCUCUUCAAUUUCAAGGAGCUCUCACCGCCGCCGCAAGCUUCCUUCAACCACUCCUACCCAGUCUCCGCCCCCAACGAAUACAGCCUCUUCUUCGCCAAUUGCGUGCCGGAGACCACCGUAUCCAUGAUCGUAUGGACGGAGGUCUACAAUCUUGACCCGGAUGGUUCCCGCGACUACCUUUCGGCCGGGUUGACCAACCUGCCAUCGCUGUUUUCGGUCUUUUUUCUCGCGUAUUUGGUGUUUGUGGGCUUCUGGGUCUACCUCUGCUACACCAACAAGAGAUCCGUGCACCGCAUCCAUCUUCUGAUGGGCGGAUUGCUUUUGAUGAAGGCGUUGAAUCUGAUUUGCACGACGGAGGACAAGCACUGCGUGAAGGGGAAGAAGAAGUUCAUGAAGCAGAUGACCCACGGGUCCAAGAGCCACAGAGCUCUCGGGUCUAUCGGUGCCGGAACCACGCCGGGGCGGGUUUACAAGGGGAAGAAGAUGCCCGGGAGAAUGGGAGGAACCAAGACCAAGAUUAGGAAGCUGAAGAUUGUGAAGAUCGAUAAGGAGCUCAAUGUUGUGAUGAUCAAAGGCGCUCUGCCUGGGUUGCCAAAUCAAGAAGAAAUAUUUUCUAUUUCACCCUAUUCCGAUGAUGAAGAAAAACAGCCCUCAAUUAUUAAAGAAUGAGUAUGGGCGUCCGUUGAAAUUAUCUCUGAAGAGGGUUGUGGGAUGCGACGCGGCAGGAAGCAAGCCGAGCUCCAAAUGGUACAGAGCGCACAUGGUGUUGACGGUGCUGACGGUGGUUCCAAGGGUCGUAGGCGGUGCUAGUAUUCACGAGGGUUUCCUCCUGCAAUUCUCCCGUCAACGCCUCCACCUCUACAGCACCGAGACUCUUCCUCUGGUCAACGAGCAGCAGCCAAGCCGCCUCGUCAUCCUCAUCUCUGUCAAGUUCCAUCCCUGCAAAUUCCUCAAACCCGUCCUCCAAAUUUAUACAAAAAAAAAUAUAAUAAAAAAUAUAUGGUGCAGAUUGCACCAUCUGAAAAGAAUAAAAAAAUAAUAAUAUAAAAAAAUAAAAAAAUAAAAGGGGAUGGUGCGGAUUGCACCAUCUGAAAAGAAAAAUAUAUAAUAAUAAAAUAAUAUAAAAAUAAAAAAAAUAAAAAUAUAUAAAAAAAAUAUAAAAAAAAAUAAAUGGUGCGGAUUGCACCAUCUAAAAGAAAAUAUAUAUAUAUAUAAAAUAAAAAUAAAUAAAUAAAUAAAAAAUUUAAAUAAUAAUAAUAAUAAUAAUAAAAUAAAAUAAAAAAAGAGAAAUGCAUUGAGAGAUAGAAGUCCAUUUUAUUUUUGGAAAUUUUACAUAAAUUUGCAUUAUACAUACCUAAAAAAAAAAAUCAAUCAAAUCGAAUUUACAAGAGGCAAUCUUCAAGGACGAUCAAGUAGCGCCUCACCACUCGGCAGAGCUCUAGGAAGAAGAUGCGCCGGAGGUUGACUGUUUGAAGCCUCAUCACUCGGCGGAACCCCAGGAGGAGGAGGCACCAAAGGUUGAUCAUUUGGUGCUUCAUUACGCGGUACAGCCCCAGAAGACGAAGGCAAAUGCUGCUGGAACAAACCCACAAACCUCUGAUGAUUAAGUAAAAUCUGACCAUCAGAUUCCUGCAUCUGGUCAAUCUUCCUCUUCAUGUUUGUCGCAUAGCUAUGUGCGAGCUUAUGCAAUUGUUUAUUCUCCUGCUUGAGCCCUCUAAUCUCCUGCUUGAGACUUAUCACUUCCGCCGCCAAUGAUUCAACUUGACGGGUUCGAGCAAAUAGGCGUUGGGCCAUAUUAGACACAGAACCUGCACACUGCACACUGAGAGCCAGAGAAUCCUUAACAGCCAACUCAUCAGACUGUUUGGAAAGUAGUCUGUUAUCUCUGGGAGUGACAAGGUUCCGGGCCACCACCGCAGCGGUCAUAUCAUUCUUCACUACUAAAUCCCCAACGGUAAGAGGACCAGUAGGGGAUAUGAAGGAUGAGCGUCAUAUGUUGUCUGGAGAAGAAGGGAUUGCCUCUUCACCAAGGUUCAAAUCAAAACGACGAUCGGAGGGGCCAUACAUUUUCAAAAUGUUGAAGAAAGAAAAGAUCAGACAAAUCAAGAUCUUAGAAGUGCAAGAAUGGAGUUUUCACAAGCGAAAAUUCAAUUGUGCUUUGAAACGAACAACGUGCCUCUAUAAAAAAUCAGCACUCGACGGGAUUUCAGAGAUCGAAGAGGCGAGCUCAGAAUUCGAAGGGGCCAAUUCAAGUAUUGAAGAGGUGCUAGCUUUCUCAAAAGCUGGGCUUGCUAAAAAAGACACGGGCGAUUUUACUUUCCAGACUUGUCCGCACUUGUCACAUGCAACCUCUACACUCGACAAAGCUCAGAAAUCGGAGAGGCAUCUUGCUUUUCCAGACGCGUCAGCACCCAUUACACGCAAACUCAACUUUGCGGAAGUCACGGGUAAUUUGUCGAAGCGCCGAUCCCAGAUAUCGAAGAGGCGCCAGUCUUUUUCAACCGCGUCAACACCUGUUAUAUGCACACUCAGCUUUGCGUAAGUCACGGGCAAUUUGUCGAAGAUUUUCGGUGAAGGAGAAAACACGUGAAGUUUACUGUUCAAUCAUCCAACGGUUGUCGACACGAGUGAAAAAAUAAUACCUCUACAGGUAUUAAGGAACUUCCUAUAACUGUCCACCUUCACCCUUCAUAACAAUGCAAACAUACAGAACCUUUCUUCAUCUCCAAAAAAAUGCUUUCCCAACGAAACCUCUCGAGUCAUUCAAUGUUCCUUAUUCCUUGGGGUACCUCUGCAAGCCAAUGACUCCAAAGUAAAAGUAUCUCAUAUCACCAGGGUAGAAAGCAAAAGUAUCUCAUAUCAUGCGUUCUCCCUAUCCUUUCCUUUGUCCUUGUUCCUACCUACAAAGACAAGGAUAAAGAAAACAAUAUGCCGGAACUUCCACUCAAACUCGGGUAAGAAACCGACUGCUUGGAACCUUUCCCUGAGUGCCUGCCUAGCACUGCUCUCGAGUACUCGUCUUCCACUGCUGCUGUACUUUCAAAGAAGCUACCAUAUCUGCCUGGAGAACAGAUAAGGCAAGUGAAAAUGAUACCUUGCAGCAUGUGGAGACAAGGUGCAGAAGGAACAAGCAGAGAAGAAUGCGUUCUGCACAGUCAACUCAGCAGAAGAAGUCCGAGCUGAAGAACUCGAGAAGCUGCCACAUCUGCCUGAAGAAACAAGCAGAGAAGAAUGCAGCAUGCACAGUCAACUCAGCAGAAAGAGUCUGAGAUAAAGAACUUAAGAAGAUGCCACAUCUGCCUGAGGAACAGAUAAAGCAAGGGAAAAUAAUACAUUGAAGCAUGUGGAGACAAGCACAACAAAGCACGUGCCGAUUCAUCCGCUGCUUCUUCAAAAUCAAAAGUAUCUCAUAUCAUCAGGGUUGCAAUCACUCUGGACGGUGAACUCGUUUUGACCCUGAAAUUCUUGGGUCGACUUACUAGGUGUUGUGGGAUGCACGUGCCGAUUCACCACCCUUGAAUCGAAUCCUUAAAGAUCAAGUCACCAACUGGAAGAAAGCCCCAUCAAUCUUGAAGAUCAUACCGUUGACCAAACUGCUCAGGUGUGAAUUAGAAAGAUUGAACAAAGAAACAGGUUGUCACCUUUACCUCGUGCCUGCUUGCCAUGUGUUCGAGUCAACCUUUAAGAAUCAAGCCUCAACGGCCCUUGAAGAAGUUUCCAACCAAAUUCAAGAUCAAGCCUCGACGGCCCUUGAGGAAAUCACAAGUCCAAUUCAAGAUUAAGUGUCUACCACCAUUGAAUCAAAACCUAGUUCAAGAAUAAGUUGUGGAAAAUCAACAAUUGGAGGAAUCCAGAAAAUCCUCCAACCCAGUUCAAGAUCAAAGCUGUGGAAAGUCAACAAGCGCAACAAAAUAUGUGCCGAUUCACCCACUACCAAAGCCAAAGAUCAUCUACCACAUGAAGCUCCUUGUGGUCCAAUUUCAACCUUCAAGAUCAAGCCUCGACAGCCCUUGAAGAAAUUUCAAACAAAAGUUCAAGAACAAGCCUUAACGGCCCUUGAAGAAAUCUCAAGCCCAAUUCAAGAUCAAGCUUCAAUGGCCCUUGAAGAAAUCUCCAGCCUAAUUCAAGAUCAAGCCUCGACGGCCCUUGGAUUGACAUCUACAGUAAAGGACUUCAAAACGCAUCUCCUACACGUGACAAGCACAUGUAUACGACGCGCCUUGAAGUGGGGGCAUUUGUAGACAUCGAAAUUUCGGUAAAUAAAUGUUGACCGAUAAAUCAAAGUGUCAACGCUCAUGUAUUACAUAAAUUUUACACGUAGCGUGUGACUCAACGAAAAUUGAAAUGAGUUGGAAAAGUCAUCAAAUAGGACACGUGUCAACACCUGGCAGAAACGACUUAUUUCAUCUGGGAUAUUAUAUUCAAAAUUAGGCCUUGGAAAAUUCUAUAAAUACAAGCCCAUUUCAUUCAUUUGAGGGGGAACCAAAAUCAUUAGGCAAAAUUCUUAAAGCUCUGAAGUUCUGAAACUCUAAAACUCCGAAGCUCUCAAGCAUCCAGGUUCCCGAAGAAUCAAGAAAUCUCUCUUCGUUCUUCGUUCAUCGUUCUUCGUUCAUCGUUCUUCCAAGAUCAAGCCCCAACGGCCCUUUGGAUCAACAAUCAUCCACCACUUCAAGAUCAAGCCCCAACGGCCCUUGAAGAAAGUGUUCUUCGUUCUUCGUUCUUCGUUCAUCGUUCUUCCAAGAUCAAGCCCCAACGGCCCUUGAAGAACUUCCACCAAUUCAAGAUCAAGCCCCGACAGCCCUUGAAGAAAGUAUUCAUCGUUCAUCAUCCGUUCAUCCAAGAUCAAGCCCCAACAGCCCUUUGGAUCAACAAACGUCGACAAAUCCACACAUCCAACCGUUCUUCAAGAUUAAGCCCAAAAGCCCUUGAAGAUCCGUUCAUCACUGUUCUUCAAGAUCAAGCCCAAAAGCCCUUGAAGACCCGUUCAUCAUCGUUAUUCAAGAUCAAGCAUUAACGGCCCUUGAAGAAAUACUCAUCAAACCCCAACGGCUUAUUGAAGAUCCGCUCAAAUCCACCUUCAAAGAUCAAGCCCACGGCCCCUUGAAAGAAACUUCCAAUAGUUCAUCCAAGAUCAAGCCUCGACAGCCCUUGGAUCAACGAAACAUCCACAAAUCAACGCCUUACGGAGAUCGAAUCAGAGGAUCAAAAUUGAGAGAGAUUGUAACCCAAAAUCAUCAAAUACAUAAUAUUUGUUUGUGCACGUUGUUCUUGUCUCUUUCGUUUCAGGAAUUUUCCGUGUUUACAGUCAUUUACGCUUUAUUCUUCUUACUGAAUUUCAUUUUUAAAAUUUUAUUUUUUGAAAACAUGAUCAUCUGGCGGAUGUAAGAAGAUGAUAUCAUGUUUCUAUAUUUACGGUUAACUGAAAUAUGAGUCAAUGUCAUAUAAUUUGUAGAAACUUUAUAAACAUCAAGCAAUAUUUUCACUAACCGUAAAACUCUAAAUAUAAUAUCAACGAUCCAAACCGUUCAUCUACCUACACCCUCUAAUAGAUCAUGUUUUCAAAAAUGAAAAUCUAAAAAAACGAAAUUUGAUAAGAACAAUGAAGCAUAAAUGUAAACAACAAUCAACGGUUAAAUUUUGAUCUAUGAAUUAUAUGAUUAUAGUAGCGAAUUUCGAAGUUAAGCUCUUCAUAAAAGUUAUAAAGCUUAUCAUUAAGAGUGUUUAUAUAUUUUUUUCUAUAUUUUUUUACACUUCUACAUUAAUUAAAAAACUAUUAAAGACUUUAGGUAAGCGAAAAUAUACUUCAAACAAAAUUGUGUUUUUAUGUUUUGGAUGUGAUAAUAUGGAAUGUAUAUACUUAUUUAGUAUUAUGUUUUUCAUUUGAUUAUUUAUUGGUUUAAAAUAUAUUUUUCUUAACGGGUAACGGGUCAGGUCAUAUUACCUGUUAAUAUUAUCGGGUCGAUUUCGGGUCGGGUCAUUUUACCCGUUUAUUUUAACGGGUGUUACACGACACGACCCGUUAAGAUAUCAGAUAUGACACGAAAACGACACGAACACGGAAAACACGAUACGAAUGCCAAGUCUAAUAUAUAUAUAUAUAUGUAUAUGUAUAUGCUUAUAUCUUAAUUAUGGGAAAAUUUUACAUGUUUUACAGCAAGGGGUUAGUAUGUUGAUAAAUGAAAUGGUUUUGUAAAACAUUUGUUUUUGCCCACUCACGUUUUCUAUUUUGCGCCCCUUUAGGUUUUAAGUAAGCUUGUUGUUGGUGGCUUGAGGAUGUUGGCAGUUCUGACUUAUCUAAAUAAUAGUAGGACAUUUCUGGUACUGUAUAACUAGUACUUGUCCUACUGGACUACACCUAAACUUUAUGCUCUGAUUAGGAGUGUUCACUGUUGUAACUAACACUAUCACUUUCUGUUUAGUAGUACACUCUAGUAAUUUGGUUUUUAAUUAUUCGUAUAUUUCUUAUCUUUAUUGCUUCAGCACUACGCACAUGGCUACGUCACUCUCACGUGACGUCCAGCAUGCCUUGAUCUCGGUCGGGGUGUGUCAGUGAAUGUUCAUGCUAUCAGGGUUGCAAAAAUAUCAAGAUAAAAACCUUUGUUUUGGAAGAACCUGAUUACGUGAUGAUAUAGAUGAACUGGUUUGUUGCAAAAAAAGCUUCAUUGUUAGAUUCUUAAGUGCAGCAGUAAGAGCGUGUUGUAGCUUAUUUUAUCUCACUACAGGGUAUGGGCAAUGGCAGGGAGAGACGUGUUUGUAGAAUCAUAGGGGAAUGUGUGUUGAGAAUGUGUUAUCUCCCUACGCAGUGCUUUUAUUUAUAGUAAUAAGAGGAAGAAUAAUUCCUUCAUCCCUAAGUAAUACAAAUCCAUAUAGGAAAGAAUAACUAAAAUAAAAUCUAAUCUAGGAUUUACACAAUCACACUUAAAUUAGGAAAGUUUAUAACACCAUCUAAAUUCUAAUAAUUAAUUAUACUUUUUUUUUAAACUAAUUAAAAGGGUUUGAAAAUUUUGAGUUUUAACGAUAUAAAGUGAAUAGUACCAAGAUUAAUUUUUUAGUGUAAAAAUGUGGUUUUUCGUUAAAGUGAACAGUACUAGAAACUUUUCUUUAAAGUUCCUUUUUUUUUUUUUUUUGAUUUUUUUGAUUGGAAAAAUAAAAAAAAUAAAAAAGGUGGAGGAGGGUGCAUCAUGCAGUGGCACGUGACUUCACACGAACGUCUUCCAGGAACUCAGGAAUUAAGCAUACAGACAAUCGCCGAAAGGUCUUCAAUUUGGGGUCACAUGAGUUAACUACGUCCGUCCGAUCAACAUACUUUUCUUGUUCCAACAAUCCAGCCGUAAAUAAUUAAACGCCACCAUAGCAUCGUACACCUGAAGCAACACCGUAAUAUAUCUCCUCUUGGCGAGCCGGAAGAGCAAGUGUCUUUGUUCUUCGCUGGAAAUAUUUUUCUAUUCAUUUUCUUUUCCGAAUUCCGAUUAUCCAAACGGGAGCGAGGAAGAAGAAUCCGUCGGACAAAAUCUCACUGACCGGAGCAUCCAAUCCAAAUGGCGGUUUCCGUGACGGCGUCCACGAUUCCUUCUCUCAGCUCUGACCGUACGACUCGCUUAGCUGCGGCGGCGGCCUCAUCCUCCUCCUCUUCUUCUUGUUCAAAGCUGUCUUCCUCUACUUCUCUGCGAUUUCCGGCGCAGCUUCGACGUGUUCGGAUCGGAACUCAGGACUCACGGCCUCGGCUUCUUCCUCCGGUAAUGAAUUUUCCGUUUUUGUAGUUUCGUAGUCUGUUUGUUUCCCGAGAAAAUCGAGGAAUUUAACCUGAUGAAAUUGUGUAGCGUUAAAAUUCCUGUUCUAAAAUUUCUGUGUUUUGUAGUGGAAGAGAUUGCAAAAUUUAAAUUUAGGAAGCAAAGCAUACAACUGCAAAUCUUGUUGUUAUCAUAUUUAUGGCCCAAACACCAAUUGCUUUGUAUUUCUUUGGUCCUUGCCGUUUCCUAUGAGUUGUGAGAAAAUCACAUGGGUCGGUUUUCGGAGUUUCCAAAUUUUAGUCUUUUCAAGAGAAUAAAGACAUUUAAUCGAAAAGUGCAGGAAAAGUAAACUCAGAGGAUGGUUUGCAAGACAUAGAUUUAGCAUGCUACAGGAGGCAUGUGGAAUAUAGAGCUUAAGGACAUGGAACUCACUAUUGAUUGUCUUUGAAAUGGUUUUGUACUUGAUUUUGGCGCACGCAGUUGAUUUUUUAGACUAUCGGUAAACUAAUUUGGAAUCAAACCUCUCUCAAACAAUUAGAAUGCACAAUGUCACCGAUAUAGGAUAUUAGGUUGCAUCAGUUUGAUCUUCCCCCAUUUUCCAGGUAAAGUACCUUUUCAUGAUAACCGUUUGGGGCAUAAAGUUGGGAAGGGACAACCUAGAACCAAAAUUAUUGAAUGGGAUGAAAGGUGUAGAUUGUAAAACUUGGAUAGUAUAUCUUGUAACGAUUUGAAUGAUAGAGACAGUGAGCAAAUCCAUAUUCGGGGCCUUCAUGCAUGGACUCGAGUGUUCUUUAAUCAUCUAAUCAGAAGCCGAUUGUUUAUACCAGUCAAUCGACGGUCCUCCUAUCACUACUGGCUUUGCCUCAAGUUACAAGUGAAGUUUCAAUUCAGGAUGAUGACCUAUCAUGUUGAAGAUCAACACCAGCCCAAUUGGUGUUUGGAUUCUAGAAGAUUCUAGCAGCAAGUCUAGAGGGCAGAGCUUCCUGAAGACUUGCACUUUGUCCAGGUGCAAUGGAACUAGAUUUUUCUAUAGAAUUAUCUAAAGCUAAGUAGUCUUUUGUAGAAAGGAUUAGAAGGAUGUUUCUUAUGUCGGUGGAAGGCUGUGUGCAUGAUCAAUGCACUAGAAAGUUCUAGUGAUAGUAUAAGUCGGCAAACAUGCCUUAUAAAUAUGUAUGUAUGAGUGUUGUAAUGUAACCAAGAAGAAGUAAGAGAGCAAACCAAGAGAGAGCUAAGUAAGAGAGUGAGAAGCCUUGUAAGUGAGUAGUCUUGUAAAGAGUGUGAGUGGUCUAGAGUUUGUCUCUAGAAGUGAGAGAGUGUCAUACGUUCUAAAUUGUGUCCUUGAUAGUUGUUGUGUUGUAAUAUUCUGUGAGUUAAUACAAGUAAUUUGUUUACUUGUUUUGUCUCUCCAACACUUGUGUUAGAGCUGUGUAUUCUAGUUUUUCCUCAACAUAUCACUUAGGUGGUUAUCCAUAUGGACCAUGUUGUGACAGUUUCAAUAGCUGCGUGUACUCUUUCUUUGCUGUCUUUGGAAUAUUUAGCCUGUAUAGCUGAAUUACGAAGUGUGACUGAAUUGGUGAUUCAGUAAUUACAUGUAUAUGUGGAAAAAAAAUUACUUUUCGUAGGUUGAAGCAAAGAAGCAAACAUUUUCAUCCUUCCAAGAUUUGCUGGCUACCUCUGAAAAACCUGUGUUGGUUGACUUCUAUGCAACCUGGUAAGCUUUUCUUGUGUAUCUCACUUCUUAUUUUGUUUGCAAUUUGUCAUUAUUGUUGUAUUGUCAGCUAAACUUUAAUUCCUAAACAAGGUGGUAGCUAUUCACCUUUUAGGUUUUCCCUCUCUAUAUAAAGGUAAGAAUAGACAAUUAAGUAAUAAACUCUGGUUGACAGGUGUGGACCUUGUCAAUUUAUGGCACCCAUCCUCAAUGAAGUCAGUAUUACGCUGAAUGACAAGAUCCAGGUUGUGAAAAUUGACACAGAGAAGUAUCCUAGCAUUGCUGAUAAAUAUAACAUACAAGCAUUGCCUACUUUCAUCAUAUUUAAGGAUGGAGAGCCAUUUGACCGCUUUGUAAGUUGAAUUUGUUCUCUUUUUUCCUUUGGGAGAUUAAUAUGUUUGCCUUUGGUAGACGAUCAAAUGUCUAGAAAUGUGUAAUCUGUCACAUAACAUCUCAUACUGAUUGCAUGCUUUUUAUACGGCCAGAAUAUGGACGGGUAUUGUCAAGUUGUUACGAUUUGCUGUUAAUUCCACUUUUUAGAUUUUGUAAGAUAUCCUAUGCACUUGCAUUGGUUUACAAUUUCGUCAGGUGUGUUGCUUUGCAUGCUUUUCUUCUUCUUUUGCUUAGUUUUGAUUCGAAGAUGUUGAAUUUUAAGGAUUUAUGUUCUCUUAGAUCCAAAAUAUUAAAUAGAAUAAAUAAUGUAUGUUCUCCGUGCAUGUAUGCAAGGCACUGUUAGAUUAGUUUUGGCGGUUUUUCUUUUUGGUUUUUUGGUCGAUUUUAAAUAUCUAUGAUGACUUUGCUUUCAUUACUUGCAGGAGGGUGCUAUGACUGCUGAUCAGCUUGUCGAACGAAUAGAAACUACUUUGAAAGUUAAGUAGGAGACAGGUGAGCUCUAUAAUAUUCGUGAGUUGAGAGCACUCGUAUCGUCCGCUGUUCUUUCUCUGCUUCCUCCUCCCCAUUUCCUAACCUUUCCUUUUUCUUCACUCUUCAUUUAUUGGUCCAGCUUCUCAGGUUGAACCGAGAAGCUGAUCGAUUCAGCCGCAUUGCAAGAAAAAUGGAUUUUAUGAAGAAAGGCACUGGAUGUUUCCUCUGCUUUUUUAUUUUUUGUAUGUAACUGGUUUGUACCAACAAAAAAGUUACGAGACUUGGCGUAAUCGCACGGGUAAAGCUUAGUGAAAACAAUUUUACGAUGUCAGUUUCUGUUGUGAUAUACACAUCCACAUCAGUUGCAUUUGAUUGAAAUUCAUGAUUUGGAAAAGUUAAUGAAAUUUUGUGGACAUUCAUUUCAUUUGCAAUGCAACUUAGACCUUAUUGGCAAUUGGUUUGUGGACACAAGAUUUACUACUUAAUUUGGAUACCUUGUCAAAUUAGAGUCAAUAAUUAACAAUGGCAUAUCUAGUAAGAAGUUAUUUCUGCAUGCCUCCCUUCCCAUUUCCUACGGCUGUUUAGCUUGCAAGCACACAAAUCAUUUGUAAUAAAGAUAUGCAAAUACGAGAUCAAAUUCAUCGAGAUUGAAUGAACAAUAAUUUGGUAUCUUAUGUUUAGCUGCGGACAUGACUGACCUCAGGAGGUCUCAAUGGAAAAAAUUUCAGAAAAAAUGUAGACAAAAGUAACAUUGAGGAAUUAAAUGAUAAUUCUUUUCAUUCGUAAAUAAUAGUGUAAACAAUGUUAUUACAAUCUACAAAGUCCAAAAUUAUCAUCGACGAGUUUUCAUAUUUUGAAAAUGUUUAUGAUAGUUUCAUACUCAACGAUCAAUCCACAACUCUAAUAACUGAAAUUUGAGAAUAAUGAGUACAAAUAGUGAACUUGAUACACUAGGAAGCUUAAGGAGGUCCCAGAAAGUCCAUAUUCGGGGCCUUCAUGCAUGGACUCGAGUGUUUCUUAAUCAUCUAAUCAGAAGCCGAUUGUUUAUACCAGUCAAUCGACGUCCCAGAAAGUCCGCUCUUCUGCUUCGACGUUGCUGAACCCGCUCUACCAUGGAGACGGCUCCCUCCUCGUCUUCCUACCCAUGGCACGGGUUUAGUCCUCCUUGAUGGUCAGCUAAUGUUCACCUAAGCUUUCGCACUUAGUAAACAAGCCUUCACUAGUUGCCUGGAACAUAACUACUAUUACUAUGAUGAUUAUUACGCCGACCACCACGGCGUUUAUAAUGCUUCUGGUUCUAAUUGGGGUGUAGUAGCCUGUCAACUGUCCAGUACCGAUUCCGAUGACUUCGGAACUUGGAUUAAGCCCAUCCAAAUUCUGGAGCCAAGGUUGCCGAGUGAAUUUUGGGGGCGAUGCACACUUAUAGCUUUGCUCAUCUAGGAGGUUCAAAAGUAUGCUUUGUUCUUUCCAAUCCCAUCUCGCACCCAAAAAAAAUUUGUCUUUGGAAGGUGCGUCUUCUUGUUCAAACUUUUGAGUUUUCCUUCUCCAAACAAAGUACCACCCUCACUAGUGCUGCUUUAUUUUAUUGUUUUUUAUUUUUUGUUUUUUUUGGAAAACCUUAAUGGUAUAAGGGUAAUUUUAUUGAUAACAAAAAAAUAAGUUACACCUAGACAGAAGGGGACAUAAACCUUACCCCUCAUAAAACAGAGACAAUAAAUAGGAAUACACGAAAAAGAAGGGGGAACAUAAACCUUACCCUUCUAGAAAUAAAAAACGAGAAUGAUACAAAGAAAAGAGGGGGGGGACAUGAAACAUAAUCCCUCUAAAACCAAACCUAAAGGUCUAAACUUGCAAAACAAGUCAAACAACCCCAUAAAGUUAGGAGAAAAAAAAAAGUGAGACAAACCUGGAUGCCGACAUGCACAUUAAUUUGAGAAGCAAUAACCAGGCAAGCCAACAUAGUCUGAAAACAAAGCAGCACAAACCGCCAUCGGAGGAGAAUCAUGCCAAGUUAAAGAUGGAGAAGACAAUCCCAUGUUAGCAAAAUUGUCUGCAACAAGAUUUACUUCACGAUGUACAUGAGAUACAUAGAAAGUCAUUUUCCGAAUACGAUCUAAACAAAUAGACCAUUGCGUAUGAAGAGGCCAAGGAGGAUCAAAAUUAGACGAUUGAAGAGCAUAAAUAACACUAGAACUAUUACUUUCAAACCAAAGACAAUGCCAACCCUAUUGAUAUGCAAACUCAAUACUAAUAAUAAUUGCUAAUAACUCUGCAAAAAAAAAAAAAAAAGUUGCGAUGACCAAUGCAUUGACAGAAACCUCCAAGAAAACAACCAUGACAAUUCCUGAAAAAUCCUCCACAUGUAGCAGGAUCAGAAUUUCCUUUAGACAAACCAUCUGUAUUAAGCUUAAACCAAGGAAACCAAAGGACAGGAAGAAUAGUAGGUGCCUUGCGAGGGAUAGGUUGGAUCCCCAAAGAAGAAAUGAUCCGAGUGUCAAAACCUUGAGAAUAACCAGAAAUAAACUUCCCACCAUGAACAAUCGCCGAAUUGAUAGAAAUGCAAAAGACGAUGAAAAUAGAUUGGACGACCCUAAAAAAUAAAUUUAUUUUGAGCCUUCUAAAUAGCUGAAAUAGUAGAAAGACCCGCAAAAAUCCAUAGAUUGUGCAACUGUUUGGAAAAUGGCUUACAGACAUAGACAUCCCAAAAAACAACCAAAGAAUCUGAAAGAGGCAAAAAUGUACCAAAUUAACAUACUAACCACCUCCAAAGUUGCCUAGAUAUCUGACAUCCAAUGCUGCCGAUGAUGGUGAUGAUUAUAAUUAUAAUGAUGGAGGCUGCGAUUCAAAAAGAUCAUUCGAUUUCUCCUCUUUCAAAGCCGACAUCCUCUCCACUCGCAACUUUGAAUACGAUUGGUGCGGAGAAUCUUUUGAGACUGCUCACGCAGCCGUGCUUGGUUGCUUUGCCCUGUAAGUUUCGUCGGUAAGGUUAACUUUCCAAUUCUAUCCCAUUUUCUGUAUUUGCUUUCUCCUGCGUGCGGCCUUAACUUGUAACUGUACUACGUAGGAAAGCAUUAGUCAAUGUAUUUCCUGUGCACACACUAUCACUUGAGGAACAAGUUCGACUGCAUUGUUUGCGAUUUAAGUCAAUCUAGACCCUGCAUUGCAACUCGCAUUGGGUCUUACUGGAACUACUUACAGCGAGCAUGCAAAACCCCCUGCGUGUUGAUUGAGGUUCUGAGGGGGAACACUCCAUCAAGCACGUUGAAGAUAUGGUCUGUAGCAGCAUUGCUUGGAAAUUGGAAAUUGGAGAUCUGCCUAGCUAGCUACUAUUUCUGUGUCUAGCUCCUCAUGUAGUUUUCUGUUAGGUAAUUUUUUUUUUUUUUUAAAUGGAAGAACAGGCAUUUUAUUAAAUAAAAAAAAAUAUUUAGUCAUAUUUUUAGGCUUAUUAUAUUUAUACCCUACAUAUUGUUGAAUAAACCUUAUAUACUUAAUACACCUCAUAUUUACUUUUUCAAUUAAAAUUUAUCUUAAUACACCCCAUUUACUUUCCCAUAUUACCCUCCCACCCCCAUUCUCAACAUACACCUUACAUUUUCUAUAUACACCCCAAAUUUUUUAUAACUCAGUCACAAUCAAGAUUGGAGGAAGAUAAGGCUGCUGAGACUUUGUUGAAGGUGGCAGACGAGGUUAUACGCUGAGGUUUAAUGACAAAAAUUCGAGGGUAAAAGCAGCAAGGGAAAGGAGAACAAUUAGAGGGUCUCUUGUAAUGUGAAUGGCACUAGGACUUUGCCCAGAUUGGCAAAAACGUAGCUGAAUGUUGAUGUAGUUUUAUUGCAUUUUCAGAUGUAUGAAAAAAAAAAACAUAUUUAUUUAUUGGUGUUGAAUUGCAGAACAAAGAUUGUGUUUAGCCAUUUUAUUACUAUUAUCAUUUCUUUAAAUUGGGGUUAUGCCGUGAGAUGAUAUACAUAAGGAAAUAUUGUUAAUUUCUUCGCACUCCAUUCAAGUUCUAACCUUGUAGUUUCAUCAUUUUGCUUGCCUUUGCUGGGAAGACAAAAAAAAUAGAUAAAUAAUACGUUAAAAGUGAUUUGAGGUUUAUUCAGAAUUUUUUUAUAUUUUUAAAAAACUAAUAAGGUCAAAAUUGACAUUGUAUAGAGUGUAUAAGUUAUUUAAUAUCGAAUUUGAAUGUGAGGUGUAUUUAUCAGUACGGAUGUGUACAUCUUUUAUUGGCACGGAAGUACUUAUCGAUUAUGCAUUGAAUUUUUUAGUAAUUUAAUUCAAAAUGUGAAGUAGCUUUUGUAAAGUUACCGAAAGCGCCGUGACGGAGAUGAAGAUGGAAAUGGUGUAAAACUUUUGACGAGUUGAACCGAAAGCGCCGUGACGGAGAUGGAGGUGGAGAUGGAGAUGAGGGCCGGGGAAGAAAUAGAGAUAGGACAAGACAUAACGCCACCGCUCCCUCCGCUUUCUUCCUCUCUCCACCACUCCCUCCUCUCAUCUCACUGCUCUUCCUGCUUCUCCCCUCUCCCUCCCCAACCCUUCCCUCCCCUCUUUACUCCUACCUUUCCCAACACUCCCUCCUCCUACUACUGCUCCUCCCUCUGCUCCUCCGCCGAUUCUCCCCUCCACGUCUCCAGCGCCGAGCCCUACCUUCUCCUGCUUCUCCAAUCCCACCCCUCCGCCUACCCCAACGGCGACUCCUCCGACCUCCGCGCCGCCCUCCGCCUCCUCCAAUCCCUUCCCGCCACCUCCCCCUACCCUCGCGUAGCCGGCCUCCUGACGAAUCGCCACAAACUCCUCCACCACCACGACCAUAGGGUUCGCGACGGCGCCAGAGCCAUGUUCCUCGCCAGGAAGAUGCGGGAUGAAUCUCCGAAUUUCUCUAUCGAUGCGACUAUUGCCAACGUUGCUCCGCACGACGCCGUAUUGGAGGAGGCCGUGCUGUCAUUGGUGCUAACGAACGCCGUGGAGGUGCAGGAUAAGACCGGGCGCACCCUUGGAAUUUCCGUCUACGGUCCCAGCUUCUGCUGGAUCAACCACAGCUGCUCCCCGAAUGCUUGCUACCGCUUUUCUUUGAUGACACCGCCAACGCCACCUUGUUGGCCCGAAACGGCGCUGCUGCGCAUUGUCCCCUUCGGCCGCUCCUCCGGUCGUGCCACACAAGUAAUCCCUGCAAAUUUGCACCGUUUGUUUAAUUUAUAGUGGAAUAAGAUUGAAAUUCAGGGUUGUGAGAUGGAUAUUUGUUGCAGAUUGAGAAUGGUGUUUGUAGCAAUAAUGUGUUAGCAAAAGGUGUUGUGGUUUUUUUAAGUUUUCGUGCUUCUUUUCGGUUUUUGUUUGUUUGAAUUAGUACACCAAAUUUACCAGUAUUAUUGAACCAUUCGUGUAUAUUACGAAUGUAGAAAGCCGAGGUUAUGGUCCAAGAGUGACGGUUAGGAGCAUCAAGAGAAUCAAGAAAGGCGAAGAAGUGACUGUUACUUACACUGAUUUGUUGCAGCCUAAGGUAUCUGCAUUUUAUCUAUAUACACAUUAUACAUGGAUCAGCGAUUGGAAUUUUGAAUUCAUAUAAUCCACAUCUGUUUUGUCAAGUUAACUGAGCGAUGUUUCGAUGACUGUGAGAUGAGAAUUUGCUAGUGUCAUUUUCUGCUUAUUGUCCCUGUCUUAGGAAACUAAACUUGAUGAGACAAUGCAAGGCAAUCCGACUUCUUUCCACUUUAGGGAUUAGCUAAAUCUUGCCCCAUUUGACUUUUCUUUUACUUAUUUCCAAUUUUAAUUGUGUUGAUGUUAUAUUUUAAUCCCUUUCUUUUAACGUCACAUUUUCUUUUCUUCUCAUGAGCUCCUCCAGGCAAUGAGGCAGUCAGAGCUAUGGUCAAGGUAUCGGUUUAUCUGCUCUUGUACGCGAUGUAGUGCAUCACCCCUAACCUACGUGGAUCAAGCUUUGGAGGUGGCAAUUCAUGAAAACUUUUUCUUUCUUUCUUGAUAUUCUCAAUUAAAUACUAAUUCUUAAGUCUAUUUGGAGUUCUUCCGUAAUAUCUUUAUACUAUUGAUUUUACAGAAAUUAUAAAUGCACUAGGAUAUUUGUACUUCUAGAUUCUUGUUUUUGUAUCCCCCCCUGUAUAUAGUUUGGCCUUCACUUUGAACAAAAGCUCUUUUUCAACUUGAACAUGAAUUACCUCCUAACCAUUUUUCUUCCUCUCUGGCAGUCAACUUUAUUUCCUAGGAUGUAGCUAAUGUUCUUAUUGGUGUUUUUUGAAUAAUCAUUAACCUUCGGUUUCAAAACUCCAGGAAAUAUUUGCAGUCAAUUCCAACUCCUCCAGUUUGAGUUUAGAAAUAAACUUCAAUAGAGAUAAGGCAACGCAAUUGUUGAGUGUUUACUUUGAUGAUGCUAUUGACGACUACCUGUCGAGUGGCGAUCCUGAAUCUUCUUGUGAGAGGCUUGAGCAUGCGUUCACACAAGGACUCUCUGAUAUGCAAUUAGAUUGCAACGGAGAAACAUCUCAGCUGAGAUACUGGUUGCACCCAUUAAAUUACCUCUCCCUAAAUGCCUACACAACAUUGGCUUCAGCGUAUAAAAUCCGUGCAACUGACAUGAUAGCUUUAUGUUCUAAAAUGGAUGAUCAUCUGUUAAAAGCUUUGAACUUAAGCAGGACUAGUGCAGCAUACUCCUUACUACUUGCUGGUGCAACUCACCAUCUGUUCCGCUCUGAAUCGUCUCUAAUUGUAUCUGUUGCAAAUUUCUGGACAAGCGCAGGGGAGUCAUUGUUAACUCUUGCUAAAAGCUCAGUCUGGAGUGAGUUUGUCCACCGGGAUCUGCCUGUGUCAAAUCCAUGUUCCACUGCAAGUUAUAGAUGUCCAAAAUGCUCAUUGAUAGACAAAUUUGAAGCUUGUUUAUUCUAUGGUCAAGUUCAACAUGCAGAUUUUGACGAUGUCUCAAGUGAAUUCAUUGAUUGCGUCUCUAACUUUACACAGAAUGUUUGGAAUAUUUUGGCUCUCAGUUGCCAGUACCUUAGAUUGAUUAAGAGUCCUAUUGAUUUCAGUUGGCUUGGUACCACAAAAGAUUCCAGUGUAGGGGAAGUUCUGAUUCGGUCUAGUGGCACUAAAGCGGGUUCUUGUGGGACUGAGAGAAGCAUUUCUGGAAGUGAAGCAGAGGGAUACACAGCCCAGGUACGGAUAUGUAUUUUUAAGCUCGGUGUCCAUUGCUUACUAUAUGGAGGAUAUCUAGCGAGCAUAUGUUAUGGUAAUUCCCAUUUGACCUGUUAUGUUCGUAAUAUUUUAGAUAUGGAAGGGAUAUUAUUGAAUCCUUGUCAUGAACCAAAUUGAGUUUGAGAUCUUAGAAGUUAAAUUAUUCCUGUUUUGGUGUUAAUUGCUGUGUUAUUAUACUCGUUAAGAAUCUGUUAAAAAUGUUGGUUGCAUAUAUCGUCUUCUCUGCUUGUGAUUUUUCGCCUCGAACUCUAUUCGUCUUGCAUGAUGCCCCAAGGAAUCAGCCACACGUAUCAGAAGUUUGUGUCAACGGAUUCAAUUUGAUAGACUACAGUGGGUUUCAAAAUAGAAUAAUCCGCUAUAGCUGUUUCAUAUAUCAUUUCGGUUCAGUCAAAUUAAAGAACCAAAAUUGAAAUCACAAUUGGAUUCGAUUUGGAAACAUCUGAAAUACAAAAUUGAAACCACAAUCGAAUUAAAGAACAAAAAUUGUCAUCUCCUGAUGCAUCCCUGUUUCUAUUUGUGUUCGUGUUUGUGUCAAAAAUACAUCGUAAGAAUGUUAUAACAGUUGCAUACUUAAAGCGACGCCCUACUGAAUGUUACAAUAGAUGCAUACAAGACCGUCGCUAAUGUCAAUGUUUCUUCUUUUUGUUGGACUUUGAGUUGGAGCCAUGCUCAUUUUUAUGUCGCUUUUCCCCACUCUUGUGACUCUCUCUCUGUUUUCCUUUAUCCAUUUUGUUUCUACUUGAUUUCACGCUAACGAGACCACCAGCAGGUAGGUUUGCACCGCCAUUCUGUAAUGCAUUCUCAAAGUCUGCAUCUCUGUCCCCAAUCGCGUACUGUUGAAGCAACUUGGGAUCUAAUGACCCCUCCGAGUUGGAUCUCAUCCCAUCCUGUAUGUGCGUAGUCAAGUCAGCCCAACUCUUGGGAUUCAGAACGCGGGAAAGAGAGGCAGUUCAGGUAACACGAAGGUAAGGAAGGAAUAAAGCGUACCUCAACUUUUCUUGCAGCAUCAUUGAGAUCAUCAUCAACAGAGAUCUUGUGAGGUUCCAAGAGAGUCUGAACCAAAAUUUCCGAAUCAGAGUGGAGUUACAACAUAGGCAGAAGAAAAGCACAGUAGCAUACAUACACGCACGCACGCACAAUUAUAAUGUGAUAGACGAUGUUUAAGCUUGCAUUAAGAAACACAAUAAUGUAAACUUAGCGAUUACAUAUCAAACAAAAUAGUUCAGGUACCAAAGUGGCUCACGCGCAACACACAUGUCAAUAUCAUAUAGUUAAGCCAACUAGAAUCAUAAUGCAUCCUACGACAUGAAAUUAUUAGAAAGAGAUGGAAACCACCAACAUAUCAUGUACUUUCCAUAAGAAAAAAAAGGGUUACUGCUUUGCUGAACUUACUUCUUUUGGUUUAGGCAAGGUUGACACAAGGCCCUCAGAUGCAAUAGCGUAUAGAUAUUUGUGAAACUUUUUCAUAACUUUUAUAAACAGAGACAAUAUUUGCUGCCUUUCCAGUUUCAUCAACCCCUGGAAAACGUGAAUGUAAGUAAAAAUCUACACCUGAUAAGAAUGAAAUAAAGAGCAGAAAUGACGCCACCAAGUAGAGUGUUUUGUCUUUGCAAGUGGGUUUGAUUGCGUGCUCGCAUUGCAUCUAUGUGACUGGUAUAGCCAAGCAAACCAUAUGAGUAACAAGUAGAGAAACAAACCUCAAUAUAGGAGAUAUCUUGAUUCUGUAAGCCAAUGCAGAGCAAUAUGGAAGCCUGGGCACCUGUCAAUGUCACUGGAAGUUUCUCUUGGAAAUACAGAUGUGAAAGCGUUGGAACAAGAUCCAAAAUCUGUAAAAUAAAAGCAUAACUUUAACAUGUGUAAAGUUAUAAACAAACGAUAACUAGAGUACAAGAGGACCUCAGUUUAGAAAAUGACACUUAAUUUCAAAUUCAAAUGGACCCCAGGGUUUAAACUGUAAUUUUAAAAACAAUUCGCAGGUAAUUUGAAGAAAGUAAGGUCUGUUGGUUAAGGAUGAAAAUGCAAUAAGCCCUCGGAUCCCUCCUCCCCACUAUCAUCUAUGCCUAACAGGAGGAAGAACAUCUUGACACAUUCAAACUGGCAGCCUUUCCCAAAAAACAGAAGGAAGCAGAUAAUCCACUCAAACCAUAAUCAACAAAAAUGGACGACAUGCCAUUGACCAGGAUGCACUGCACCUUCCUGAGAACCGCACAACAAAUGGGUUCACCUCCCUCAGGGGCAUACCCACAAGGGGGUGGGAUUGGGUGGGAGGGGAAGAGAAGGGGUCUAAUAGCCUAAUCGCUGUUGAUUUCAUCUUUUUAUGUAACACAGAGCACGGGAUGAAACAUCGGCCACAGAAUCCUACACACAAAUUACUUGUAAAGUACACAAAUUCCCCUUCUCAAACAAGCAAUUUUGAACUUUUAAUGUGUAACUGAACAUAUAUAUACAUAUAAUUAGAUCAAUAACUAAACACAAUGUCCUAAUAGUUCACUUUUGAAAAAGAUUAUUCAUAAAACAUUGCAAGAGUAAUAUAUGUUCACAAUCAUGGUAUCAGAUUGUCCACAGUAAGAAAACAAAUAUUUCACCACUGUCAACUAAAAAUUGUAUCACAAUCACAAUCAUAUUGCCACACUGAGACGAUAAUUCUAUCACAAAGGAAUACAAUUUUUCUUUUGUAAUGCAAUAUUACUUUCUUUUUCUAAAGGAAAGCAUAUUUUGUCUUGUAACGCAAAUAUCUUUUUUGAUUCUAAGGGAAGUAUUUCUUGUUCUGUAAUGCAAACAUUACUUCUAUUUUUAAUAUGAAUGUAUGGAAUCAAUUAGUAAUCCUAAGAUAAAAAAAUCCCAAAACACUACAUAGCACUAUGACAGGGCAAGUUGGCAAUCAACCAUUGUUCAGAGAACUUACCAUAUGAAAGUCAGCAAGACUGCUGGUGUAGGCCUCCAGUCGCUUCAUAUCAUAAGGCGAAAGUAAGUCUGUGAUAGACCGUAAGAAUCCAUCUGUGGUAGACGAUUUGGGUUCUCCAUCCUUGUAAUUGAUCUUAGGAUCUAAGAUGCUGGAAAAUUAUUAGUUAGUACGAGCACUUGAACAAUAAGCAUUUAUCAGAAUGGAACUUUUAAUAGUACCUCAUAGCGAGCCUAUAAUCCAUUGUACGAAAACUAUAACCCAAUAGUCUCAAAAAUCUUCUCCUGAAAUCUAGGUAGCCAACAAAUAAUCAAGCUGUGAACUGAAAUACAAAAAAUCUGCACAAAUUUAAAUAGAACAAAGGUUUUCCAAAGAAAAAUGGGCCCACCUAGGUUGAAUGGACGAAAAUCACUGGUUUCAAGUUCAUCAUUCUUCAAAGAUUUGAGGACCAUACACGUAUGCUCCCCGGUCACACCACUCUAUUACAUUGAAAAGAAAAAUGAAAAAUUAUUGUUUAAUCAGUCAUUCAUUCACAAAUGAUAAUAUUCAAAAAAACAGUAAACGGAAAAAAGGAUUCAGUAUGGAGAGGGGAAUCCAUCUUAACUGGAAUAUGUCCAAUAUAGAAUGGAGCAAACUUAUGUUUCCACCAAAACCUGAAAAGGUCCAAGGUAAGCCCAAAGGAGACACCAAUAUAAUGGAGCUUCUCUGGUCGCCUUUCACGAAGAUGAACAAGCAAAUGAGGAAGAUCUGUUCUAGGUUUUAUACUUUCUUCCAGCAAUGAAACCUAUAAAUAAAAUAGACAUAGGUAUCAUUCCGAUAAACAAUAUCAAGGCACAGGCGGCAGGUUGAUUAAUACCAAACAAACAAACCAAUACAUGAUAAUAUACUUUGAUGUCAUUAUGAUUAAAAUUAACACAACAAAUGAUCAUUCACAAAAGUUUGUCAAAUUAUAUUCAAACACAGAAAUUGUUCUACAAUCACCGGAAUGAAGCUUAACCAACUCAAACACUUCGACAGAACAAGAAUUGCAUUACCAGAAACCUAUGAGUUACAAAAUUGCCUCCAAUUGCAAUAAUAAUACAUAGAAUAGUCUCGUAUAAGCAGUUCUCCAACCUAUUAAUUAAAAAUAUUUAUAAAAAAAAAAAAACUAAGCUUGGUGAUUGUAGUUCACCUUCUCAGCAGCUUCUGUGACUCUGAGUGGGGGAGUCUCAACAUCUUCAACGUCCAGUUCAGAAAUAGGAGCAAACUGUCCUUCGUAGUACCUGAGGAGAAAUAAACCCUUAACACCCAUUUUUUCAAAUAUAAAAACAUAAAUGUGAAGCAUCAACUUUUAGAACCAAAGAGAUUCAGUGCAAUUUUCAUGUCAAAACACUUUUAUCUCAAUAAUGAAGUACUUAUGAGUUACAUUGAUACAAGAGCAAUGCAUCCCACAUAUCACACACAUUCCUUAUAUCUGGAUCCCCAACAAUAGCAAUCCAAUGUCACCCACAUAGCACAUGAUACAUACCAGAGGUGUCCCUAGAAUGUCCACAUCAGCCAUUCCUUAUAUCUGUGUCCCCAAAAACAUUUGCAGUAAAAAGUACAUGGACUUAUGAGCACAAAGGGAUAACGGACAUGUAUGGGUUGACUUGAGAGAUAAACCAAGUAAAGUAAGUUCAAGAAAAAAUCUAGGACCAAAUAGGAUACAAGGUCAGAAUCAGUGUGACCCAUCUAAAAAGUUAGGACCCCACAUUAAUUUGUGCAGUCAACAACGAGGAUCCAUCUUUGGAUUAUUAUCCUAAAACGCUCUAUCUUUGGAUUAUAUCCUAAAGUGCUGCUGGUUAAGCUUGUUUCUGGUUUUUCUCUGUUGGAAAUUUCAAUUACUAACGAAAUAUCCAAUCUUCAUUUAAACAUACAGAUUUAAACUCAACUGUUGGCACUGCAGACUCUUGGCCAUUGUUGGGAUUGAAAUAAGCUAGAGUUUCUCAAGAUAAAUGCGGAUGAGGUGGGUUUUAUUUGAGAUAGCGAAUUCCAUGUGUUUGUGGAUUUAUUGCCAAAGCAAUUUGGGAAGAUCCCUGCUGUUUCCUCCAGAUGGAUGGGGUUAUAAUUUCAUUGUAACUUUUCUGAAGUAAGUUUUAGUUGGACUCCUUUUCUUUGCAAUGGACAACUUCUCCUCCUUUCCUUUAGAAAAUGCUUUGCUUUGCUGAAUUUUUCGUAACUCUUAGAAAUGUAACCCAAACUAAGAUGAAAACCCCCAACAUGACCGUAUUUUAAUAUGCUAUCACUUCUAAUCCUCUAUAUCUUUCCACUUGUUUCUCCAACUACCAUCAUAUGACUCGAGAGUUGUAUUGUGAGAAAGUCAUCUGUAUAUCAAAACUGAAAUCAAAUGAUCAUCUCUUCAGCACCCACAUGGUCUAUGUUCUAUAGCUUUCAACCCAAGUGAACUGAAAGCAUGAGACUCACAUUUUGAGUUGCGACUUUAUGUGCCUGAGCCAGGGUGCAUAUGCAUGAUUGCUUUUCAUUCAUUUUAGAAAUCAUUUGAAGCAUUGCUUCAGACAUAUAAUCUUCAAUCUUUUCACCUUUUUUUUUAUGACAAACAGUAGCGUUAGUGGGUUAAAAGUUUAUUUGUUAGGGGGAGGGGAAUCGAUGGGCAUCAAACCCGCACCAGGGUGCAUAUGCAUGAUUGCUUUUCAUUCAAAGUGUAGCAAUAUGGGGCUAAAAGAAUCACUCAGUCAAUCUUUCUCAACACCUUAGGCAUCCACAUACACAUUGGGAUCAUGUAUGUGAUCUACAAAAACGUUUAGGUGGGGAAUAACUCAAAGAGGAGCAUACCUUGUCAAUAGUUCCACUGCUUGUGAUCCAUAUCCAAUCUACAACAACGAAAAAUAAAUUACCAUUUCAACAGAUCCCUGGUUAUAGAUUACCAUUUCAACAAAAUCCUGGUUAUACAUAUUGCUUUGGAAACCAUAAUGAGAGAAUACCUUCAUGGCACUUGGAUGUGUAGCAAUUCGUACAAUCCGAGCACCUGAAAGACUGGGAAAAACUGUGUCCUGAAAUUGCUCACAGAAUUUCCAUGGUAUCUGGUCACCAGAAGGCUGAUGACCAUCACUUAAACUUUUCAUUGCAGAUUCACGAGAGAUCUUUCCCUCAAGGCAGACCUAAGAACAAAAUGAUAGCACAUAAAAUGUUGAGCAUCAAAGAAUUAGUGUUUUAUAGAAGAUGAAGUACGUGUUUAAAGUGUUGUCCUUUAUUGCUAUUUCACAUAAGGUAAAAUUAUAAAUAAAAAAACUAAUAAAAUUUUGGGUAUGCGUUAAAUAACUAAAAGAAAUAAUAGUCCUGAACUAGGGGAAGACAGUCAAACCUGAAUGACACACAAAAUAUCAGGAAGCUGAUUUUUUGACUCAUCAACAGGGCCUGCACGUGCAAAUUAUAAUCAAGUCCAGCCAAAUAGCGGCAAAAAAAGAAAGACCAGUUCUAACGUAACAUAUAUACCAAGUAGCACAAACAGGUGGUGAGCCGGGGCAUCAGCCAUUAGUUGCAAAUCAUUUGGAGAAUUUUUGUAGUGGGAGGCAACAUAUAGAGCCAUCAUCCGCUGCAAGUAUUAGAAUAUGUAAGUUCACUAAUAUGAAAAUGAGAAUCACUAGUCUGACAUUACUUGAACAUGUAAUUACCUGUAAGAACAACUCGCUAUCUUUAUGAUAUGAAAAAAGCGUAUCACAGUUUACGUAGUACAGAUCGCACUCACUGGGUGCAGGUAACCUAGCCGCCAAGAGAGAGAGAAGAGAGAGAGAGAUCAUUAAUAAAGGUAAGGGUUAUAAUGGAGAUGGUUACAUCUUCCUCGGUUCUGACUGUCUAAGCAAAUGUUUUUACCCGUUAAGUUUAGGGAUAUAAUUUGUGAUAUCCAAGCAAAGUAAACCAUGAAGCCAGGAUUCAAUCGGAUCACCAGAAGCAUAUCUGAUAGAUUCUUUCAAUUCUAUCUUUUUGAAAAGACGACCUACAAUCAGGGACAUUUAUCAAUUCAGAAAAUUAUGUCCAAAUAUCACAAAAUAGUUUUUAAAAAAUUAUACAUUGCUCACUUGCAAGCGCCAACAGUUCAAGUAUUUCAGAAACAAUAAUGUUAAGAGAAAGCAGAAGAAACAUUGAAUUUUGAAAAUAAAUUCAAGUUUUGGGGGGAAAGGGGGAUUUUGAUCCAACCUAAUUCAAGAUGAGAAUACAAAACACGGCCAAUAAGGAAUAAGCAUACCAGAUGUAGGCCCCUUAGCAGACACUUGGCUUUGCUCUUCCAAUUGCUGUAGAAGUUUUAGGGACAAAGACCGACCAGUACCUUCAUAGCUUUCAGUGUAAAAUAAAUGUCCUUUAGUAUUUAAAUUGCACUUAGAUUUUUUUUUUUUUACCAAAAGUUGAAUUCAGAGUUGACUUAUAAAUAGAAAGACAUCAAGCAUGAGUCAAGGAAAAGUGGAAACAGCCCAUGAAAAGUGAAAGAUCUUUCAUUCCCCCCCGCGGCCGUAACAGAAAGUGAAAAAGUGAAGUGAAAUAUGUUUCAUGAGACUGUUAAAACCAAAAAAGAACACAUGAUAAGAAUACACGACAUGAAGGAAGAAGAACAUGGAUGAAUCUUACCCAUUAACAGUAGAUGAAAGGAAGACCAGAUAAGGACCAAGCAAAGACUUCACUACUGGUAGUGGAAUAGCAGCUGCUUCAUCAACAACCAACAGUUCAACUUGGGAAAGCUUUUCAUGCUCAUGUGGCCGUAUAUACUGCAAGUACAAGUAACAAAAGUAAAAAACAAAUAGCCCCAAAAGCAAUGAGCAGUACAAAGUUCUUUCUUUUAGGCUACAUGAGGUGUAAAGGUCUAGACCACCUCACAAUCUCACAGGCAUGUUGAGUGCCUCUAUACCAUACAUACUGGAUUAGUGCCAGGAAGACACAUUAGGUUGACCAAAAAGUUUGGCGUUUCAGGAACAUGCUUUUAGAAGCAAGCUUCAGUAAUCACAAACCAUCUAAAUUAUGUUCAAUAUGCUCACACCAAUAACAAAAAUGAUGCACUUGGGCAAAAGUACAAUAGAAUUUUUGGAGUAGUCAAACAAAGACAACCACUAAUCAUAUAUGAGGGCAUACGACAUUUGAUGGGCAAAAGGUGAACACACUCAUGGCUAUUGUGAUGCGGCUAUCCAAUAGAAGAAUAUUCUCUAUUACAACUUGGUUAUCAACUUUUCAUGAGUAACAAUUCCUCCAUGUAUUUGUAUUUUGGUAUCAACUGACUAAACAAAAUCUUUAUUGCUAUUUUUUUAUAGAAAACGAGAUUUUAUUAAACAGCUAAAAAACAAUACAACACUUAGUGGACUAGGAAGUCCACCAUCAAAACGAAACAGCCCUGACAUAUGCCUCAACAUUCACCUCCAUCAUUAUAAAACAGAUCUGCAACUAUCUCACUGCAACUCCCCAAUCCAACAAAAUUACAUAAAAUGAAAGAUCCCAAAACCUUGGAGAGAGAGAAGCCAUAAGAAUGCCCAAUUCUUUCCCAAGAAUUCUCUUGUAAAUCCCCACUCUAAUUUUCAAAGGUUGCAAACUUGAAAUUAACAUAGAAGGUAACUGGCUUCAGAGUCAACUAGGAUAAUACUGGGCAUAUAUGCAGAGAGUAGGCAUAGUAGCAACUUUCAGGGUAUGGAAUAAUACAAAAGGAAAGGGAAGACCACAGAAUUCUCUCAGUCAUCUUAACUUGAUUUGGUACUAAGAAUAAGUUAUGUAUACACUUCCCACUGGCCCAUCUGUACGUUAAUAUAGAAAUAGAUUAUAUCCUGGCAACAAGGAAGUGAAAUACUCCUAUUUUUAUAUCAAUAUUGGGCACAAAUUAAGAGUUCAUCAAUAUAAUUUUACCUCAAUUGUAACCAACUGUGCAUAUAAGUUUACCUGAAUUGUUUGUCUGUGCUGCUUGUAUAUAUUGAUCUGUACAGUUGCUUUCUUCAACAAAGGGUCACUACUUUUCUGUACAUCAUAAUCUAUAUGUUCCUGCAAACAUAGUUUACAACUGUAAGCUCAAUAACUAGUGCACUGUUCGAAGUACAUGAUUGAAAAAUGAAGAAAACGGAGUGACCUUAUAACAAUUAAUGAAAGAUAAAAUGUAGUUCACAGAAUAAAACAUUCAAACACCACCAUCUUGAUAGUUAAACAAUUUCACUGUAAAAGCUAUUAAACUUAGCAGGAAAAAAAAUUUAAACUUUAUCUAACAUUUGAAUCUACAAUUUUCAAUUAGCAACUCUUGUCACAAAUGUUUAUUAGUGGGGUACGUUCUAAGAUAUUGUUAUUUGCUAAUUGUCGAGGAUUAUUUGGGAGUUAAAUCUCACAAGAAGGCGUAAAGAUCACAUUAGAAUUAGAUAUUUUACUAGGAAGCUAAAGAUCACAUUAGAACCACCCGCAGGAAUACAAAAAAACGACAUACCUUAUAGUCCAGUUGAUCAAAACCCUUGCAAACAAAUUCGAACAAGGUUCUUAAGUUCUCAGGGCUGGGUGCAGUUACAAAUAUAUUUGAAUACCUGUGAAGAUAUAUUUGUAUCGUCAAAACAUAGUACAUGAAUAUGAGUGUAGACAGCUACACAUACACCAAAACAGUUUUAAUACAUUGUAAAAGGCAUACUACCCUGCAGCAAUAGCUCCGGAAAUUGCCAAACCAAGUGCAGCCGAUUUUCCACGGCCUCGAGCAGCAAGCAAGGCAACAGUACUUCGGAGUGUCUUGUCCAAGAUUGCAUCAAGAAAUGUAGCAACAGCAUUUCCCUGUUGAAACAUUUACCAACUCAAACUAUGAGUCAUAUUAGUAAAUCACACAUGAUAGAAAAACUCAAAACUAAUACAAAUCAGAGAGAGUGCCUACCUGGUCCAACGUACAACAUUUCUUUAUUAAAGGGCCAACAGGAAAGGCAUCACUCAGCUGCUCUUUUAGAUCCUUCAGUUCCCUUUGUGACUCUGAUAUCCCUUCAGAGUCCUUCAAUCAUGAUCAGAAAACAAGAAAAAAGUUAUCAAAGUUAUCAAAGCUUCACAAACUCCUAGAAAGUAUCCUAAUAACCAUUCGGUAUACACACACUUGAAAAAUUACUUUUAUUCUUUUUGUCAUCUCGCAUAAGAUGCCACGAAAAUAAAGCAUUCCUCGAUUUAUCAGUUCCGUCCUAUAGAAAAGUUACAAGGCUAAAAGGUUACCUCUUUCACUGGAACUGGGGUAAUUGACCUCAUAUGAGAUGAAAUUGGUAAAAUAUUCAGCUCAUCAUCCAUUACUACACAUGAUUUGCAUGACGCAAGUGACAAUAAGAAACGCUCGUUAAAACGUCCAGUAGCCUUAGAAUGGGAUUCAGUUCGAAACCUAUCAUGAACAUCCUGAAAUCAAGAGGCGCUGAUAAGACUGUAUGGAGAUUUUUGCAUUUGAGAGAACGAGAAAGACAGUGUUGCAAAUAAAACAUGACAUAACGGAAUUGUUAUCAAAUAUAAUAUGUGGUGCAUGGCUAUUGCUAUAUUCGUUCUAAGUCCAUAAUGUAGUAAAACUAGAAACUACCUCAACAAGAAGAACAAAUAUUAUGAGGAAACCUAGUUGUUUUUUCUUCUUCUUUUUGGGGCUAGAACAUGAAAAGAAACAACUAGUCUACAUAGGCCCAACUGGGAAACUUAUAUGUUCAGCAGCAUUCUCUUAAAGAAAGUCAAGCAAUUGAAUCUACCAAAAGUCUUCUUGUAGCCAAGCACAUCAUUACGAAAAAAUUCGGAAACUUUUAACAUGGCUAGUUUUCAAGAUUUUGCGGUAUAUAAUAAGCAUAACCAUGCUGGCCUAAAAACUAAGCAUUAAUUGUGUGCAUGCGUAAGAGAAAGAGGUAUUAUUAUAUGCAUACCAUAACCAUGGUGUAGAGGUUGGUGAGUGAGGUUAGAGAAUGAAGCAACAAUAUGACUAGUCCACCUCCCUCCACUGUCUCUAUCGUUCUUGCUAGUAGAUUUGGAGUCAAGGCCUCAAAAUCCUAAUGCAGGAGAUCAAACUUAGUCAUAAAACUUAAAUCAAUUAUACAAGGGGUCUUGGCCAAACCAGUAAAUUUGUAAGUUUCAAGUUACCUGAAGUAUACACAUUCCAAAGGUAUUACCAAGAACUCUUUCUGAAUCCUUGUACAAGCAAUAAGUCAAUCCCCCACUUUCAACAAAAAGUGAGAAAGGAUCAACCUUCUCGGGAUCAAGCAGCCCCCUCUGCAUCAUCUUUUUUACUUGCUUAGCACGUUUUUUCUUGUGACUGCAUCAUGAAGUAGUCAAACGCAACGAAUCAAUAUAUUUUAAAAACGAAAUUCCGCCUUGCCUUAUAAUAAGGUGAAGAAUGGAAGGUAGAAGAAAUCAACCUGCUGAGCUCGAGCUUGUCCUUGUAGCACCACAACACAGUCGGGCGCGAUUUCUUUACUUCAUUGCUUAGCAUAUAAUGAAGAUUCACAAUCUGAAGACCAUAUAAAACUCCAUAUUAGCCAUUUUCCGUUAGUUUUCGAUAGAUUUUCGAUGAUAUUUCUUACCUUGUUUGAGGUUUUUAGUGUUACUCGGUGAGUAUUGCAGGUGAAAACAAGAAACAGUAAAACUGGUAAAAUUUUCUACCCAAUUCAAUUUAAAUCAUUGUUAUAACUCCUCAAAUUGAAUAGGAAUAGCAAAUAGGGAAUGGGAUAGGAAAGGCAGAAGAAAUUAGGAGUACCUGGUCACGGGAUUUGUCGCCGACGAUGACGAACAUGGAGCGGUGCCGGUUUUUGACGCCAUUGCUUAUUAGGGUUCGGAUUCGUUCGUCCACCUUCUUCCUCAUUCUCUCUCUCUCUUCUCUCUCUGUGCAAUUAGGUUUAGGGUUUAUACCAUAGGGCAGUUGUCGUCGUCGGGCAGGGUUUAAGCCGAACUAGUGAGAGAGAGACUAGACAUCGCGGAGAGAUAUUGAGUUCAUCUCAACCGUUGAUUGGCUAUCUGAUGGCUGUUAUCAAAGCUGACAUAAAAAUGAAAACUCAACACGUGGCCAAGUAUUUUUUUUCUCUCUUUUUUGGCUUAUUUAUUGAUUUGCCCCAGAAAUUAUUUUUUUUGUCUUACUCUAGGUCAUGAAACAGAAUUUAUCUUACUUUAUCUUCUAAAACUACCAAAAUCGAGUCAUUUCACCCAUGUUUUGUCAAUUCUAUCUCAUAAACGUUAAAUAAAAGGGAGUCUAAACAUUUCAUACCAUGCUAGCAAAGAUGAGCCACUGUUGUUGGUGAGGUACGAAAUUUUCAAACUUUCCUAAACCUUUAAAACUUAAAAGGUAUCUUGAAUAUGAACGUAAAUGAGGUAAAGUUGCUCAAUUUUGGCAAUUUAUGAAGGGUAAAAUGAGACAAAUUCAAUUUAAGGCUAAAGUGAGAGUAAAUGGCAGUUUCAUGAGAUAUAUCAAUAAAUAAAUCUUUUCUAGAAUACAACUAAAUUAUGUACUCACGGUAAAAGAUAAAUUAAUAUCGAACUUGUCAUUGACGAUAUCUAAACAUAAAACCUUUCAAGUUUUUACCUAUAAGAAUAAAUUUGGUAUAGUAAUUUCUUUUCUAAUUUAAAGUUUCCCAUAGAGUUAUGACGAAUUUGAUACCAAAUUAGGCUGUCAUUGUGUGGCAUAGCCGAAUUCCUCCUCCCUUACUUUAAAAAUAACGAUGUACUCAAAAAAAGUUUCCCAUAGAGUUAAAAUGAUCUUUAGUUGCUUGCUGAGACAACCCAUAUGUAUAAUAAGACAUUGAAAAAGGUGCCUCUGUCAUUUACACUCACACGAUCGAAUAAGUAGCUCCGACAGUUGCAUCAUAAAAUUAAGGGGUUUUCCGAGAUUGUAGUAAGGUUGACGAUUAAAGUUUGGGAAAUUUUCAGGUUAAGGAAUCAAGGGAUCACAUUUUCAAGUUUCGUAGGCAUUCUCUUUCCUUUGGAAUGGUGUUGGAAUCCGUCCUGAAGUUGCCCAUUCCUUUGCUCUUGAUUUUCAGAGUUGGAUAGCUAUAAACCUUAGGACACAUUGUACCACCAUACAUGGUUUACCUUGGAACCUUAUCUUUAAUUCAACUCUCUGGCAUUGCUGGAAAUGGAGGAAUAACUUUGUCUUCAAUGAUGGCCAACAACCGCUUGACUCACCCCAGAAUUUCAUUUUUCAAUUUGCAAGGGAAUGGUGUGAUGCGAACAAGUGUUCUUCUAGUAAGCCUCCUAGACAAAAUCAUCUCAAUCCAUUGGAUUCGUUUGCCAAUUGGUAUACAAAAUCAAUACAGAUGGGAGUUGUAAAGACCCAUUUAGCCACAUAAGUGCUGGAGGUUUGCUUCGUAAUUCUGAAGGGAAAUGGAUUAAGGGAUUUGCUGCUAAUUUGGGCAGAGGAACCAUCAUGGAAGGUGAGCUUUAAGGGUGGUUUCAUGGGACUUUCUAUAGGUUGGGAUGAGAGUUGCAAGGAAGUGAUUAUUGAAUGUGAUUCUUAUGCUGCUGUUACUUUGAUCCAACAACCUAUUUUAGUUCCCACUCUACAAUCUCAUUAUUGACUGCAAAGAAGCCAUUGAAAGAAAUUGAAGAUGUGAAGUUACUCAUAUCUAUAGAGAAAAUAAUGUCUUAGCUAAUCACACGUCUGACUUAGGUCAUGGGUUAUCACUUGGUCUUCAUGUUUUUGCUUCUCCUUCUACCAUUGCUACUAAUUUUAUAGUUUCUAAUACUAUUGGCAGGGCCCUCCCUAGAGCUGUUUUUUAGUAGCUUUUUUGUUUUGCUUGUUGGGCUUUGCCCUCUUCUGUACCCAAAAAAAAAAAAAAAAAAAAAAAUAUUGGGAAAUUUAUUUGGACCCAACUUUUUUAUCUCUACACCCAAAUAAUAUUUUCUCUUAUCUAAUCUUCCAAAUUUGUCCUUAAAUAACAAACAUUGAAGUUUUCUUUGUAUCUCUACACCCAAACCCCACGAUCCACCACUGUAGGGCGCUCCAUUAUUUCCGACAAACCCAACUCAAACGCCAGCAACACUAAAAUCGACAAAUCAAGACUGGAGAACAAAUGGUGUAGGAGUCCUAAUGUGAAUAUUAAAGCAAACUUAAGUUGCAAAACCCUUUUUUAUUUCAAUCGAUGAAAGGACCUUGGGUUAUGAACAUAAGGAACCUAUUAGGGUUUAGAGGUCCCCUCCACAUCAUAUGCAUAAGCCCUUUUUCUUCAUUCAUUAAUUUACGGAAGGGAAAAUUAAUACUAUUAUUCUCAUAAAAAGUGGGAAUACCAAGGAAAGAGAUCCUCUCCACACCAUAUAUUUUUCUUUUCUGAGUAGUUAUAUCCAAUGGAGAGAGGAAAACAAGAGCACCAAUGGUCGCAGGUUCACCGGAGAAAAUGAAGGUGCAGUGGUGAUGUGAGUUUAGGGUUAUUGGGUGUAAAGAUAACAACUUUAAUAUUUAUUUUCUCAUUUUUAUUUAUUUAAGGGCAAAUUUGAAAGUUUAGUAGAGAAAAUUUGUUAGUUGGGUGUAGAGAUAAAAAGGUUGGGUCCAACAAAAUUUCUCAUAAAGUUUAAUCACGCGAUUAAGUUCUUGUGCAAUGAGUAAAUUGUAGCAAUGACCCAUCAACUAAAAAUCCAUUAUUAUUGAUCCCUCAACUCAUCAAAAUAUGUAGUUAUGGUCAUUUUCGUCAACUUUGUAAGAAUUUUGUCAAAAUAAAUUAUGUUGGAAGGACCAUUGUUACAAUUAAGGUCCUUCAACUCAUCAAAACAUGUAGCUAUGGUCAUUUUCGUCAACUUUGUCAAAAUGAGUUAUGUUGGCAUGACCAUUAUUGCAAUUGGGUUAAAGUUGAGGAAUCAUUGCUCCAAUUGGGUUAAAGUUGAGGGAUCAUUUCUCUAGUUAGAUUAAAGUUGGGGGACCAAUGAUAAUUAAGUUUUAGUUAAGGGAUCAUAGUUGCACGUUUUGAUGAGUUGAGAGAUCAAUGAUAAUGAAUUUUUAGUUAAUGGAUCAUUACUCCAAUUGAGUUAAAAAUAAAGGACCAUUGCUACAAUUUACUCUUGUGCAAUAGAAGAUUAAUUUGGCCGAACAACCUGAUUAAGGUGCCUACUUUCUCUUUAAUUCAUUGGUAUCAUUUAUUUUCCCUUAAGCUGAAUUAUGCUCAAUUUAUGUAUCAAUAUUGUAAAGUUGUCUUUGUUAGAGUAAUUUGGACAAUAUAAAUUGAAAAUUAUUUGUGUAUAUGGAAAAGAUUAACCUCAGGGGUCACUUCGCCGGACUCCGUAGCAAUCUCCACCACUCCAAUCGUAAUGGUGAGUAAAUCACUUGUGUUUGUUUCCAUUUUUUCAAUUGGAAAUUGGGGGUUUUGAAUUCAUAUUUUGUCAAUUGGUUUUGUGAGCACUGAGAAUACACUACGAGCUUGUGUGUGUGUACAAUAUGUUGGAUUUGAUCUUUAUAAAGAAUGCGAGAAAUUGGGGUUAGGAAAGAGAAGAAAAGGAAACAGAACUCGAACUUCGAUCUUCAUUCUUGUUACUAAAGGAGAAAACCGAAUUUGAACCGGUUCAUACGUAAUCGAACCGAAUUUGUAUAGUUCGGUUCACCCCUUAGUACCGAACCGUACCAUACCAAAAAAAAUUUCUUGAGUUUGGUUUUGAUACAUCCCUCAUACUGUACCAUACCAAAUCGUGGCCAGACCUACUGAAUACAAAACUUAUAUCUGGGUCGUAAGUCGUAAGGCCUCCAAAAAAAAAGUUCAUAUUAUUCAUACCAAUCGGACAAAUCCCGCACCCAAAAACAAUGGCUAGAUAGAAAGUUCAAUUAUAGAUUAGGUAAUCUAUCCUUUUCAACUUAAAUGCACAUUCAUGAUGGUUAUGCAAAUCAUAUUAUGUUAACAAAUGCAACAAUUAAUUAUAUUUAUCCAUUUGGAAUGAUAUAUAUUUUCAAAGAUGGAAUUACAGACCCCGUUGACGUUGAGGCCAUUGCAUGAGAGAAUUUUAGAUGAUUUUCAAUUAAUUUAUAUUAUUGUUGUGAUAACCAUAAUAAUUAUUUUCUAAAUGUAAAACUAUAUUAAUGAAAUUUUCUUUGUCGGUCAAAAGAAGAUGAAAAGAUAUCUUUAUCUUCUAUCACAACAAAAAAAUUAAGGAUAUUAAUGUAAUAGGCUAAUAGCGAUGGGGUGAAGAAAUGGAACUAUCCUAAAUAGGCAGUUGCUGGUUAUAUUGGAUCAGGUGGUCUGAAUGAUUGGAUAAUUAGCAAAUAAAAAGGUUCCAUUUUUCAUGGACCCUCAAGUGGAAAUAUGGGAUAAAAGAUGGCAUAUACCAUUUUAUCCAUUUGUGAUUGUACAUUUUGAUGGUUGUGAUUUCACCCGAUGGCGCGGCAAGUGUGGAUUGGGAUAAGGAUGGUUUUGGUCUAUCAUCAAAGAUGGUUUGAUGUUCACGACUGGAUUUUACAACGCAUCCAAGUGCAUGGGUUCUAUAAAUACAGAGUUGCGCACAAUAAAAAAGUACAAAGGACCUUCAAACCUUUCACACACUCUGAGAAACUCCUGAUUCUCCCAACUUCGUCAACACAUCUUCAAUUUGGAUUAACAUCACUGUUUGUCAGUGAGGAGUCCUUAGUCUUCUCGUCUCAUUAGCCCUCUAGGUGAAGUGAGGUGUUACUGAAUUACUUGAGUAUUCAGCACAUUGAAAGUCGAACCUUAUUUGAACUUCACAGUAGUUAGCAAUCUUAUCUUCAGGUUUUAGAACCCAAUGCCAAGACAUAUUCCUUCCUCGACAGUGAUGGUUUGUACACAAAAGUUGGUUUGUACACAUAAGUCAGUAUUGUGUUUGACACACCAUCCCAUUCAUUCUACUAGCCCACAAACGCGUGGACUCGUCCAAAAUUACCCCACUCUCGGCCCGUUCACUUGCCCACUCGUCCCACGCGGCCCGUGAGUCUUCAGUGCCUGAUAGGGGGGCCUACUGUUAGGGCCGUUGUUGGCCACAACCCAGAGCCCAACGAUUUUUUUUUGCAUCCCACGACUGGCAUUUUUGGACCGUUGGUUGAUCCAACGGUCCAGAUUCAAAUUUUGUUUUUUUAAAUGUUAUUUUAAAAUACAUUGAAUCCAACGGCUGAGAUCGAAUAUAAUCAAAUCUAACGGUAAAAUAAAAAAAGAUAAAAAAAGAUAUAACAGUCCAAAUUUAAAUCCAACAGCUAAAAUAAUUUUAAAAAAAAUUAUUUAACUCAAAAUUCACCCAAAAACUCUAUAAAUACCUUUGUAUUUGUUCAAACAUCCACACAAAACUCAAUUUUCUCCCACAAUUCUUCCAUUUUUUCUUUCUACCAUUUCUUUCCAUUUCCAAAUUGUUCAACACGAUCCUUGAAUUGGCCAUCCCAAGCAGUAAGACAAUUCUUCCACUCCCAAAGCAUACAAUCGAGACUUCCUAUCAUGUCAGGAAAGCCUAUUUUGUCUGCUUUGAGUAGAAUGUGACGACAUGUCCCGAAUUAUUAUAUAUUUUUCUCCCUAAGUGUGUAAAGUGACGGUAAUGCCCUCGUGAUUUAGUGACGUGGAUGUACAUAUGUAGUUUUAAAUUAUUAUUUCUAUUGUCGUAGUUAAAUUGUACUCGACGCCAUGAGUGUGUUGAUGUGACCUAGGGCUAAAACAAAUUCGUAACGAAGAAGUUACGAACAGACGAGUGUGUAAAUGCGUAGAAAUAUAUUUUUAUGGGUUGGCUAUACCUUACCCACCAAUCACCUUAAUUCCUGAUUUCUUUGGCCUAAUUGAAUUAAAAAUAUCUCUCAUUUUUCCUUCUGCCCAAUCACGCACAUACACACCAUCACUCUCUCUCUUCUCUCGGACCUUCUUCUUCUUUCUUCUCAUUCCGUACACCCGAGCCACCCUUACCUCACAAUCAUCAUCAAAACAUUAUGGAUCGAAUUGGAAAUCACUACCAUCGCAGUCACCUCGAUCCCACGAACUCAUUGAUACCCUUAGGUCGAGGAAUAGACGUCGGGAAUUCGAGAACUCGGGAGCUCUGGCGAGGUGUAUUUUUCUACUUUGUGAUCGUGGUCUUUUUCUAUGGUUUAAAGGCUUGAGGUGGGUCCUAAUCAACUUUAUAGGGACCCUAGAUUAGUUUUGGAGCAGUUUGAACGUUGGAAUAGGUGAGAACAUGGAGUUGCAGGUUGGCCGGUUGAUCCAAGCCUUACUCCGACCACUUUCUGUCGGUUUUAGAACCUCAAGUAGGUAAGAUUGUAUUCUUCUAGUUGAGAGUUUCAAAUCCAUAUAAAAUUCAUGGAAUUUGGUUGAAAAAUGAUGAAGAUAUUAAAGUUUUAAGAUUUUUCCAAAAAUCAGCGACACAAACGGCGCCCGACGGCCAGCGAUGGAUUCCGACAAAGCCAUCGGAGAAGGAGGAGAAUAUUAUGUCUAACUUUGACAGAAUAUACUAACAGCGUCAGGUAACUCUAUUAGUUUUUAAACAAAAUAUUCUACUAUUUAAUGAAAUAUUCCCUAACGCCGUUAGGGAUUCCGUGCCUGCACGUGCCGGCUUAUGAGGGCGCGUGAGACGUCAGGAAAUUAAUCUAAAAAUAUUGGGGUGUUCGAGUUGUUGAGUAGGUCAUGUUGGUAUAUUCAAACACCCUAUUUGAGCAACGUAUGAGAAGUUAUUCCUAGGGUUUGUGUAUGUGCCUUAAAAUUAAUGUAAAAUUAGUUAUUUCGCAUAUAGGUGAGACUUACCCGGAGGACAAACGUGGUCAAACGAGACUUGGGGGCUACGAUCCUACUACUUACCAGUGAGCGGGCUUUUUUUUUCUAUAUAUAUGUAAAUAUGCUUAUGAAUCCCAUAAACUACUUUAAAUGAACGUAUGUUUUAAAUGCCAUGUCGUGUGCAUUAUGUGUUAGUAUUGCAUUAGUAUAGCUAUGCAUAGUAUUGGAUGAGACUGCGCAGACUCAGGUAAGUUUCAGGUGAGUACAUCAUGAUGGUAUUGGGUGCGUGUGUGUGGUUAUACGUUGAUGCAUUUUGAGCUUAUUAUCCUGCACAUUGGUGUUAGUGUUCUCGCCCAUGGCCAGGGCAUAGUUUUUCACAUGAUGUUCACCUCCUGGGCCGCACGCUCACUUUGGAUCCAAGUUUGGUGCACAGCCAUAUUGCACAGACCACAAUAGGUGGUUCCGACUCGUAGGUGACCUGCAAUUAUUUGCACAGCCUUCACGUGAUCGUAGCACUUAAGCGUACUUAUCUACACCCAGCCCUGUUGUACAGACCACAAUAGGUGGUUCCGACUUAUGUGCAUGCAUACUUGAUGAGCUAUAGAUUCAAUUGUACAGGUUACAUUAGGUGACUCCGGUUGGCAUACUAUUUUAGGUUGAUUCGUAUCACCUGGCUUACACAUUUUAUGGUUGAACAUCUUGACAUGGCAUACCUCUGUUUUCACUGCUCUAAGCAUUAUCCUUAUGUACCUAGUUGUUAUUAUUUUCUGGAAAAUUAUAUGGGUUUACAGUGAGGGGUUAGUAUGUUCAUAAAGACAACUGUGUUUUCAAAAACUUUGUUUUUGCCUACUCACAUUUUUUGUUUUGCACCCUUUCAGGUUCUAGGUAGUUGGUCAUCCUUGGUGGCUCACGAGGACUUUCACGGCGGUUCUGACAUCUCUGUAAAUAAGUAGGGAUUUUUUUCCCUGUUUGUAUAAUUAGUACUUAGUUGGUUCGAUUGCACUUUCGUUUACCCAUGCUCUGAUAUUUGUAUAACUUGCUUGGUCAUCUUUACUCACUUAUAUUAUCUUAGUUUAGAUAAGUUUGGUUUUAGGUUUUUAUUUAUUCGCAUUUCUUUUAUUAUUACUUCUGUUGCGCAUUUUGGCUACGUUACUCUUACGUGACGGGCAUCAUGUUUCGACUUCGGUUGGGGUGUGUCAUAAAAGCCUCUUCAAGUCUUCAUGAUUUGGCUUGCAGAGAUAUGUGGCUCCAUAUGUGGCCUGAAUUGCCCCACAGAAGCGCUCCAGGUUUUUAAUAGCAGUAGUCUCCGCAAGUCGGCAAUACUCAUCAGUUGAGUUUGCAGAGCACUCAUUAGCUAGCAUCCGAAAUGCAGAUGUGAGCUUCUGAUGAGGUGAUAGACUUUGUCGGCCUACGACAUUUAUCUUCCUUGCAAAGUAGUGGUCAUGAUUGACAACUGUGUUCAAGAUGCUUUCAAAAAUCUCUCUCCUCAUUCGAAACCGUCUCCGAAAAUCAUGAGCAGGAAAUCUCGGACGCUCAAUAAAAUAAUAUUUCAUCAUUCGGUCAUGACACUCUUCUCUAUCACGUUGCACAAAUGAACGCUUCGUGACAUAACCACAAUAGCUAGAUUCGACAUGGUGCUCAUAUUGCAUAAGCGAGUUUGGAAGUUUAGCUUAUGCGUUGAUCAUUUUUGAAUCCUCAAUGUCAAGGCUUGCUUGGUAUUAUGUCAUUUGCAUUGCCCUGCUACACCUUCUUCUAUCAUCCAUUGUUGAUAUAUUGAGGAUUUUUAUGAAACAAAAACACUUUGAAAGUUGAAAGAUUAGUGAAUAUAGGGAAUGAUUGAAGGUUGAAAGAUUGUGUGACCAACUGAUAUUGAACAUGUGUUUAUAUAGAGGAUGAUUGAUGAAAGUUGAAAGUUUGGUGAAAGUUGAACGGUUGGUGAAAGUUGAAGAUUUGUGAAAGUUAAAGACUUGCUUUGUGGAAAGAUUUAGUGAUUUUUUCAAUAUUUAUUGGAAUUUAAAUAUUUUUAUAUUAAAAUGUUCAUAAAAUUAAUUUACCAUAGGCUACAUAAUUUUUUUUAAAAGUUAAUUUAAGAAAAAAAAUUAGCCUAAGUUCAUUCUUUAAUAAUCCCGAACUAAAAUUUUAGGCUAGGGUUGGAGCAGAAAAACUGUUUCUGUGUUAAAAGCUAAAUUUUUUAGAUUAAAAAUUUUAAAUUUUAACCCAAAGGUUGGAGAUGAUUUAAGAAUGGAUAAACUUAACCAAGAAAAGAAGAAAAAAGAUGAAGGGCAAAUAAGUGAGAAGCAACAUGACACGACACACGGACGACCAUAGCAAUAAAGCGUGCGUCCUCACGUCCAUUGAAUAUAUAGAUGGGAGCUACAACAUCGUGUUUCACGUGCAUGUGUAUUAUACAUAAAGGCAUAUACAGUGUUAGCUUAUAUAUUAUAAAGUUUGUAGGCCACUUACCCAAUUUGGCAUAUGUUUUAUCUUUUUACGUGAAUAACCAAUGUGUUAUGAUGAUACAAGUCUCUUAACAUAUCCGGAGUUAGAAAUAUCAUAAGACAGUGUUGCGAUCAUAUUGAAAUUAAUUGACAGUUUGUAUUAUAUAUUUGAUUAUUCUUUAUUAACUUAAGGAGACAGCAUACUUAGACCUAAUUUAGUCACAUUCUCCAACCGAAAAUAAAGCGGUGUAGUAUUCAUACACUUUUUUUUAUUUCUUACACAGUCUUAAUUAAUUUCUAUUGUUUGAUCUUCUUCAAUUCAUUCGAUCUGACGACCGAAAAUUAAGAUGGUGUGUGGACGAGUAAAUUAUAACAAUGGUCCCUCAACUUUAAUCAAAUUGGAGCAAGGGUGCUCAACUAAAAAUCCAUUACCAUUGGUUCCUCAACUCAUCAAAAUGUGUAGCUAUGGUCAUUUUCGUCAACUUCGUUACAAUUUUGUCAAAAUAAGUUAUAUUGGAAUGACUAUUGCUACAAUUGGGGUCCCUCAACUCAUCAAAACGUGUAGCUAUGGUCAUUUUCAUCAAUUUCGUUAGAAUUUUAUCAAAAUGAGUUUUGUUGGAAUGACCAUUGCUACAAUUGAAUUAAAGUUGAGGGACUAUUAUUUCAAUUGAGUUAAAGUUGAAAGAUCAUUUCUUCAGUUGUAUUAAAGUUGAAGGAUCAAUGGUAAUGAAUUUUUAGUUGAGGGGACUAUAGCUGCACGUUUUAAUGAGUUGAGAGAACAAUAAUAAUGAAUUUUUAGUUGAAAAACUAUUACUUCAAUUGAGUUAAAAUUAAGAAACAAUUGCUACAAUUUUUUUAUAUGGAAAGUGGAUGAUGUGAAUAGCACAUCCAAAAAUAAAAGGGAACUUUAACGAAAAGCACCCGGUACUGUUCACUUUAACGAAAAACCACAUUUUUACACUAAAAAGUCAAUCCUGGUACUAUUCACUUUACCCUUUAUUUUGUCCUUAUCAUUAAAACUCAAAGUUUUCAAGCCCUUUUCAUUAGUUUUCCUAAAAUAAAAUGCACCACAAUUUGGUAGGAUCUUCCUGUUGAGAGUAAUAAAUUAAUAAUUGCCGAAAUAUUGGAUAAUUUGUCGGCCACAACGCUAUGAGGGAGUAUCUGGGGAUGAAUAUACUCUUGCCGACAGAUGCCCAAAUUCCAACUGCCAUUCAAAUGAGCCCUCCACCACCACCGGCCAUAAUAAAUUCUCUUUCUUUAGUGAAGAAGAAAAAGAGGUACUUGGCCCUCACCUCAACUUUUUGAGAAAGAACAAGUUUAUCGCUAUCAGAAUGUUUCGGUCAAUUAUAUAAGUUAUGUGUAAAUUUUUCUUUAGAUAACAUUACAUUAUUAUAUUUAAAAUGUUCCGUAACGAUAAAUUUGUUUCAUACAAAUUAUUCUCCAACUUCUUGGAUUUUUCUCCUUUUUCCCGAAAACCAGCUUAUAUUAGUGUUCAUCCUCUGUCAAUAUCACUCGCCCACAACUAUUCAACUAACUUUUAAUAAUUUGACAACGUGUCAUAUUUUUGUGCAAAGCGGGCCCAUUUUUGUGGGUGAUAUAAUAAUGGCGUAUGUGGUUUGUCAAGACAUAUACUCAUUUAUCCAUUAGCAGUUAGGUAAGUCACCUCACUCACCCACAGCCUAACACAUCAACAAAUAUUGCUUACAAAUUCUAGAAAAUUCGACCAAGAAAAAAAACCAAAUGCUCGCAAAUUAAAAUUGUGUAACAUGAUUAGUUUUUUAUCCAUUAGUAUUAAUUUUACGUUGGAAGAAAUUCCAAAUUUAUUCUUGUAAAGAGGGAUAUGAAAAUACUUUGUAUGUCUAUCACCAAAAUCUUCGAAUGUUUGAAUGGUUGAUUUUCAAGUCUCACACAAUUGGAUUUAGUUCAAGUGAGAAAGAAAUACACUCAAACUAUUAGAUAUGAGGAAUGAAAAUACACUACAAAAUCUUGUGAACAUUUCUAAUAUUCUCUUCUAUCUACUUUUUGUGAACCAAGUUUUUAUUUGUUUUUUUUUUUAACAAAAGAUAUUUUUUAUACUAGGGAAAUAAGGUGGGUUUAGCCUCAUAAUGGGCUAACAUAAUCUAGUUCAAACUUGCAUUUGGUGAGAAUCGAACCUAAAAUCUCUCACUUACAAGUGAAGAGGAAUACCAUUAGAAGUGUCAUGAAAUUAGCAGUCUUAUAUGUAAAAAAUUGAUUGACUAAAUGCUGUGUUAAAAAACAAGAUUAAUACUUGCAUCUCCCCACUUGGAAAAUGCAAAUAUUUCAUUUCUUGCAAAUAACGUAUAUCAUGCGUUCUGUUCAAUCGCAUAUUCAAAAAUGUUAAAAACAAGAUUAAUAUUUCUAUCUCCCCACUUGGAAAAUGCAGUAUUUCAUUUUUUACGAAUAACGUAUAUCCUGUGUUCCGUCCAAUCGCGUAUUAAAAAAAUGUGUGAAGUUUGGAUUAACUACACUCUUUGAGAAUUUCCUUAAAUAACCACUUUUUGAAAAUUUCUUAUAGGACUAAGUGAGUCUCCGCUGAGAAUUUCCUUAACUAACACAACACUACUUGAGUGAUAAUUUGUUAUAUCUUGAAUAGAGAAUAAAUCAGUUCCCUACUUUUGAAGGUACUAUUAACUUACACUAUAUUUGAAUGAGAACAAUAAACUUAGAAUUUAGAUGAAGGAAAUAAAACAGUUUCCUACUUUUGAAGGUACUACUCGAGUGAUAAUUUGUUAUAUCUUGAUAACGUGUCAUAUUUUUUUGCUAAGCGGACCCAUUUUUGUGGGGUGGUAUAAUAAUGGCGUUUGUUGUUUGUCAAGGGCAUAUACCCAUUUAUCCAUUAGCAGUUAGGUCACCUCACUCACCCACAACCUAGUACAUCAACAAAUAUUGCUUACAAAUUCUAGAAAAUUCAACCAAGAGAAAGAAAACCAAAUGCUCGCAAAUUAAUCUGUGUAACAUUAGUUUUUAUCCAUUAGUAUUUAUUUUACAUUGGAAGAAAUUCCAAAUUUAAUCUCGUAAAGAGGGAUAUGAAAAUACUUUGUAUAUCUAUUAUCAAAAUCUUUGAAUGUUUGAAUGAUUGAUCAUCAAGUCUCACACGAUUGAAUUUAGUUCAAGUGAGGAAGAAAUACACACAAACUAUUAUAUAUGAGGAUUGAAAAAUACACUACAAAAUCUUGUGAUAACAUUUCUAAUAUUCCUUUCUAUCUACAUUUUGUGAUAAGUUUUUUUUUUCCUUUUUUGAACAAACUAUAUUUAUCUACAUUAAGGGAGAGGAGGUGAUCUUAGCCUCACAAUGGGCUAGCAUAAUGUGGUUCAAAUUCGCCUUUGGCGAUAAUCGAACCUAAAACUUAUCAUUUACAAGUAAAUAGGAAUACCACUAGAUGGAUCAUGAAAUUAGCAGUCUUAUAGGUAAAAAAAAAUUGAUCGACUAAAUGAUGUGUUAAAAAACAAGAUUAAUACUUGCAUCUCUCCACUUGAAAAAUGUAGAUAUUUCUGUGAACACGGAAAAUUCCUGAAACGAAAGAGACAAGAACAACGUGCACAAAAUAAUAUUUUGGUGUUAAUGGAUUUGUUGGGUUACGAUCUCUUUUAACUUGAUCCUCUGAUUCGAUCUCCGUAAGGUGUUGAUUUAUGGAUGUUUCGUUGAUCCAAGGGCUGUUGAGGCUUGAUCUUAGAUGAACUGUUGGAAGUUUCUUCAAGGGGCCGUGGGCUUGAUCUUUGAAGGUGGAUUUGAGCGGAUCUUCAAGGAGCCGUUGGGGCUUGAUCUUGAGGAUGAGUGUUUCUUCAAGGGCCGUUAAGGCUUGAUCUUGAAUAACGGUGAUGAACGGAUCUUCAAGGGCUUUUGGGCUUGAUCUUGAAGAACGGUUGGAUGUGUGGAUUUGUUGAUGUUGUUGAUCCAAGGGCCGUCGGAGCUUGAUCUUGGAAGAACGAUGAACGAAGAACGAAGAACACUUUCUUCAAAGGCCGUCGGGGCUUGAUCUUGAAUUGGUGAUUGUUGAUCCAAGGGCCGUCGGGGCUUGAUCUUGGAAGAACGAUGAACGAAGAACGAAGAACACUUUCUUCAAGGGCUGUCGGGGCUUGAUCUUGAAUUGGUGAUUGUUAAUCCAAGGGCCGUCGGGGCUUGAUCUUGAUUCUUCGGGAUGAACGGAUGAUGAACAAUGAACACUUUCUUCAAGGGCCGUCGGGGCUUGAUCUUGAAUUGGUGGAAGUUCUUCAAGGGCCUUUGGGGCUUGAUCUUGAAGGUGGAUGAUUGUUGAUCCAAGGGCCGUCGGGGCUUGAUCUUGGGAUGAACAGUUGUGUGGAUUUGUUGAACACUUUCUUCAAGGGCCGUCGAUGCUUGAUCUUGAAUUGGUGGAAGUUCUUCAAGGGCCGUUGGGGCUUGAUCUUGAAGGAGGAUUUGACGAAGAACGAAGAGGGCUUUCUUGAUCCUUCGGGAUUUGCUUGAAUUUGGGAGGUUGGAUGCUUGAAAGCUUUAGAGUUUCAAAGCUUCAAGGAUUUUGGAUGUGUGGGGAGUAUUCUCUUCCAUUUUGGGAGUAGAGAAAUGUAUUUGUGAAUUGGUUUUUGAUACCUUGAUGUAGAAGCCUAUUUAUAGGCUUUGAGAAUGAAUCACCACCACAAAAUAUUUUUUUUCUUUUCCAAGCACCAUUGCCUAAUUUCCCACUUAAUACAAUUUUAAACUUGAAGUGGUAAUUUUAUGGCCUAAUUUUCCACUUAAUAUCAUUUUAAACUUGAUAUGUGCAUGCUUUGUCAUUGCCCAAAAUGAGAAGAAAACCUUGUUUUGAUCUUCAAUGAAUUGAAAUGUGCUUGCCUUGUCAUUGCCCAAAAUGAGAAGAAAAACUUGUGUAAUCCUUCAAGGGUAUUUCUUUUUAUUUUGUUGAGUCGCACACCAUGUGUACAAUUUGUAUGACACGUGGCAUAUGCCAUGUACGCCUUGACACGUCAAAAUUUUAAUGCGUUGGUGAACAUUUAUUUCACCGCAAUUUCGGUGUCUACAAAUGCCCCCACUUCAAGGUGCGUCGUAUACAUGUGCUUGUCACGUGUAGGAGAUGCGUUUUGAAGUCCCUUACUGUAGAUGUCAAUCCAAUGGCCAUCGAGGCUUGAUCUUGAAUUGGGCUGGAGAUUUCUUCAAGGGCCGUUGAGGCUUGUUCUUGGACUUUGUUUGAAAUUUCUUCAAGGGCCAUCGAGGCUUGAUCUUGAAGGUUGAAAUUGGACCACAAGGAGCUUCAUGUGGUAGAUGAUCUUUGGCUUUGGUAGUGGAUGAAUCGGCACGUAUUUGUUUUUGCGCUUUGUUGACUUUCCACAGCUUUGAUCUUGAACUGGGUUGGAGGAUUUUUUGGAUUCCUCCAAUUGUUGAUUUUCCACAGUUUAUUCUUGAACUGGAUUUGAUUCAAAUAUGGUGGACGCUUGAUCUUGAAUCGGACUUGUGAUUUCCUCAAGGGCCGUCGAGGCUUGAUCUUGAAUUUGGCCGGAAACUUCUUCAAGGGCCGUUGAGGCUUGAUUCUUGAAGGUUGACUCGAACACAUGGCAAGCAGGCACGAGGUGAAGGUGACGACUUGUUGCUUUGUUCAAUCUUUCUAAUUCACACCUGAGCAGUUUGGUCAACGGUAUGAUCUUCAAGAUUGAUGGGCUCUUCUUCCAGUUGGUGAUUUGAUCUUUAAGGAUUUGAUUCAAGGGUGGUGAAACGGCACAUGCAGCCCACAACGCCUAGCAAGUCGACCCAAGAAUUUGAGGGUUAAAACGAGUCCUCCACCCAGAGUGAUUGCAAACCUGAUGAUAUGAGAUACUUUUGAUUUUGAAGAAGUAGCGGAUGAAUCGGCACGUGCUUUGUUGUGCUUGUCUCCACAUGCUUCAAUGUAUCAUUUUCCCUUGUCUUAUCUAUUCUUCUAGCAGAAUGUAGCAUCUUCUUAAGUUCUUCAACUCAGACUCCUUCUGCUGAGCUGACUGUGCAGGCUGCAUUAUUCUCUGCUUGUUUCUUUAGGCAGAUGUGGCAGCUUCUUGAGUUCCUCAGCUCGGACUCCUUCUGCUGAGCUGAUUGUGAAGACUGCAUUCUUAUCUGCUUGUUUCUUCUGUACGUUGUCUCCACAUGCUGCAAGGUAUCAUUUUCAAUUGCCUUAUUUGUUUUCCAGGCAAAUGUGGCAUCCGAGUUUGAGUGGAGGUUCUGGCAUAUUGUUUUCUUUAUCCUUGUCUUUGUAGGUAAGAACAAGGACAAAGGAAAGGACAGGGAGAACGCAUGAUAUGAUAUACUCUUGCUUUCUACCCUGGUGAUAUGAGAUACUUUUGCUUUGGUGUCAUUUGUUUGCAGAGGUACCCCAAGGAAUAAGAAACACUGAGUGACUCGAGAGGCUUUGUUGGGAAGGCAUUCUAGGAGAUGAAGAAAGGUUCUUGGAGAUGAAGAAAGGUUCUCGGAGAUGAAGAAAGGUUAUGUAUGUCUGCCUUGCUAUGGAGGGUAAAGGUGGACAGUUAUAGGAAAUUCUUUAGUACCUGUAGAGGUACUAUUCUUUUACUCGUGUCGGCAACCAAUGUGUGAUUGAUCAGUAUGGCUUCACGUGUUUUCUUCUUUAUCAGAAAUCUUCGACAAAUUGUCCGUAAUUUUCGUCAAGCUGAGUGUGCAUGUGACAGGUGUUGACGAGGCUGAAAAAGACUGGUGCCUCUUCGAUAUCUGGGAUCGGCGCUUCGACAAAUUGCCCGUGAUUUCCGCAAAGCUGAGUUUGCGCGUGACGGGUGCUGACGAGGCUGAAAAAGACUGGCGCCUCUUCGAUAUCUGGGAUUGGCGCUUUAACAAAUUGCCCAUGAUUUCUGCAAAGCUGAGUUUGCACGUGACGGGUGCUAACGCGUCUGGAAAAGCAAGAUGCUUCUCCGAUUUCUGAGCUUGCCUCUUUGAUUUUUGAAUUGGCCUCUUCGAAUUCUGAGCUCGCCUCUUCGAUCUUUGAAAUCCCAUCGAGUGUUGAUCUUUAUAGAGGCACGCAGUUCGUUUCAAAGCACACUUGAAUUUUCGCUUGUAGAAACUCCCUUCUUGCACUUCUAAGAUCUUGAUUUGUCCGACCUCUUCUUUCUUCAACACCUUUGAAAAUGUCUGGACCCUCCGACCGUCAUUUUGAUUUGAACCUUGGUGAAGAGGUAGUCCCGUCUUCUCCAGAUAACAUAUGACGCCCAUCUUUCAUAUCCCCUACUGGUCCUCUUACCGUUGGGGAUUCGGUGGUGAAGAAUGAUAUGACCGCUGCGGUGGUGGCCCGAAACCUUGUCACUCCCAGAGAUAACAGACUACUUUCCAAACGGUCUGAUGAGUUGGCUGUUAAGGAUUCUCUGGCUCUCAGUGUGCAGUGUGCAGGUUCUGUGUCUAAUAUGGCCCAACGCCUAUUUGCUCGAACCCGUCAAGUUGAAUCAUUGGCGGCUGAAGUGAUGAGUCUCAAACAGGAGAUAUUAGAGGGCUCAAGCAGAGAGAUAAACAGUUGCAUAAGCUCGCACAUAGCUAUGCGACAAACAUGAAGAGGAAGAUUAACCAGAUGCAGGAAUCUGAUGGUCAGAUUUUACUUGAUCAUCAGAGGUUUGUGGGUUUGUUCCAGCAGCAUUUGCCUUCGUCUUCUGGGGCUGUACCGCGUAAUGAAGCUCCAAAUGAUCAACCCUUGGCUCCUCUUCUUCCUGGAGUUCCGCCGAGUGGUGUGGCUUCAAACAGUCAACCUCCGACGCCUCUCAUUUCUGGAGCUCUGCUGAGUGGUGAGGUGGCACCUAAUCGUCCUUGAAGAUCCCCUCUUGUAAAUUUGAUUUGAUUUUUUUUUAAGUAUGUAUAAUGCAAAUUUAUGUAAAAUUUCCAGAAAAAAUAAAUAAAAACGGACUUUAUUUCUCUCAAUGCAUUUGUUUUGUUUUGUUUUUGUUUUUUUUGUUUUUUUGUUUUUGUUUUUUUUGUAAAUACAUAAUAACAUAUGUAUUUAUUUAUUUAUUCUUUUGUAAUAAAAUUGACUUUCUUUAAUAAAACUUUUAUAUUUUUCUUAUUUAUUUUGAUAUGACUGAACUCGAAAUUGAAUGUUCGAGCCGCCUACGUACCCUUCCAAAGAAGAGAUCAAGCCAUAACGUAGUUCAAAUGAGUGAUGAAUUUAAUAGUGAUUUUGAUGAUGAUUUUGCCGUACACAGUUUAUGCUCUUGUGGGCCAGGAGCUUUGGUGUUGCCUUUUAUGCUCGUGCAGACCAGGAGCGUUGAUGUCGCCUUUUAUGCUCGUGUGGGUCAGGAGCGUUGAUGUUGCCUUUUAUGCUCGUGCAGACCAGGAGCUUUGUGCCAUGCAGUUUAGACUCGUGCGGGCAAGGAGCUUUGGUUCGUGCAGUUUAGGCUCAUGCGAACAAGGAGCAUUGGUUCGUGCAGUUUAGGCUCGUGCGAACAAGGAGCAUUGGUGUUGCCUUUUAUGCUCGUGCAGACCAGGAGCUUUGUGCUAUGCAGUUUAGACUCGUGCGGGUGAGGAGAAUUUGUGAAUUUUGUCAAGCACUUUUGGAGAGGCGUUCCUUACAAUCUUCAUAGCAAGGAGCCUUGACCGAGUGAUUGAAGAAGUCUUCGGGAAAGAAGUCGCACAUCGUGAUGGCAACAGACGAUCUUUGUGUCGUAAUUUCAUCAUCUUCAACACGUUCACGUUGCUUUGAAGGUUGACAAGAGCUGCUUUGCCCCCUUUCCGAUUGGCGGACUUGUGGAGGAGACGUAUGCUUCUUGUGCCAUUUCUUAGGAGUGACUUGAGUCCAUCCUUCAAGUUUGCUUGUUUUGGAGGAUGCCCCCGGCGGUUGAGGUGAAAAUUUUGUGUUGAAAGAGCCAGAAGUGAUGGUGGUAUAGUUUGACUUCACCACAUCGUCAAGAUCUAGCUCGAUGAUUCCUUUCUGAGCCCACUUUAUGAUGAGAUCUUUCAGCACAAAGCACUUUUCUGUCGGAUGACUGAUGAAGCGGUGGAAUUUACAGUAUCUUGGACUGUUGGUACGAUUCAUCUCUUCCGGCCAUCUGCACUCAGGCAAACUGAUCACCUUCUUGUCCAACAGGUCAUCCAACAUGGCAACCACAUCAGAGUCAGGGAAUGGAUAAGUCUUCUCUUUAAGCUCCUUCAAAGUGCGUCUACGCAUCUCUUGAUCACGAAAAGCUUCGGUUUGAAUCGUUUUGCCUCGUGUGGAGAUUUUGACGGGAGAUGUGUUGACUGUCAUUGCUUCCUUGGUGGAUUUCCACGUAGCCUUCUCCACCUUUGUCUCAAGAAUUUUGUCGUUCUUGUAGUCGGCGAUCGGUUCCUUCUUCCCAUGAUGGGUGAUGCUCAACUCCAUGUCAUGGGCGUGGGUGGCCAAUUCCUCGAAGGUCCGUGGUUUAAUGCCUUGAAGGAUGUAUUGCAAACCUCAUUGCAUGCCUUGGAUGCACAUCUCGAUUGAAGAGGUCUCCGAGAGCCUAUCUUUGCAGUCGAGGCUUAGAGUGCGCCAUCUGUUGAUGUAGUCAAUGACCGGCUCAUCUUUCCAUUGCUUCAUACUUGUGAGCUCCAACAUGCUUACAGUGCGGCGGGUGUUGUAGAAGCGGUUGAGGAAUUCCCGCUCCAAUUGCUCCCAGCUGUUGAUGGACUCAGGCUCUAGGUCCGUGUACCACUCAAAUGCGUUUCUUUUCAGCGAGCGCAUAAACUGCUUGGCGAAGUAGUCCCCCUCCGUCCCCGCGUUGUUGCAAGUUUUGACGAAAUGUGCAACGUGCUGCUUUGGGUUUCCUUUUCCAUCAAACUGCAUGAACUUUGGUGGUUGAUAUCCCAUCGGCAUCUUUAGGGCAUCAAUCUUCUUUGAAUAAGGCUUUGAGUACAACCCGGAGGUAUUUGAGCUCCCUUCGUACUAUGCCUUGACGGUGCUGGCAAUCAUCUCUUGCAACUGUUGGAUAGAAAGAGAUCCCAUGAGUGCCGCUUCUUGGUCUGGCUCCGGCUUCACAUCGAUUUUCUCCACCGUAGGCUCAUCUUCUGGGUUAGGGUUCUCGCUGUCCUGUGGCUCCAGUUGACUGAUGAGUGCAGCGAUUUGCAAGUCUUUUUCUUCCACAGUUCGGGUUAGCCUUGCGAUUGCUUCAUUCAUUUGAGCCAGUUGUUCUUCGAUGGAGGUAACGCCGAUGGUCAUGACUUGUGCAACCAAUAGACGUGACUUUCCUUUAGACAUCCAAGAUGCUGAAGAAGAACGUCAUUGGUUGUUUUGGGAUGUCAUCUUGUGUGCCUCAGCAACAUGCUUUGGUGCCCCCAGCGAGGUCAGGUUGAUGACAGACUCACACCUUUGAUGCUCCCUUUGCUCUUUUAGCGGCACCAACUUUGAAGUGGCAUGUUAAGGAGCGGUUGUGGUGCUAAUGGAUUGUCCAUUUGCGGCAGAAGUGCUUAGGAUCCUUCCCUCAGUGAUUGCGAGAACGGCUUGUCCCUUGCUUGAUGCCAUUGAUUUUGAGGUGUGUUUGGAUUCCUUAAACGGAGAAAGAUAUGAGAGGUAGAGAUUGUCCCACCGGGCGUGCCAAUUUGUGAACACGAAAAUUUCCUGAAACGAAAGAGACAAGAACAACGUGCACAAAAUAAUAUUUUGGUGUUAAUGGAUUUGUUGGGUUACGAUCUCUUUUAACUUGAUCCUCUGAUUCGAUCUCCGUAAGGUGUUGAUUUAUGGAUGUUUCGUUGAUCUAAGGGCCGUCGAGGCUUGAUCUUGGAUGAACUGUUGGAAGUUUCUUCAAGGGGCCGUGGGCUUGAUCUUUGAAGGUGGAUUUGAGCGGAUCUUCAAGGAGCCGUUGGGGCUUGAUCUUGAGGAUGAGUGUUUCUUCAAGGGCCGUUAAGGCUUGAUCUUGAAUAACGGUGAUGAACGGAUCUUCAAGGGCUUUUGGGCUUGAUCUUGAAGAACGGUUGGAUGUGUGGAUUUGUUGAUGUUGUUGAUCCAAGGGCCGUCGGGGCUUGAUCUUGGAAGAACGAUGAACGAAGAACGAAGAACACUUUCUUCAAAGGCCGUCGGGGCUUGAUCUUGAAUUGGUGAUUGUUGAUCCAAGGGCCGUCGGGGCUUGAUCUUGGAAGAACGGUGAACGAAGAAUGAAGAACGAAGAACACUUUCUUCAAGGGCCGUCGGGGCUUGAUCUUGAAUUGGUGAUUGUUAAUCAAAGGGCCGUCGGGGCUUGAUCUUGGAAGAACGAUGAACGAAGAACGAAGAAGGCUUUCUUGAUUCUUCGGGAUGAACGGAUGAUGAACAAUGAACACUUUCUUCAAGGGCCAUCGGGGCUUGAUCUUGAAUUGGUGGAAGUUCUUCAGGGCCUUUGGGGCUUGAUCUUGAAGGUGGAUGAUUGUUGAUCCAAGGGCCGUCGGGGCUUGAUCUUGGGAUGAACAGUUGUGUGGAUUUGUUGAACACUUUCUUCAAGGGCCGUCGAUGCUUGAUCUUGAAUUGGUGGAAGUUCGUCAAGGGCCGUUGGGGCUUGAUCUUGAAGAAGGAUUUGACGAAGAACGAAGAGAGCUUUCUUGAUCCUUCGGAAUUUGCUUGAAUUUGGGAGGUUGGAUGCUUGAAAGCUUUAGAGUUUCAAAGCUUCAAGGAUUUUGGAUGUGUGGGGAGUAUUCUCUUACAUUUUGGGAGUAGAGAAAUGUAUUUGUGAAUUGGUUUUUGAUACCUUGAUGUAGAAGCCUAUUUAUAGGCUUUGAGAAUGAAUCACCACCACAAAAUAUUUUUUUCUUUUCCAAGCACCAUUGCCUAAUUUCCCACUUAAUACAAUUUUAAACUUGAAGUGGUAAUUUUAUGGCCUAAUUUUCCACUUAAUAUCAUUUUAAACUUGAUAUGUGCAUGCUUUGUCAUUGCCCAAAAUGAGAAGAAAACCUUGUUUUGAUCUUCAAUGGAUUGAAAUGUGCUUUGCCUUGUCAUUGCCCAAAAUGAGAAGAAAAACUUGUGUAAUCCUCCAAGGGUAUUUCUUUUUAUUUUGUUGAGUCACACACCAUGUGUACAAUUUGUAUGACACGUGGCAUAUGCCAUAUAUGCCUUGACACGUCAAAAUUUUAAUGCGUUGGUGAACAUUUAUUUCACCGCAAUUUCGAUGUCUACAAUUUCAUUUCUUGUGAAUAAUGUUUAUCCUGUGUUCUGUCCAAUCGCGUAUUAAAAAAUGUGUGAAGUUUGGAUUAACCACACUCUUUUAGAAUUUCCUUUAUUUACCACUUUUUGAGAAUUUCCAAUAAGACUGGGUGAGUCUCCGCUGAGAAUUUCCUCAACUAACACCACACUACUUGAGGGAUAAUUUGUUAUAUCUUUGAAUAAAGAAUAAAACAGUUUCCUACUUUUGAAGGUACUAUUAACUUACACUAUAUUUGGAUGAAGGUCAAACUUUAUAAAUUGACAUACACCAAAUUCUUUGUUUGGAUUCAUAAACAUAUAAAUUUAGAAUUUCCGCGUGGAAAAAAAAAAUACUUAGAAUUUGAGACCUCCAAUUCUCAAAUUGAAAGUUUAAAAAUAAUAAAUUCCGUAUUCAAUUCAAUUGUUCUUUUAGGUUAACCAAAUAAGAAAAUUCACAAAUUCUAAAAUAUAAAAUCUCAUCAUUUCAAUUUCCGUCAUUUUAAAAUUCCUUAGUAAUAUUAAAUUUCUUCAUCCAAACAUAGUGUUAAGAAAUUUUUUAAAGAUACACUAUUUACACUCAUUUUUAUUUCUUACACAUUUAUUAACUUUGUCCAUUGAUUUCUUCAAUUCAUUUUGCCAGUUAUACAAAAAUUGAGAACAGUAUUUAUGAAUUAAAAAUACAUUUGUAGAUGUCACUACCAAAUUUUUAUUCCUAAUUCAAGAAAAUCUUAUCCAUAUAUGAUUGCCCUUGCCCACUUUAAAUGGGUGCCAUCACUUUACGAUAGAGCAAUCCUAACCGUCCACCUAGGUAAGCAUAACUGGCGAUGCAUGUCGCAAGGGGACCGCAUUGCACAAUAUAAUUAUACUAGUUGAUAAGACAAGUGAUGUCAAUCAAUAAAUUAUUUCAUUAAAACUUAGUUGUAUGUAUCAUAUGUUGUAAUGUAGGGUGUAUGAUAUGCUGACGCUGUAAAAAAAUGUAACCUUUUUAAUAUUACUCAUAAUAGUAAGACUUACCAGUAUUAGGAUGUUAUCAGUGGAAUGAGAAUCCUCUCCAGAUCUUUUUUGUGAGCUAUUAUUUGUAUUUAAUUUUAAAUAUAAAAAAUUAAAAUAAUUUAUGACGGCAGUGAUUCACAUGAUCUUCACAAAGAGAAUCCAAAUAAUCUUAAUUUAUAUCAGUGUGUCUAGAUAACAUGAUCGAGCCCCUUUACUUUUACCCUAUUUAGUAUUUUACAUUUGAACCUGUAAAUAUUCGAUUUUUCUUUGGUGCAACCGAGCACCAAAUAUAGAUUUUUUUUCACUUUUAUAUAAUGAUAAAUAAAGGGCAAUUGGCAGAUUUGAAUUCCAUUCGGAUUGGUCAAAAAUCAUUUUAAAUUGUUUUAUUUAAAAUUAAACACAUAUAGUACUUAAUAAAAAUUAGUCGUACAAUAUACGAUAAACAGAUAUAAUGUAAGGACCUUUAUGAUCUUCACAAAAAAGAUCCAAAGGUUGUGUAGCUGUUUCAAAAGGAUAAUACUCACUUUUGAUUAGUUCAAUGAAAUUUUAAACAUGUUUUAUUGUUUUAAAAAAUAAUAAACAUAUUUAUUAAUGUUUGUUUUACUUUAAAAAAUAAGCAGCACUUGACAACAUUUGAUUGUGCUAAAUAAAAAAUGAGUGACCACUUAGUACUACAGUCUUAUGAUAUUUUUCUUCAUUUGAAAGUGAGAGGUUUUAAGUUCGAAUCUCGUGGAUGACGAAUUUGAUAUCAAAUUAGAUUGCUCACUAUGUGGCUUAGCCGAACUCUCAUUUCCUUUAAUGUAAAAAUAUUGAUGUAUUCAAAAAAAUAAAAAGUGACUAUAGAGGACACUCAAUCUCAGCUGUAUGAUUAAAUCAGACGGUAAGAAAAAUUCUGCAAGCAUACUCGGUUACAUUAAUUGAAGAAAAAAUGGGUAAAUAUUGGGCACCAACGUUAUAAAUACCCUCCACCAUGCACCCAACUCCCUCACACCAUCACAACCCACGUUACAAAUCCUCCUCCUCAUCAUAACCAUUCUGUUUUCCGCAUAAUAUCCAAAAACCUAUCAUGUCUGAAGAGAAACACCACCGCGGUCUCUUCCACCACCACAAGGAUGAAGACAAACCCUCAGACUACCCUCAGUCUGGCUACUCUGAUGAAGGACGUCCCGGCGGCCUCGGUGGUGGUUACGGCGACACCAAUGAUUAUUCUGGUGAAGGACGUACCGGCGGCCUAGGUGGUGGCUAUGGCGACACCAAUGCUUAUUCUGGUGAAGGACGUCCCGGCGGCUAUGGCGGCUAUAACGAGACCACUGCUUACUCUGAGGAAAGAGUUGAAAGACCCGGCGGUGGCCGGUACAGUGAGACUACUGCGGCAUAUGGCAGCACCACCACUCAUGAAUCUGAACUUGAUUACAAGAAGGAGGAGAAGCACCACAAGCAUCUCGAGCACCUCGGCGAGGCCGGUGUAGCUGCUGCCGGCGCUUUUGCCUUGGUACGUAUUGUAUUUUAACCCACCUCUAUAUAUAUAUAUAUUAGAAUAAUGCUAAUAAGACCAAAUUUUGAAAACUAAAUGAUGUGGUUGUUGAUAAUGAACUUAUUACUCAAGUCUUGAUUAACAUGCUUAUUUUCUAAUAGUGACACAUUAUUUGGUUUAGAAAUUUGGUCUUCCUAACUUUAUCAUUCUCAAAAUUUUCAUGAUUUUGAUAGGGUAAUACGGGAGAUCAAAAUUUCUAAACCAAAUUUGCAAACCAAUAGAUGAUUGGAUUAUUAAUUAAGUAUCGAUUGUUUGUUUCUUAUUAACGACAUAUCAUUUGAUUUACAAUUUAGUUAAAAAAAAUUUAUUCUUUCUGUCAUAUCCUUUUGAAUAUUUGAUCACUUUACUCUUUAUCACUUUACCCUUGAUCACUUUACCCAUACUCUUGCAACCGAAUCACCGUCCUCCUCCUUAACCUUCAUUUUUUUGUCUUACAGUACUCCAAUCUAUCAACUCUGUCCAUUGCAACUUUAAUUGUGAAGAAAAUUAAAGUCCUAUCGUAAAAUUAAUUAGUGAUAUGGAGAGUUGCGCAAUUAUUGAUGGACUAGGUAGGUAAGAUACGGAAUCAAAGUCUACCAUUAACAAUGGACGGAAUUGAUGAACCAUAUAGGUAUGUAAGAUACGGAAUCAAAGUCCUCAUGUAAAUGGUACAGUUGCAAUCAGGAGAAGAAAUGAGUUAACUGAUACCUUCGUAAUAGUUCAUGUAGAGUUUUGAUAUUAUUAAGCCUUAACCACCUGAUCUUAUAUAUACGAGGACAAAUCUAAUCAAAUAUGUGUUAAUUUCAAGGUUUGUUUUACAUUGAUGUGAGAUCGAUGCUAGCAAGAUAUAUAACUUAUGUCAGUUUCUAUAUGAUGUGUGUAGCAUGAGAAGCACAAUGAAAAGAAAGACCCAGAGCAUGCCCACAGGCACAAGAUAGAAGAGGAGAUUGCUGCAGCAGCUGCAGUUGGUUCGGGUGGAUUUGCCUUCCAUGAGCAUCAUGAGAAGAAAGAGACAAAGGAAGAAGAGGAAGAGGCUUAUGGAAAGAAGAAGCACCACCACUUCUAGAUCUAUGUGGAUUGUGGAACAUCAUCUUUUGACUACAUAUGCAAUGUUGUGUUUUUACUAGUUAUCAUGUGGUGUGAUCAGUGAGAGUGUGAUGCUUAAUCUCAACAAUAUCGCUACAAUAGUUGAGUGGUUAAAUGUCCUUUUCAAUUAAUGGGUGCUAUCUGGUUUUCUUUUAGCAUGCCAUCUAUGUAUGUAUGUAUGUAUGUAUGUCAUUGUUAUUGUUCAUAAUAAUACUGUUUACUCGGUGUUUAUUUCCUAGUGGCCACAUCUCAUUUUAAAUGAUUUCUUCAUACCAUUAAUUUUUUAAAUGUAAAGACUCAGUAUCCAUAUAACUACGAAAAUUUUUGACAAAACAAAAACAAGAAAAAAGAAAAGGAAAAAAUGGCUUAGCAAGUUUGUAUCCUAUAAGACAAAUGGGUACGUGGAACGAUGGACAUCUCACAAUGGUUUUUGAAUCGUCGGAUCAUCAUGGUUGGACUAUAUAAUUAUCAUUGAUAUAAUAUAAAUUUUGAUUUUUUUUUAGGAAAUUAAUAUCUGAAAACAAUAUUGAUGUACUGCAUUUGUUUUGGACGAUAUUAUACUUUAAUCCAAAUUUUGAGAAAAAAAAAACAUAUCGAACUCAGGUGUACAAGAGUGGCUUUGCUACCCAUGUACAGGGCUAGUUCUGAGUUUUUGGGUGCCCAGUGCGAAAGCUCAAAAUGUGACAUUUUUUAAUACGAAAACAUAUAUUAAAAAAAAUAUUUAAUGAGGGCUGGAACCCAGUCGAAGCUGGAGGGCUAGGACCUCACGCCCAAAUUAUAUUACUUGAGAAAAUAUACAACUGAGGAGGGGACAUGGUACCUAAACCCCGACAAUCAAAAGUACAAUCAUAUACAACCACUCCUAGCAAAUCUCCUUCAAAUUUCAACCUUUAAGAAAUUGUCUUCUGGCAUUUUUUGAAGCAAAAUCAUCAAUUAUAUCAUCAUACUCCAAGUCUUCAAUCUCAUCAUUUUCAAUGCAUAAGAUUGCUAAUCCAUUUAGCCUAUCUUGAGUCAUAGUGGUCCGCAAGUAAGAUUUUAAUAAUUUCAAUUUUGAAAAACUUCUUUUUGCAGAUGCCAUGGUCACAAGUACAGUUAACAGUACACGAUAAGCAAUCAAGACAUUAGGACACAUGUCAGUUUCUUUUACAAAAUUUGCUAUUUCCAUGGAUGUCCAAGGGUUAUUAGAGAGAAAUGCUUCUUCAGGUAAUAUCAUUUGCAAAACCUGCAAUUCGGAAUAUAAGUCAACUCCAUCUACAUCCAUGGUAUUUCCAUGUUUCAAAUGUGCUUCAAGAUUCAUACAAUUUUCUUUUAGCUCUUGAUCAUCCAAUGAAAUUAACUUUGGUGCAUCAAACAAGAAGCCAAAAAUAGAUUCAAAGGAUUUUAACUGUUCAAACUUGUGUUUCAGUUGAGAAAGAGCAAUAUCCACUAUAACAAGAAAAUAAUAUUUCCUAAAUGAUUCUUUAGCAGAUUAUUGUUCCCUCUCAUUACCAUCAACUUCAUCAUGAUGUCUUUUUCUAGGUCUAUGACAUUUAGUUUGAAAAAACAGGGUCAAUUUCCAAAUCAAGUGCAAUUUCAUUAGCAUCACUCAUGGCGGAAGCAAAACCAGUUUCUCUGUAGUUUCCAAAAAAUGUAACAAAUGCUUCAAAUGCCUUUACAGCAACAUCAAGACGCAUGUCUUUAGAUUGUAAUUUUAUGCUCACCAUGUUAAUCUUCAACAAAAUGUCAUACUAAAUAACCAAACUUAAUACAAAAUCAAAACUUGAAAGUUCGCCUGAUGCUAAACAUCUUGCAUCCCUACUUAAUUGAGGAUUUUCAGUAAUUUCCACCAAUUAAACAAAGCAUUUCUAACCUGGGCUACUUGAGACUUAAUUGCUUUAACAUUUUCAAUGUGACUUUCCCAUCGAGUAGUUGACAAUGACUUCAAAGUUAAACCAUCAAUAUGUUCAACCAAAAUAUUCCAACGCUUUGUAGAGUUGGAAAACACCAUAUAUAUGCAUUGACAUGCUCUAAAAAAAGAUUUUGCUUUAAGACAUGAACUUGCCAUAUCACAAACUAUUAAAUUAAGCUAAUGAAAACCACAUGGCAUGUAAAAGGCUAUGGGAUUUAUGUCUAACAAUCUUUUCUGGACAACUUGGUGUUUCCCUCUCAUGUUAGAUCCAUUAUCAUAACCCUGUCCCCUCAUAUCAUCAAUAUCAAGGUCUAAAAUAUCGAUAUUAUCCCGAUAUUUCUUUCGAAAUUUCUGUGUUUUUGGAUUACCGAUAUUUCCGAUAUCAUCGAUAUUUUAGACCUUGAUAGGAACUCUAUGUGAUACUAAGUCACUCAUGUAUCUUACCAUGCAAUGUAUAAAGUGUAAAAUAUUGUAUUAAUUCAUUAUAUAUAAAUGAUUAUGGUGUGUUUAACUUCUUUCAUUAAUUACUACAUAUUUUCUACACUCAAAAUGUUUGUCAGCUCACUAUAUAAUCAACUUAAAUAAGUUAAAUCCAUCAUGAAAUGCAUUUCGUUCCAAUUUUUUGUAAUAAACUAGUAGAUAAUUGACUAAAUAAACAUCCUGCAAAGUUUCAAUAAAAAUUUCCAAGUUUUUCUUAUAAUUUCCGUGGUUUUUAUUCAAUUUUUAUCGAUAUCGAUAAUAUCCCGAUAUUUCCAUCAAAAUUUCCGUAUUUUUGGACUAUCAAUAUUUUCGAUAUCAUUGAUAUUUUAGACCUUGAUCAAUAUCAAGAUCAAGAGAUUUUAGGACAUCUUGCAGCUCGUUAAAAAGCCCUUGUCCUAAUGUAUCUUUCACACUUAAAAACUCCAUGAAAUACUCCCUUAUAUUUAUUGACCUACUUGACAAGUCAACACAUCACAAAAUUAAAGUCAUCUGUUCCACAUGACUUGCAUUAGGAGUACAAUCAAGAAUGACAAAAAAAAAUUUGGCUUCUUUUACUUUUUUAAUGAUUGCGGUUUUGACUUUUGAAGCUAAAGUAGCUAUCAACUCAUUUUUGUUGGAAAUGUGCCCUAAAACCAAUCAUAUGAUGAUACUUUACGAACGUUUCACAUGUUAAACUAAUAUAGUUUAAUAUAAAGGGCAAAAAUUAUUGUUUGUAGCCGUCUCAUAUAAAUGUUAUACGCUUAAACGAUAAGUCCAAGGAAUAUGUAAUUGGGAGAAUGCGAUCUAAAGAAGUUAGAUUCAUGAGACCAUUCUCUUCCGUAUACAUAUCCUAAACGUUACUGAUCAUAGGAUUGUCAAUUGGGCAUUGAUAGUCUGUUAAGAUCAGUACGUGUUAUGUCUUCUCUUAAGGAGAGUGACUGGUCUCGAGUCAUUGGUGUGACUGACACCAAGACAAGCAUGUAGGUGCUCAAUAGAGAAUGAGUCCACUGAACACGAUCAACAAGGAGUUCUCAUACUCAUGUCACAUGAGAACUCGUGGUUGGAAUAAUGCAAAGUAGUCAUUUGACCUGAGGCAUCAUAGUUGUCUUGUGGUUAGGUCCUUGAUCUUUGACUAUGUCAAAGUCACUCCGUCAGAGGGUGUCCAUUGCAUAGUUGGGGUUAAGCCACUUAGCCAUGGAGGCAAGUGAAUGCACAAUAAGGGAUCUCUAACCUUCAAACUAUUUGAGGGAGAAUACUCUAUGAUAUGAUUAAGAAUCUCUGGCCAGAGUAUGAAUGAUAUUUAAGAAGUCGUUCCAAAUCACAUUCAAGGUAAUCAUAUAAGUAAGAGAAUCACAUUGGAUAGUAGACAUGAAUAAACUAUCAAACCAAACAAUGUGGUCAAGAGUAUUGUAUUAGAGUAAGACCGUAUUGCAUUGUAAUCCUAAACUAAAUAGGUUCUCCACCUCUUCUGAUCAGCUUGGGUAACCAUGACAUACUGCUAGGUGUUACUCAUGAUUUGUGGAAGCCCUAAACGUGUAUAAUCACUAAAGGGAGAAUUGAAAGUAAGUUUCAAUUUACAAUCGAUUUGAAAGAGUUCUAAUCGCUCACUGCCUCGCUAAAAGGAACCUAAUGGAUCGUACACCGUGUAAGGUAGAGAUUGAAAAAACAACGGAGAUAAGUAAGGACAAUUAAAUGGUUUAAUUGUUUAUGACAAGAAUUAAUUAAUAUGUUAAUUAAUCAAACGAAUAAGUUCGGGUUAAACCUUGAGUUAGUUUUGGGCAUUAAAGCCCAAAUUGGGCUUCGAAUCUUCAAACCCAUUAGCUUAAGUUGUAUGACAACUUAACAAACAAAAUUCAAGAAGCCCAAAACAGCCCAAAGGCUUGGGAAAACCAGCCAUAUAGAGAGGGGUAGUGAACUUGGCUUAAUUGCAAGUUUGCCAUUCCAUUGUGAGGUGGUAUAAAGGCAACUUUAUAGCCAUUUCAUCCUUAGGGUUUCUUUUGGAGAAAAGAUGAGAACACAAGCUCCCUUUUCUCUCUAAGAGGCUGGCCACCCUAGAGGAUUUUAGCUAGCAAUCUUACUUCCUCUAGGUCACUCAUCUCUUCUUCAAGUCAUUCCUUGGUGUGGAGACUUAGAGGUUCCUUUCAACCAUCUUCAUCCAAGAAAUCCAUGGAGCUAAGAAGCAAGGAAUGAAGGCCCUCGCCUUGGGUGAUUAGCCUUUGCUUAUGCAAAGAGGAAUCAACAAAGGUAUAAAAUUUCUCAACUCACUUUGUUCUUGAGUUGAGUCUUGGUUCACAUAACUACUAGGCUUUGAAUUUCAUGGGUAAUGUUUUGUUUUGAGUGCAUACAAGCAUGAUUCCGCCUUUAAUUGUUAAUUGCAUGCCAUAGAUGUUGCUCAAAUGAACAUGUUUCUCACAAAAUUUCCUUCAAUUUUGAAUUUUAUGGCUCAAAUAGUGAUGAUGAAUCUCUUUAUUCUCAAUAAGUCGAAAAUGCUAUUGCAUUAUUGGAUCAAACUCCGCAUUCAUUUCAAGUAAACCUAAGAAGUUGCCAUUAGAGUCUUCAUAAAGUCUUUCAUUUGUUCCACGAAAUGCUAAAUUACGUAUGGCAAGACAUUUCAUAACAUCAAUAAUUCUAAGCAUCACUUGUUUCCAAUGAUUUGGCUCUUUCUUGAUUUGCAUUUGAAAUUCUUUGUCAAUUGUCUGAUUUUUUGUCAAUCUACUUUUCAACUCAACCCAAGUUCUCGAAUUAAUGAGAUGCUCUUUACUCUUUUCAUAUUGGUCAAGCUUCUUACCAAGAUGUCUCCAAUCACUAGUUCCAUCUUUUGCUAACUCACUUUUUGAGGCAAUUAUUUUAAACAAUUUACAACAAAAGCAAAAGACUUUAUCCAACUCUUUUGAGUACACGAGCCAUUUCCUAUCGUAAAUUUUACCCGUUCGUAAUUUUCGAUCAUAGUAGUGUGAGGAAAAUUUUCUAGAGAAUUUGUCCUUAGGAUAAGUGAAUUAGUUUCUCAAAUUGGUCCUUUUUCUACAAGUAAGUCUCUCAUUUUUGCAUUAAGACCAUCCCAAACUAUUGGAUCAUAAAUGUCUAAAUGAAAAAUAGGUUCAAGAGAUUCAAUAUUUUCUUCUACACCAAAAUGAUCAUCAUCAACAUUUAAAUCCACAUCACCACCAUUUUCAUGAUCUUGAGACUCAUCACCAACAUUUUCCUCUAAAUCACCACAAUUUUCUUGGUCAUGAGACUCGUCAUUAACAUCUUUCUCCACAUAACCACAAAUUUCAUCAUCAUGAGACUCCCCAACAAUAUUUUGUGACUCUUCACCAACAUCAUUUUCUCUCAAAUUUUCAACCGACUCAUUCUUUAUAGAAUUUUUUUUAUUAAGAGAUCCUCUUAAACUUUAGGCAAUUUCGUUAUCCUUUGCCUUUUUUUUCCUUUUCAUAUUACUAGAGAGUUAUUUUCUAAAAGACAUGGCUUUGAUAAUUUGUUUGCAAAAAUUACCUACAUAUGAUAUAACAAAAAUUUCCUAUUAAAAUUAUCAUCAACAAUUCAAAAAUUACCUACACAUGAUAAUCAAGAAUUCAAUUCAUCAACAACAACAAUUCUAUACAUCAAUUAUCAUAUAAUUCUGUCACUUGCAAAAUUUAUAUUAAAUUAUGAAUUAAUAAUUCAAAUUAAAAAAUUAGUUUACCUCAAAACUCAAAAGGGUUGUUGAAUGCAAGGACUUGUGGGCCUGUGGCUGUCGGGUUUGGAAGCUGUAGCCUGCAGCAGCGCAACAAAUUAUCAGACGGUAAGGGCUAGGGCAGUGGGGUAACAAUGGGGUGGGGAAUCGGGAAAAAGGGGAACUUAGGGUUAAUUGGGGGGGGGGGGGGCGGGGACGAGUGGUCCCCUUGUGUUGUUAUUUUUUAUUUUUUUAAUGGCCAAAACCUGGGCUGGUCUUUUUUUUUUAAUUUUUUUAUUAUUUAUAAAUGCCCAAAACCUGGGCCGUUCCCUUCAUUUUCAAACUUGGGCCUCUUGCCCUCUAGUUCUUAUUUUGGGCUCUGGACAAAUUUUUUUUAUACCUAAUUAUUUGGACUUUUUUUUUGGUGCCCCUUUCAAUUUUGGGCCUUGGAAUGGCCCUGGUUGCACUGGGCCUGGGCCGGGCCUGCCCAUGUAUAUGUUAUCUUGUGAUUUGACAAGUCAUAUGUAUAUCAUAUCAAUUUUAUCUCAAUUGUGGUGAUGGUACAUAAUACUUACUACAUCGUAUGGCAACAAAUAAAUAUGGGCAUAAAGAUAAAUAGAAUGGUAUCAGUAAAUUAAGGUCUUCACAUUACGAUUAUAUUUAUCUCUAUUUUUAGUGGAAAGUUUUAAGGAUAAUUUUUUUUCUGCCUCCUACAUGGGUCUCGAUUCUCCUCUACGGUAAAAAUCCGUAUGUUUUAAAUAUUGAAAAGUUAAUUUAGCCCAAAUCCUUGCCUAUUUUAGGGAAAAUAAAAAAAAUUCAUUUUUAACCCUUUGAUUACUUAUAUCACCUAGUAUAACCUUUUUUUUUGUGUGAUACAAACAAAUAUUUUUGUUUGGGCCCAAAAUAUUAUUUUAGGCUGAGCUUAGGUCAUUCUCGGCCUAGUGGCAUUCAUUUAGAAUUUUGUUAUGGGCCGUCCAGUUAAGGUCAGCCGAAUCCUAUUAUGAAAAGGUUUGGUUUGGAUAAGGGUGAGUUGGUCGAUACUAGUGCAACAAGGAUUCUGAAGACUAAGGACAUUGAGAAUUAAAGGGUGAAUUUGGUUUGUUAAGAAGCUUGGUUCAAAGUCCUACAGGAAUUAGGAUUGGUUGAAACCUGAUCGGAUUGGGUUGAGGAGUUCUAAUCCUAGUCCAUUUCUAGUUCGGCUAUGAGGGGAUUCAUUAUUAUAAAUAGAGAAGGGAGUGCAUCAUUCAAAGCCCCUCCAAUUCAACACACAAAUUGCCUUGUGCAAAGCUUCUCAACAACCUUUGAGAUUUUAUCCACUUCCUCUUUCUUUUGCCAACACAUCUUCAGUUUGGAUAAAUAGCACUGUGAAGGCAACCGUCGACAUCUUCAGUUUGGAUAGACUGCACUAGAGCCGUAAAAUUAGCCGACCAAGGAGCACCUUUAGUUUGGAUGGACAACACUGCUUUGAGGCCGACUGGCUAUUUAUUCAAGUCUCGGCUGAGAAGGAUUUUCAAAUCCUUGUUGGUAGAGGUCAUCUCGUCAGCCUUCUCGGCAAAGUGAGGUGUUACAGGUUUCUGGGCUCGGCACAUUGAACGUUGAGUUUUGUUUUAUGAUUAGAUACUCACAAGUAAGUUUUAGAGUUUGGCAUUCCGAUGGCCGAAUCACAUUUACAAUCAAGAUAUAUAUUUCUUUCGAGUAUUUGUGUCUGUAUAGUUUGGUACCAGUUCGGCAUGCUUAUACUCUCACGAAUAUAAUCACUAUGAUCGAACCUGAUGCCGAUGAUUUGUGAACUUCAUAGAACUAGCAACCUUGUCUUCAGGCAUUAUAAUCCAAAGGCCGAGACAUGUUCCUUCAUCGAUCGCAGUCGUAAGAUCGAGAAGUCAGCAGCGCGCCCAACGAGACAUCAACACAUUCUAUUCCUCGACCGAGUUGGCACGCCCUGCACAUAACUGAAGGACGUAGUUAGCUUAUUAGUUACUCAGCCUAUGCGUCACGUAGGCUUCAUAGUUUUUAGUGUCAACAUUUUGGCAUGCCCAGUGGAACCCAGUGUUAAAGCUACGAAGUUCAUGACCAUUGAGACACGGUCAGUAAAAAAGAAACCAGUAAUGGGAAAGUUGACAACUAAUCUUCCAGUCUAAAACUCAUGACAAGAUGGGUUGUUAUAGACACAGAUUCAUGCUGCUGCCAUGACACCUGAAGCCACAAGUGCGACAUGCCGAGAAAAGGAAGUGAAUCUUGGCAAUCAGCCUUGUGGUGCAGAAAUCCCCACCAAAACGACAAAAGGCAUUUUUGUUGAAGGAAUAGUGGAUGAUUAUGACGAGGACGGUGGUAAGGCCUCUGAUCCACCAACCAGGUCGUUUUUUCGACGACGACUUGAAGAGUAAUCUUGACAACUUGAGCAGAUGUUCAGCCGAGAGAUAAAAAAACAUAUUUAAAGAAAUGCGUGAUAAUAUCGCUGUACAUAAUUUAUUGCUCGAAGUUCUGGUUAGUAAAGUCCAUGACAUUGGACCCACCAAUCGAUCCAGGCAUCAUUUUUUCAGGAAUAACCCACUACCAAUAGUACAGGUCGAGACAUAAUCCACUUGGCUCAAAAUGAUUAACUUACAGAAAAGUGGUGGGUUAAUCAGCAGAUCAAACGGAUUCGACCAGAGAGCGGAAACGACAUAUGUUGAUAUGGUUGAAGUUUAGAGAAUGAUUGAUUCGGCCUUGAAAAAUGGGCCAAAGUUUCCAAAAUUCAUUCACCCAUAUCCUGCCUUUGUAGAAAAGUUUGAGUACCCAAAGGGGUUCAAGAUCUCUGACUUCAGCCUUUUCGUUGAAGAGUCGUCCCUAUUGUCAUUAAACACGUGGCUCAAUUCACUGCUCAAUGUGGGGACGUUAACAGUGAUUUCCAUAAGCUACGAUUGUUCAAUUUCUCGUUAACCAGCUCAGCAUUCGCAUAUUAUAUCAACCUCUCACCCAACUCUAUCCAAAGUCAGGAGGAACUGGUCGAGAAAUUUCAUGAGCAAUUCUAUCGACUGGGGAUGGACGUAUUAGUAUCUUCUUGGGCUAGGAUGGCUCAAGCCUCUGAUGAGUCACCAAUGGAAUACUUUACAAGGUUUAAGUUGGCCAGAAAUUGGUGUCGAGUACCUCUUCCUGAAGUCGAGUAGGCUUGCCCUGAAUGGCUUAGACGUGGAGUACAAGAAGAAAUUCUUAAGGGCAUACUUUCGAGAUAUGUACGAAUUGGCUCAGCAUGUCGAGCAAUAUGAUUAUUUUCUCUGAGAGGAAAAGAUCUCGAAGUUUUCAUCCCGAGGAACGAUCUACAAGAACUUUACGGUUAGCUAUGCAUCGGCCAAAGGCGAGGAGUCCCAAUAUGCUAGUAUAGACGUGGCCAAGAUAUUAAUCGACAAACUGUACAUAUGUAAAACAUUGGCUCAUGCUACCUGUUCAGCCUUUGAGGAAGCUGCCGUCAAAACGUUAAAAGUCUAUACUUUCGACAUCACUAAGGCUGAUGCCAUCUUUGACCAGUUAUUGCUUGCAAAAAUUGUCAAGCUUCAGCCAGGGCAUAAUAUUCCAAAGGUCAAGGACUUAAAAGGAAAGACAUAUUACAAAUACCACAACUCGAACAAGCAUACGACAAACAACUGUGUCGUAUUUCGCGAUGCCAUUCGAAACUGGAUAGAUAACGGUAAGCUUAAAUUUCCUGAGAAACCAAUGGUCAUUGACACCAAUCCUUUCCCUAUGACAACGGUAAGCAUGGUAGAUGCUCACCUACACAAGGAUAAGAGAAAAGGAAAAGCCGAGUUCAUCCCAACGCAAUACGUCCCUAAGCAGAAUUCUCGAUCACAAUUGAAAGUCAAUCUAUCCUUGGGUGAGCCACCCAGAUACUUUUCAAACCCAACUAAUACCGAGUCAAUAUCAAACUCCAGCACGGGAGAAAGUGACAUGCCAAUGGUUUUAUGCAGUUGGUGUAAAUCAAACGUCAUCAUAACUAAGCUGAAGGAAAAGCCACUUCGGACUGAAGCACCACUAACGCCUGUAGUUGUAGCAACACCUCAAAAAGUGCUUGGUACAGACCAACACCAUAAAGUUUUUGAUAGGCUCAGCCCUCAAACACGGAAUGACGGCCCGUCUUCGGCCCGAUAAUGACUUAAUUUCGACGUUUCGUUUUAUAAUGAAGAGUAUUAUGUGUGCAACUCCAGCAACUCGAGUUCAUCCGCGAACCAAAGAAACUUCAAGUCACCUGAGCCAUGCGACUAGUGUUGGUAUACCUACAAUUCCCUACCGAUGUAUAUAUUGCAUUGUCCAAAUCGUAGAAACAUCAGCGCCAAAUAAUGGACUAUAUGGCUCGCCAAUGAGCAGCCCAGACUACCUCGGUCACCAAGUGGCAACUGAAAGAAACGGUAGAUAACGAAGAUGAUUGACAACCUUCGGCCAUCAUGGUUGAGUUGCUUCAAGGAAAGAAAGUGAUCGAUCGUGACUUUGAAACCAUGAUUGAAGAAUCUGAAAAGUGAAUCAAACUCUUUCUUCGGCCUAGGGAGAUGAAAGCUUGCCUCGAGCACUUUCGGAAAGAAGUUGAAAACAAACUUCCUUUACUACCCUCGCAAGAGCCAUUAAUUAAAGUUCGAAGGAAUCUUCACCCGCCAUUUCUUAACAAAGCUUUAGAAUACAUGCAAGAGUUCCAUAUAAAAACAUUCAGCUAAUGGUUAAUAUUGCAUGCCAAAAGCAUGCCAAGAGGCUCUUGAUCUAGUAUUAACUUGCCCCGAUGCCGAACAAAUCAUCCAAAAGACCAUGGAUCAGAGGAUGAAGGCUAGAAUCCAGCAUAUACUCGAGGCUUGAGUUCUCUACUUUGAGGUAGACCCAUAUACUGAUAUCGAUCCAACCGACCUUCCUUUCUCCCUUAAGGACCUCCAAUAUUUACUGUAUCAUUUUGAAAUUUUCUCGGCAGUUGCCCUCUUUAAUCUUACGACUGAUGAGAAAGAACGUAUGGCGUGAUUAGAUGCUUACUUAGACACAAGAGACGCCCGCAUCGUAUAUCAGGAGCGGACUCACAAGGCUUCACAAGAGCAACACCAAGUCCCCACGUUGAGCGAGCCUAAAGUUGAUGGUCAGAACGAAAUGGGUUUGGUGGAUGCACUGUAGGGACGGGUUCUCUUAGCUGCCGGAGAGGAUCAGCCAGAUAAUGCCCAUAAGCAAAAUACUUCGCCUGAAAAUCUAGAAGACAAAGAUCACGACCCAAUGGGUUCUUCGGUCCUUGAUAACACGGAAAUCAACAUGGUCCAUGUCUUACCUGCCGAGUUCUAGCUAAUUACAUCUCAACCAAACUUUAUGGACGACGUCAAAGUCGCCGAGGAAGCCGCACAAGUCGAUUUUUUGGCCACCGAAGAGAUCGAGCAAGUAAGCAAAGAAGAUAAACUUAAGGCAGCUCUUGCCAAUUUGUUCCCCCGCUAUUCGUCAGUUAAUUUUCAUCAUUUAAAGCCAUUGUAUGUUAUAGCUCGUAUUGAAGGAUAUCUGGUUUCUAAAAUUUUUGUCGACUACGAAGCAACGGUCAACAUCAUGCCCGUUUCUAUCAUGAAGGCAUUACGUCGCUUUAGCAACGAACUCAUUCCAUUAGGGGUAACCAUGAGCAGCUUUGUCGAUGACAAGUCCUAAACCAAAGGAGUGCUUCUUUUAGAGGUAAAUAUCGCAUGUCGCAAUCACAUGACCGAGUUUCUCAUAGUUGAUUUAAAGACUGAGUAUAAUUCCUUGCUUGGUUGUGAUUGGAUCCACCAAACAAGCUGUAUCCCUUCGUCAUUAUAUCAAGUCUCAUCUUUUGGGAUGACAAAUCAGUCGUGGUUCAUCCAGCCAACAAUCAGUUGUUUGAAGCUAAUAUAAUUUAGGCUCGUUAUUACAAUGAUCACAUCGGCUACAUCACCAUAUAAGGUUUUAAAGGGGAAGGACGGCCAACUUGAAUCUUAAUUUAGAAAGCCAUUGAGGUUGGAAAACAUUGUGACAAGAUUCGGCGUACCAAAAAUAAUUAUAACAGAUAACGGCAUAAUUUUUACAGCCGACAAGUUUAAAGAAUACGCAGCGAGUCUAAAAAUUCAGCUCAAUUAGUCCACGCCAUAUUACCCAUAAUCAAAUGGACAGAUCGGAGCAAGUAAUAAAGUUUUAAUCGGUAUACUUGACAAAAUGAUAAAAGAAAAGCCUGGUAUGUGGCAUUUGAAGUUAAACGAGGCAUUAUGGGCAUAUCGAACUUCACUCUGAUCAGCAACAGGGAUGACCCCAUAUGCGUUGACUUAUGGGCACGACGCGAUGCUACCGGUCGAGCUAAGCAUAAACUCGUUAUGAGUUAUCGAACAAAGUAGUUUAUUCAGUGCCGAGUACAGUCAGGCCAUGAGGUAAGAGUUGGAGGACUUGGAGGAAGCUCGGCUCGAUGCCUAUAACUUACUGGUGGUGCAUAAAAAGAUUACCGAACGAGCUUAUAAUCGAUGAGUUAGGCAAAAGACGUUCGGUGAAGGUGAAUUAGUAUGGCAAACCAUGUUACCAGUAGGGAUUAAAGACCUUAGAUUUGGGAAAUGGUUGCUGAAUUGGGAAGGACCAUUCGUCAUCCACAAGGUUCUUGGCAAGGGGGAAUACCACUUGAAAAAGUAUUAUUCGAUUACUUGGGAAAUGCAAGAAUAAAGAAUUUAUUUCAUUGAUUUUCAAAGGACAUUUACAAGCAAAAUUACAAAGAGUCGAUCGGCCUACAACUACAACUAAAGACAAAAGUCCUAAAGAGUCGAAGGAAGAAAAGCUUCAAAAGUGGCUUUCAGUUCUAGCCAUCUUACUUCGCCCAUCGUGACCUCAGCCUGUCUUGUUCUUUUGUCAAGUUGUAGUUGAUGUAUCUGCUUCGAGCUAGCUGCAUACUCUGCCAGUCGAGGUUUAUUCGAAUUGAAAUCUAUUUCAAGCUCGGAAGCAACGGCUGACCUUUGACGUGGAAGUUUAGUGAUUUGGCGGUCAAGAUCGGCCAGCCGCUCACUCUUUGCUUUUAUGGCCUCGAGCUCUGGUCGGAUAGCUUCAUGAACGACCAUUGAAGCCUUGAGGUCAUCUUCUGCCUAAAGAGCCCCAUCAAAAAUAGCGAAGUAUUGUCGGGUUCGUUUUAGGAUAUAAGAUAGGUGAACGACAUUCUCAUUGCUUAGAAUGCCAUCGUUUACAAGGUCGUUCAUACAUUCUUCUAUAGAAUCGAGGCCUUUGUAUUCAAGGAUUUGCAUGGCUGAGAUAGACAAAAGCUCAUGCAGCUUGGCGAAGACACUGGACACGGCCGCGAUUGCAAAAGACUAGAUCGCGGUUGUUGAAGGCCUAGUCACCCCAGAAGUGUUUGAGAGGAGGGUGUCAAGCUUGACUUUCCAUGAAGGCUGCAUAAAAAGAGUUGUUAGAAAAGAGAAGUUAAAAGGACGGUAGAUAAGGACGUUGUGUUAGACCUACCGAGAAAAGACUUCGGCCAUGUCUGUUGGUUCGUUACUCGAACCGAGAGAGCUUAAUGGCCGAGCCUAGUGUUUAAGGCAACCUUUUAAUUCAUGUGGCCGAUAAAGGUUAUCUAUGUUUGAUGGCUAUUGGGAUGGCCAAGAAAUAUAAAUAACGCCAUUUGGCGCAUAGAAUUUUUGGAGAAAUGAGUAAUUAGGCACCUGGCAGUUAAUAUUUUCUUGGUUUAGAAUUCUAAAGCAAAAAAUUAAUAAAAGAAAAUGAUGACGAGUCUUACAAAGGUCGAAGUAACCUCCUGAAGAGGAAUGUCGAAAUUCUGGUCUUGAGGAUGAACCAACGUCUUUACCAUUGCUUCUGCCUCGACAGGAGGCACCGCUUCAUGUCCUGCACCUAUUUCAGUUGCAAAAGUGUCGACCUGGCCAGCCAUCUCAACUAUCGGUUGAGGAUUGGUGGUUGGUAGUUCAGCUGGUUGAGAGCGCCUCACCAACGGGGGUACUUCAUUCUCGUCAUCCUAUACAUAAAAGAGGAUUGGUCGUUAGUUGAGAGAUAUAGUCAAAAUAAAAGGAGAACAUUAGUAAAAAUGGUCAUACCUAUUCUUCCACAAUGAUUAUUGGAGUCUUCUUUAGAUUUGGCGGAGGGUUUCUCUCGGCUGUGGUGGCCUCAUUCUCCAAAGCAGUAGCUGCCACGCUAACACCAAGAAUAACGGCCGGCCUCGGGGUUGGAAAACCCUUGACUAAUGGGUUGAUGAUGGGUUCAACAACAGCCAGCAUAAUGGGUUGGAUCUUAGUUGAUUGAUCUGUCAGAGGAUUUUGCGGUACUCCAAUCGAGGCCUGGACGACAUGAGAAUGGAGAAGGGCACUAGGAGUGGUUGUUCCCGUGGUUUGACUCGAAAUGACAUAUAUCUCCCGUUCUUCAUUCUUUUCCUUUUUCUUGAGGCACUUUUGGGACCGGGCAAUGUUGCCAGUCGUCUCGACCUUUGGGCGAGGCCGUUUGCUCGGUGCGGUCGGUGCAAUAGGGGCUGCUGCAGAAGUUGGUUUGACUGAAGGAUGAGCGAGUUUCUUUUUAGUCGCGACCAUCGUAACCACAUUGACUCGUUUUAUGGCACGACCACUUGGAAAAACUGAGUUUAAGUCAGAACGAUGUUCAAAUUGAAUAAACAAACAAGGGAAGUAAAAGAUAUAUACCUUUAGUUGUUUCUUUGGAUUUUGGGACGAGUCUUCCUCGGUCGGUCGUCGAAAAGCUUCUUUGAAAUUUCCUCGACUGAAGUACUGAAGAAGUCCUUGACGUAAGCAUCUCACCAAUCGGCGAAGAUGCUAAUGCAAUGGGUUUUUGGGGUAAUCAGCCGAAGAUAGAAAUUGGUGCAUCGCUCUAAGAAUUCCCUCUCGGAUUCAUCACAUUCCCUUUAUGAGGAGCUGAAGAGGCGUUCUCGGCUCAAGGGUGAGCGGGAAGUGAGGAGUGGCAUAGGAUAGGCCUGGACAUAGCUCAGUGGAUAGGCCAUGAAGUCAGGAUGGCAAAUCUCCUAGCUGGCCCAUCGAGCAUCACAACCAAAUGGAAUGUCACGAGCUAGAACAAAUGAUCCAUAUGAUUGUCGGAGAUCAGCGUCUUCUGCUUCUUCCCACACCAAUGUAGGGAGCCUGAUGGAAGACAAAUAUUUCUGGCGGUGGCAGACCAGAAACUCGUCGUUCAACAAGUCUUCAAGGUCGAAGAAGUACUUGAAGACAUCUUCGGCCAAUGGGCAGGAGUAGGGUGUGAGGACAGUUGAAGGCUCAUUGCUUUGGAAGAAUUGAAGUGUAGGAUUUUUGGCCUCAAUGUGUAGAAGUAAACCUGCAACCAUAGUUGAAAGACUCAAAGUGGGCCGUUCUGGUGUGGGUUGAUUUUCCCGACGGAAACCUCAGCCAAGCAUCGAGAAAGGUUGGCAAUGAUGGUCGAGCUGAAGGGCAGGACGUGGCCACUAGCUAGCGCUUCAGCCACUAGCACAUUCUUGGCCAGGCACUUGUACGACUUGGUACAAAAGAUGAACUUAUUGUACUACUAGAACGAGAAGGUCUCGUGUUCCCCCUUCUUGAGAGCUUCCCCCUCCGAGCCAGCGAAGUGGGUGAUCAGGGUGCUAUAAUUGAAGAAGUUCUUGUGCAGCUUAUAUACAUCUUUUUUUCAACGGCUCCUGACCAUCCUUCAUCAAAGCUUCGACGACAUGUUCGUCAAAGACCGCCUUUAGAUCUAGGUCGAAUUGAUAUCGAAAAAGGGUGGUAUCAACUGAAAGACCAGAAAGGGGAGUGCCAAGUAUAGCCGUGACAUCCAGCAUUGUUGGGCCAAUGGGGCCAAGAGGAAGGACCAUAAUGUUGGUGGCCAAACACUAGAAACUCAGGGUGGCCAUUAGGAGUUCUCGAUCCAUGUUGAUCUCAAUGGUUGAUAGCUUAAUGGCAUCAAAGUUACUGAGAAUCUUCCAAUCGCCCCUGAAGUGUGGCUCCAUCCGGGUAGGGGUGGGUACUUGGAAUCAAAAAUCAAAACCGAAACACGAAUCGAAUCAGACCGCACCGAACAGUUUGGUUUUGUGAUUUUGAAACGGUUACGGUUUCAAAACCAAACCGCAGCAAAGAAAACGAUUUGGUUUCGGUUUUGGGGUUUCAAAACCGCACCGAAACCAAAACCGAAAUCGAAACCGCACCAUAUAUUGAAUAUUGAAUGUUAUGUUUUAAUCUAUUGUUUUGUGCAGCUCCAAUCUGAGUUUUUCAUGGCAGUAGGGCUCCCAGGCUCACAUUGCUCUCAUAAUCACUUUGCUUGUUAUGUGUAGCCCCAUUGCAGUAAAUUUUAAUACCGCGGGGCUCCUAUACAAUCUGUGAUACAAACCAACAUGAUAUUCUUAAAUUAGUAAUAAAAUUGACAACGAAUUUUUCUUACUUUGAUGAGAUAUGUAUGAAAUAUUCUGGGAAAAAAUGUACAUGCUAACUCUUGGAUAAUAACUACAAUGAGCGAUGGAAAAUACAUCCAUUUGUAUGCCAUUUAUUACCAAGGAAGUUGCAGAUAAUCGAGGCUAACAUUCUCAAGAGAAUGCUAAGUUGGUAACACAACAGGAAGUAGGUGGGAAAGAAAUACUUACCAGCUAGAGUAAGUCCCUAGGUGGACAAGGCAUAGAAUAAAUUGUACAUUUUUUUUCUCAAAAACCAAACCAAAACCGUUUGAAACCACACCGAACUGAACCAAACGGUUUGGUUUCAUUUUGGUUUUGGCUUCAAAACCGCACCGAACUGCACCGCAAAGAGUUUCGGUUUCGGUUGCGGUUUCACUUGAAACCGCACCGAACCGUACCGUGCCCACCCUUACAUCCGAGUGACCCAAGCAGCCCAGACCGUGAGGGUUGAUGGCCAACUCCCUAGGGUUUGGUCAAUUCCCACUUCGACCAAUCGUAUCCUUGAAAUAGGGGUUCAAGGCAAUGCGUCUUCAACAUCUUGGUGAUUGAUUCUGGGAUGUUUUCCUUGAAAAGUGGUCCCAGAGUUUGGUGGAAAACACUUGAAUCAUCCUCACACCGGAGGGAUUCGAUGGCAUUCUGGUUAAUAAAGUCUCAACAGUUGUCGCAUUCCUCGGCGAGCUUGGUGAUAUGUUAGAGGUUUAUUUUGCUUCUUCAAGGUUGACGCUCAGCUUAGAUUUGUAGGCCGAAUACCUUAGAAGCGAGGGGGCAAUGUUUGGGCCCAAAAUAUUAUUUUGGGCCGAGCUUAGGUCAUUCUCGGCCUAAUGGCAUUCAUUUAGAAUCUUGUUAUGGGCCAUCUAGUUAAGGUCAGCCGAAUCCUAUUACGAAAAGGUUUGGUUUGGAUAAGGGUGAGUUGGUUGAAUCCUAGUGCAACAAAGAUUCUUAAAGCUAAGGACACUGAGAAUUAGGGGGUGAAUCUGGUUUGUUAAGAAGCUUGGUUCAAAGCCUACAGGAAUUAAGAUUGGUUGAAACUUGAUCGGAUUGGGUUGAGGAGUUCUAAUCCUAGUCCAUUUCUAGUUUGGCCAUGAGAGGAUUCGCUAUUAUAAAUAGAGGAGAUAGUGCAUCAUUCAAAGCUCCUCCAAUUCAACACACAAAUUGCCUUGUGCAAAGCUUCUCAACAACCUUUGAGAUUUUAUCCCCUUCCCCUUUCUUUUACCAACACAUCUUCAGUUUGGAUAAACAGUACUGUGAAGGCAACCGAUGACAUCUUCAGUUUGGAUAGACAACACUGUAGCCGUAUAAUUAGCCGACCGAGGAGCACUUUCAGUUUGGAUAGACAACACUGCUUCGAAGCCGACUGGUAAUUUAUCCAAGUCUCGGCUGAUAAGGAUUUUCGAAACCUUGUUAGCAGAGGUCAUCUCAUUAGCCUUCUCGGCGAAGUAAGGUGUUACAUGUUUCUAGGCUUGGCACAUUGAACGUCGAGUUUUGUUUUAUGAUUGGAUACUCGUAAGUAAGUUUCAGAGUUCAGCAUUCCGAUAGCCGAACCACAUUUAAAAUCAAGACAUAUAUUUCUUUCGAGUGGGCAUGCCCCACGCAUAACUAAAGGACGUAGUUAGCUUAUUAGUUACUCGGCCUGCGCGCCACGUAAACUUGAUAGUUUUUAGGGUCAACAACUUUCAUUUUUUCAUUCCCAACCUACCCUGAAUUUAAAAAUGGAUAGAAACAUAAUUUUUAGGCCAACUUUUACUUAAUUUGUUGCUCUUUGCUUUGCCACUUUUAUGCCAAGUUCUUCUUCUUCUUUUUUGUCGAUAUGCUAAGUUCUUCUUCUUCAUCUUCGUCACUUUUUAUUCUUCCAUUUGUUCGUGUUAUACUUCUAUCUUAUAUGUUGGAAUAAAUUAUGUUGAAACUAAAUUCACGCAGUGCCAUAGAAGGUAAAGACACACAAAUUCGAGUAAUCUGUAAAAGAACAAACAACCAUGAGCUAACAAAAAACUAGGGGUGUGCCAGUCAAAGGCUCUCCGAUGGUCAAGUUAGUAAGCAAUAUAAAAUUAAAGAAGUAGACAAGAAAGUAAGUAUGCGAUAAUUGUGUUACCAGAGAAAAUCCUAGAAUGAUGUAUUUAUACUAGUUGAGGAUGGGAUGUUUUAGAAUAGUAGAAUUUGUAUUAAAUCGGGAGAAUCCUAGAGGAUAUCUAGAGAUAGAUAUUGCAUCCUCUUAGGAGUGUGAUUACUUACCGCACACGUCAAUCUUUUGAUUGUAAGGACUCCAAGAUUAAUUAUAAGAAACUUGCUGAUUUCUUGCUGGAUUUUGUUUCCAUAUCUUAUGGAAAAAGGUUAGUCUCAUCGAAAUCAUCAGACUUCACCCACUGAUUUCGGAACAGGAUGAUGGUGGCAUCGCUGCUUCGUAUGUUUAGCUCCGCAUCGGAAGCUGUAGAGUCCAUGACCAAAUAUUCGUAUUCCGAUCCACCUUACUCUGGCCCUGAAAAGUCAUAGUCCAACAAUUUAUAUUGAAAUUUGUCAUGGUGAUAACUUAACUACAUGUAAUACAUAUUCCUUUCGCUUGUACAUGUCUUAAAAUUUGCCAAAUGCUUAUAUGUCUUUGCCUUUCCUUUUGUAUAAUUGGUUGGGUAUUUUUAAUUGUAGGAAGAUAGUAAUAUUUUCAUACGUAUAAUUGUUUCAUAUCUCUUUUAUAGGUAAAUGAAGAUGUUAAUUAAUCAAAUAUUUUUCGUAUAUAUAGAAUUGUAUUAUAUAUUGUUUCUCCCCAAAAAAAAAGUGCUUUAGAUAUCAUUAUCAUAGGUAAGUAACCGUAUAUAAUUAGAAAUUUAAAUCUAUAUUUAUUAUCAAAGUCAAAAUAGUCAUACAACUAAAAAAUAAAUGCACAAAUUGGGUUAAAGUUGACCACACACACACAUACACACGCGCGCGCACACACACAUAUAUAAUAUGUUUGUGUGUUUGUUUGUUUUCUAUAUGUAGAGCUUAAUUAAUUAGGUUUGCAUGGUAUACAUAGUAUCCAAGCUAUGUAGCUAUCUUAUUUUUUUUUUUAUAAAAGUUAGCCUGCAUGAUUUCUAAUCCAUCAAUGUUUCUUUGUAGUUGGAGGUGUUCUAUUUCAUGCAUGCAAUAGUAGGAGCUGUCGCUUGGUAAAAUUAACAAGGGGUUUUUGAACUUUAAUUCUUGAAGAAGAUUAAAAUUUAAUAAAAAUUUAGUGUUAUAUUGAAUAUUGAUUUUAGUCUAUUAAUAUGUAUUUAAUUCAAAUUCAUAUUAUAUUUUUGUUUUUAUAUUUAACAGAUAACUUAUUUAAUGUUAUUACAUUAAAUUUUAUUUAACUUUCUCUAAUUAGUGUACCUAAACGUCUGUAUCAUAAUAUACUUUACUAAAUUAAUGUACCAAAAUGCCCGUACCAAAAUAUAUUGUAGUGAAUUAGUGACACAUAAGAAAAUAUGUAAAAACAUAAGUGUACAGAAAAUUCCGUACCUAACUAUAUGAUACUAAACUAGUGUACCAAAAUGUCGGUACCUAAAUAUAUUAUACUAAACUAGUGUACCGAAAUGUUCGCACCUAAAUAUAUUGUAAUGAAUUAGUGGCAGAUAAGAAAAUAUGCAAAACAUAAGUGUAAUGAAAAAUCUCUAUGAAAAAUAUUUUCUUAUAUAAGAUGCUUACCAUUAGAUGAUUCCACUAAAUGAUGCCUAUAUAUCCUCGAAUCUUACUUUUCCACUCCACUACAAACUUUCAUUGUCAAAACAAAAAAAAAAAACUCCCAACUUUUUAUACGCACUUAUUUCAAAAUUUUGCCUCUCUUUUGAAUCUUUUAUCAUGGCUUUUUCAAGCAAGAAGUCUAAACCAAUUAAGCUUUCCCCCUAUAAUCUUCCUUUGACAAGAGUUCGUAAUCGAGAAGAAGGUGAGUCUUUCAUUAAAGAGCACCAUGACAUUUUGGACGACUGUAACGUCUGGUGGGAACCUGGUCAUGAUAUCUAUGCUAAUCUGCACCGUUGUUUAGUCCUUGCUGUCUUUGUACUAGAAUCUACCCUUGGUUCUUGGACUUUGGUCUUCGUUUCCCUCUUUCUGCUUUUAUGAAAGCCAUUUUGUUAUGCUAUGAUAUAGCCAUCUGAAACCUCUCUUUUACCGCCUUCAAGCUUUUCACUUGCUUCGAGUUGUUGAAUUAGUGGUUCGGGGCUAAGUUGGAUAUCCCAGAGUUUAAAUGUUGCAUAGCUUCAAACCGAGUUUGGAUGACCAUUAUUAUUUUGCUGCUAUAACUAGUUUGGAUUAGGAGACAUACAUCAAGACACCCCUAAUCACCACAAGGAUUGGUUCAAAGACAUACUAAUUGUUAACGGAGCUUAGGAGGGAGAUAUUAGCGGACUCCAGAUCCGGAUUGAUCCUCCGACCGUUUAUCGCAAUUGGAAAUGGUUGUUCUCUACUGAGCACUUGAACAACCGUAAGAAGAUAUAGACGCAUUUCAUUGUUCAGGAUUCCCUAUAAAGAAGCUAGAGUAGGUUGAUGCUCGUAAUGAUCAUAGAAAAACUCGUUCCUUUAAAACAGCAUAGACUUUGUCACCUGUCCUAAAGAAGCGGAAACAUCCUAACAAUUCUUCUUCUUACUCAUUGGUUGUGACUCCUCAGCCACAACUGCUGAUUAAGGACAUCCAUUAUAAACCCCUCUUCGAAUAAGCACGUUGCUGUUCUGGCGCCACCAACUUUUAUUGUAUUUGCCUCUAUAUCCAUAGCAAAUAAGCCGCUUACUUCACCUCUUAUCCAUUUACCUGCGGUGUUGCCCCAAUUGUCGAAGUCAGAACCUAUUGUCCUCAUUUGGUUCUUCCACCAAGUUUUAUGUUCGUGCCAUACGAAAUUGAUGUGCCUUCCAUUUCCUCAACGUCCACUUUCGUCCAUCCGCUGCAAGUGCCUAUAUAUGAACCUUCCUGCCAUAAUGGUCCUCCAUUGAUUUCCCCAUCGAGGUCCAAGGGAACAUCUCGUCCUCCCUUUAUGAUCAAACCUUUGGCUGAUCGAGUUGCUUUUGCUUCUGAUGUCAGUGGUCUUCAAAACACAUAUGAUGCUCGGGUGCUGCAUGGGGCUACGAUUGCCACUACCGAUUUCAAGGGAGCCUACACUUCUCUUAAAUGUGACAUAAUGCAGUACUAUAGGAGUCAUUAUGAGAUACCCGAAUUUCUCUCCUCCAUUUCUUUUUGUUGAUAUGUUUCCCUCGUAUUAGGUUAAUGUGUGGACGAAUCUAGGAACUUAAACGGAUUACAGAUAUAGGCAAAACGAUGAUUGCUAUCCCAAUCAUAAGAACUUAAGAACUCGUAUACCAUGUAGCAAGCCUCGAAUACCACUCAUGAUGUAGAGAUAAUUCGGGAGAUUGAUCUAGCUACUGUUAUAGAGGUAAAGGCCAAAGAUUACAAGGAAAGUUUUGAGAAGGUUAGAGACGAGCUGAGGUUAGAGAAGCAAGCCAAGACGAAGGUGGACUAGGCUCUUGUUGUCUUAAAAGGAGAGUCGGAGCGUGUGUUAGCUUUAAAACAAAAUGUUUGGGCUAAAGAGCAGGAAGCUCUUCAAAAAAAGAGGUCGAGCAUCUAUGCUAAGAGGUCGAUCACAACGAUAACAAGCCCAUCGCGUACCUUUAGCAGCUUACUAACAGGUAUUCCUCUUAGACGUAUGUAUUCCAGGAAGAUCAUAAGAGGUUACUUGAAGAGGAGUUUGACGUCAGAUUCCUUACCGAUUACGCCCAACAAGAUCACCCUAAAGGUUGGAGCGUCUUCAGAAUUUAUGAGUAGAUCAAACACAUGGACUUUCCUCCUCCGCAUCAUUUGUUAGAUGAGAUGUCAGAUUUAGAGGCGGAGCAAAAUGAAUGUGAUCUUAAAGGUAAUCCGACACCUGAUGCCCUUGGUGAAUCUUCUACUCCAUUCAAGGGAAACGAUGUCCUGAAAAAGGAUUAAUUUGCACUUGCUCCUGGGUAGGAAAGGAGACUGUCCCUUUUGCAAACUUUUUGUCGUAAUACAAAGCUUUUUCUUUCAUUUCUUUCUCUACUCGGGGAAGAAAUCUUAAUCCUAUAAAUUUCUCUAAAGUAAACGAACUUUAUUUGAGAAAUAAGUGGCGGAGCGGGUACGAGUAAGUUUGUAGGUUCGGGACAAAGCUCAUCAACUCCCCUUGGAAACAUUGAUUCAGGGGAAUGUUGCCUCCUAAGAUUUGUAUUCAUAAAGUAUUCUCAUCAUGAUAUCUAGAAUACCACCUUAUUAUGGUAUUAGGAAUUAGACAUUAAACCCAUGAGAAAACUCUUGCUCUUACACUUAUUAAAAUACAUUCAUCAGGUAUAAGAGGUCCAAAUCAUGCCUGAUAACAUCUUAGAAGUAGAGGUCGAUUACCUCAAAACUUGCAAUGUGGUGCCAGAAUGAGUUUUCCCUGGUCCGAAUUGCGUGUUCAUUUCUAGUGAAUCUUACGCAAAAGUUCUUUGGAUACAUGGUCAUCAACAUGUGAGUCAAAAAUGCUUUUAGAAUCCUUUUGUUAGACCCUAUGUGUCGGACUUGAGCGUUUAUAAUCGGACUACUUUGGUUGGCUUGACCAAAGCAUUUUCGCUUACUGAAGCUCCAUUGGAAUAAAAUUCCUCUUUGGGAUUGCCUAGUUUGAAUGCCCUCUUCGAACCUGCUAACACUUGGUGUUGUAGAGCUUACUUGACUUAGUAAAUUAGUCUGGGAUAGAAGUAGUCGUACUCGGGGUCAGAUUUUAGAGCCACCCUCAGAUAAGUUCCAGAUCGCCCUUUUGACUAUUCCCUCGAAUGUGUAGAGCCCAGGUUUGGAAUGUUAUAACCCACAACCUUGCUGGUUACAUAAACUUUCUAGAGACUGGAUGGUGCAUUGGACUUCCAGGUCAAGGCGCAAUGUUCCUGUACCCAUAGCCCACCAGUCGUUACAACACUUAUUACUGUUCGAGUCUAACAAGCUGCUAGCCGUUCCAGACGGAUAAGGCUAAAGAAGGCUCUUAUGAUAGUGUAAUUUUGAAUGUUUUUAGACUUGUAUUCGUGUAAAGUUUUCAAAGUUUGGGGCCUAUUUUUUAACGAGUGGGGUACUCCCUACAUCAUCGAAAAAAUAAAGAAAAGAAUACGUAUUUAAGACAAACAGAUGCUCGUUAUUCAUGAUCGAAGUAAAAUUGAUUGACAAGAGGGUGUGAUUGAAUCUGAGAAGGAUUGCCUACAUAUUUAUGAGAUGGAGAAUCAAAUUACUGAUAUAGUUCUAAAGAAAAUAUGAUAUAUGUAAAAAUUUACAUGAAAGAUCACUUUUGACGAUAAGCCUAUAGGGAGGCGUUGGGGGAUGAUUUCUCAAUGGACUUAUCUUCACACAGAUGGGGGCGUUACCGAACUGCCUACAUAUCUCAGGAAGGGAAUCAAACCGUGUGUAUUUCAUGUGAGAUUUACUUUGUUUUAGGUCACUUGGAGAGGCUUGCAAGGGUUUUAAUUUUCUUUCUUCAACAAGGAUUUCAUCCAUCGGCACAAGUCCUCUGGUUUCUAUGUCAUUGAACCUUUUGCUGCUUGGCAUCAAUUCGGAGUAGUGAGGUGGGAUUCUAUCUUUAAAGGGGACUUUUGCCAUGGCGUAUAACCAUUCUCGGCCAAAGAAAGCGUUGUAUAGAGACAAAUUAUCCAUCACUUGGAAAGUCAUCAGAUGUUCAGAUGGUUUUGCUUGAACCAUGAAAUGUAUUGUCCCUAUGGUGUUAAGCGGGGUUCCAUUAAGGGUUUGGACAUUGGAUCUUCAUGAGUUGACUUCAUCUAGGAUGUUAAUUGAUAGGGAUUUUUACCAUCUACAAAAGUAGAGAUAAAAACACUUAAAAAUACUUGCAAGAGUACAAGGUUGUCGUAGUAUAGUGGUUUAGGCAAGGUCGUUUUCCACCGAGAUUGAAUGAAUAAUUUGUGUUUAAAACCAACACUUAAUUAAUUAUUUAAAACAAAGUUUGGAAAAUGUUGAUUUUAGAAUUUAAUAUAAUAAAAACGAAUUUUAAAAUAAAACAAUUAAAGAAAUUAACUAGAGAACAAUUUAAAGAAAAACAAUUUGUAAAAGCCUAGGGUUCCGCCGUCCCCUUAACAAUCCUACGCAAUUUUACUAAUUACUUAUGAAUUUCCACAUAUAUACUUUGAAGGUUAGGUUUUCCUAAUGCAUAUUUUCCUUGUGUGUUUAAGCGAAAACGUAUAUCUAACAUGCAACCCGUCUGUGAUGUUCAGAUCAAAUAUAAACAUGCAAGACUCAUUAAGCUUUAUGAAAACCCUUUGAAAAACCAUGCAACCCUUAAGAGCGUGAUAUUCACCUUAAGUGAACUUACAAUUACUAAUCACAAGAAGCCCUCCUCAAUUUCAGGGUGAUGUUCCAACAGAAAUUGCAUCAAAUUACUUGUCUAAAAACCCUAAUGGUUGCGAAUCACUAAGACAAUUAGAUAGUUUGAUCGCAGUGAUUAAUAAUUCAAAGUAAGCAUGCAUCCAUUCAUAAGCAAAUUAAUAAAAUCACAUAUUCAUGCUAAGGCUUGUGGCAUCGCCCUAGCAAAAGAACUUAGUUACGAACAAUCAUGAAACAAAAUAUUAUUGAGAAUAAGGAUAGAAAACGCCUAGAAAAUAAACUUGAAAAACUCUCUAAAGUGUGCGUGCGUUCUCUCCUCUCCUUCCCUUCUAACCCUAAUGGCUAAAAGGUCUUAUUUAUACUACUACAAAAUAAAACCUAAAAAGUCUUAGAAUAAAACUAGGAAACAUAAUAAAAUAAUAAAACAUAAAAUAAAAGGUUUCCUAUUUGAACUAAAAUUCGGAUUUCUUAGAAAAUCAGACUUUUGACCGACCAAAUUAACUCUGAUUUGUCCCAAAAAGUCUCUUUUGAAAGAUGGAGACGUCCCCUACAAAUCCUCAGAAGAAAUCUUCCUCAAAAUAUUCCAUCUUGACCUUCAAAAUGCCCAAAACGUCCAGAAAGGUCAGUCUGGAAAAGCUGCGCGCUGGGCCUUUAUUUCAUAACCACGGUCAAACGGCUUAGUAGAAAAAUAUAGAAUUUUGACACAAUCAUCUUGAAAGACUCACGAACAUCCUCCAAUUAGAAUUACUCUAAAAUUAAUCUGUUUGAUCACUUUUUUGCUCCAGAGGAAAUUGAAUGUCCAACUUUAGAAAUAUAGUUCAAAGUAUCAAAAUUCUACCAAAAUAACUAGGGUAAAUUACAUAGUAGCCCCUCAGGUUUGAGGUCUAUUACAACCCCAUACAACAACUUUAAAACAUUUCACUUUCAUACAUCCAUUGCCAUUUUAUUUCAAAAUAACACCUCUGUUAGAUUUUCCAUCUAUUAGUCUGUUAAAUGCUGACGUGGCUACCACAUUUAUGCUGAUGUGGCUGCCACGUGGAAAAAAUAUUUUUUAUACAUUAAAAAUAUUAUAAUAUUAACCCAAUUAAAAUAUUAAAAAAAACAUAAAAACCCUAACCUAGAUCCCCUUUCUCCCCCCUCUCUUUUAUGCAAUCCCUUCCCACUAUCCCUCACCCACCCCCCAGCGACCUCUCCCCAAGCGACCCACAUCCCUAUCCCUAACCUAGAACCCAAAAACCUGCAACAAGAAGAAGAAAAAGAAGAAGAUGAGGGAGGAAAAAAAAAACCCCCAGUUUGUCCCCUCUUCAAAACCUGCAAGAAGAAGAAGACGAAGAAGAGGGAGAAAAAAAAGAGAAAAAAAAGAAAAAAAAAAGCCCAGUUCGCGGGAAGGUCGCCGAAAGGUCGCGCGAGGGGGGGGGAAGGGAAGUCGGUCGCGGGUCGCGGCAGAGCGGGGGGAAGGGAGAUGGGUCGUGGGUCAUGGCAGGGCCGGGGGGGUUUUCUUUUUUUUUUCUUCUUCCUCCCUCUUCUUCUUCUUCUUUUUGUUGUUGCAGGUAUGUGGGUCGCUUAAAGGGGGUGAAGUCUUUGGGGGUGGGGUUCGGGGUGGGUAAGGGAUAGUGGGAAGGGAUUGCAGAGAGGAGAGGGGGAAGAAAGGGGAUCUGGGUUCAGAGGGUGUGUAGAGAAGGAAAGAAGGUGGGUGCGGAGGAAGAGAGGGUUGCGGGUUAGGGGGGUGCACAGGGAGGGUCGACGUUUGGGGGGGGGGGCGGGGGUGUUCUGGGUUUCUGGUUUUGGGGUGGGGGGUUAUCAUUUUUGGGUUUUAGGGAACAAGAUGAAGAUGGGGGAUAUAGGUUUGGGGGUUGCUGGGAGAAGAGAGGAUUUUGGGAGUUGCAAAAGGGUGGGGGUGGGGGAGGGGGGAAGGAAGGGAUAUGGAAUUCGGGAUUUUCUAGUUUUUUUUGUUUUUUUAAUUGGGUUAAUAUUAUAAUAUUUUUAAUGUAUAAAAAAUAUUUUUUUCUACGUGGCAGCCACAUCAGCACAAAUGUGGUAGCCACGUCAACAUUUAACAGACUAAUGGAUGAAAAAUCUAACGGAGGUGUUAUUUUGAAAUAAAAUGGCACUGGAUGUAUGAAAGUGAAAUGUUUUAAAGUUGUUCUAUGGGGUUGUAAUUUACCCUCAAAUCUGAGGGGUUACUAUGUAAUUUACCCAAAUAACUAAUAUAUUAAUACUAAGAUAAGGGUAAAAUAUAUGGUAAUAUGGACUUAUCACUAAUCCUUAUAGCUACCUCCUGAAGAGGAUAUUGACUUCCGAUCCGUUAUCGAUUAGGACUCUGCCGACCAUAGUGUCUUUGAUUUACAACUUGACUGCAAGAGUGCCAUUGGAUGGUGGGUAAACAAUUUAUGGCCUGGUUAAGGGAUCUUUCAUCCAAGGUUUUCCUUGGGUCAUUUUCCUUCCCUUCUGCGCUUUCUUGAAAUACUAUUGUCUUCUCCUUAUGUGAUUGAUGCCUGGAUGGACUUCAUGCCUAGGUGUUAGGGAGGCAGUGGUUAGGGAAUUUCCCGCAGUCUUGUAAAUUACACUACUAGGAGGGCUUCCUAGAUCAACUAUUGUGAAUUUGUCGUUCCUGGGGGAGCUCGAAUAGUAGAAUUUUCAAAUCGGGUGAAGGUACCUUCUACAGUUUUCAUUCUUUCAUUCAGCCUAGCGAGCUUCACCCUUUCUCCUACUUGUAGGUUCUUCUUGAGCACUUUUAUUGACAUGUGUACCUUCAGGACGUUAUCCCAGACCUGGUCGAUGAAAGAGGCUUCUUCUCUAUUCGGGUAUACGGUUUGACCAAACAGCAAUUUUCUGGACGUGGUAUCCGUGGAGCAAAGUGGUCUGGUCGAGAGGAAUAUGGGUUUUCUUUUAAUGAAAGCACCAAUUGUUGAAACCAAAUCUACGCACCUCCGUGAGCGGCGGUUGGGCACAAAUCCGAGUAAACCUGAACAACCUACAAAAGGCUCUUCGAUAGUCAAGCAGUAGGCAAGAGAAUUCAAAUGUAUAGGUUACGUUACUGUAGAUGAACCCUAAACGGGUGUAUUUAUACUAUGAGAGAGAGACAUUUUUAGGAUAGAUCCUCAUUUUAAGCCGGGAGAAUCAUAGAGGAUAUUAGUGAGUAGAUAUUGCAUCUUCUUAGGAGUUGUGAUCACUUGCGGAGCAUGCCUAUCCCUAAAUUGUAGGGACUCCAAGACUUAUAGGAUCUGAUUGUGUCCAUAUCCAGAUCACAUCACAUGUCUUGCAAAACAAGUAUGGUCAUAUGGUGGAGUCACUAGGACUCUGCCUAGGGCCCCAUAGUAGAGUGAUGGUGGCACCCUUCUCCAUUUGAUACAGCUUCACCCGGAGUUGGUAGUGAGUCCAUGAUUGAACUCUUGAGAUAACGGUAUUCGGUUUAGCCUUACUCCGAUCCUGAAAAAUCAUGGUCCCACAUGAGCAGACAAACAUAUUUAGGUGAUUCUGUAAAUGAAUAAUUCCAUCGUGUAUUACGGUGCUCCUACAGAAAAUGGUCCCAAAUUUCUAUCACUUCCAUUCAUUUAUCAGCAAUAGCCCAAACGCCAAACCUCAUUUUUUAAAAGUCACCUGGUAUUAAGCUAAAUAAGUCAAUUAAUUAAGUAUGUAAUUGAGUAAUUAACUAAUGGUGGUGAGAUGAUGAGAAAUGGAAAGUACAAGAGUAUCCUGCACAGAACCACCGUAAACAAGGACAAGACAAGAAUGUCAUGACUAGUGUUAUUGGAGCCGCCAGCAGGUCCUCAUUUACAGCUUGUGAACGCCGACAAUCCACCAGAGUAUAAGACCAAGAAGUAUGGCUACCAUGUUUACUGUAAGAUCAACAAGCAUCCCCAGUAAAUAAAAGAAAAACUAACGAAAAGUUAAAAAAAGACUUUAGUUUUAAUGAAAAAUGACAAAUAAAGGUGUAAUGAAUAGUAUCAGGGAAAAGUAAAAAUGUGAUUUUUCGUUAAAAGUGAACAAUACCAGGAGUAUUUGUUAAAACUCCCCAUAAAUAAAUACUAUGAAGUGGGUGGUUUUUGUUUUUUUUAUUUUUAUUUCCUUAUUUUGUGUUGGUGAAAUUGUGGGUGGUGAGUACCAUAUUUGUAUGAAAUAAUAAUUUGAAGUCAAGGUGAUGAGCAAAAUCUUACUCGAUUGUAUAUUAUUAUGGAAGUUGAGAUUUGUUGUCGGAUUCGACAUUCUUCUUAUCCCUCUAACUCACAACAAGUCUGAUCAAAUUCUCAUUUGGUGUCCAAGAUAAAUUUGAAUGAAUAGCCCACAAUAUUUAUUGUAUGUUGAACAAACAAAUGAAAAUUUUGUAUCCAAUUUAAAGUAAAAGAUGAAUUACUCAUACAGAAAACUUGUACAUUCAAAUUUCCUCCAAAAUGACAAGAUUCUUUGGGACACUUUGGAUGCGAUCCCUAGCUAUCAAUAUUCUUUGAUUGAAACCUUGUUAGUUUUUAGUUUUUGAUUGAGGUCCCUGAUAUUAAUGUAAUAAUGUAAGUUACUAUAUUUUUUUAAUUAAAAAUUAAAAAUUGAAAUUUGUAAUUGUUUAUAUUAAUGAGAUUUUAAAUAAAACCCAUAAUUUAUGGGAUUAAAAAUAAUAAAAUAUAAAUUAUUCUCUCUAUUAUAUUGUGUGUGUGUGUGUGUGUAUAUACAUAUAUGUAUGGGUACAUUAACCAAAAUUAACAAAAAAAGUUAUUGUACCAAAACAUGGAUACAUUCUCAAAUCAACGAAAAAGAAUGUACCCAUAUAAGUUUAAACAUGGAUUAAAAAAUUUGAAUGGAUUUUAUAUUAAAAAAGGGUACAUUUUACAUAUAACAAAUUGAUAUAUUUGAGAAUGGGUACAUUUAAGAUUAAAAAAAUUGAAAAAUUAUAUGAAUGGGUACAUUUAAGAUUAAAAAAUUGAGAAUCUUUUUAUAUAUAAAAAAAACUAAUAGGUACAAACUUAAUUUAAUUUAAUUUUUUAUUAUUUUGGAAAUGUUUGAAUUGAAAAUUAAUUAGAAGUUUAAUAGAGGUGUGAGUAUUAAACCCUAAAUUAAUUACUAAUUUUUAUAUUAAAAAAAUUAUAUAAUAAACAUGUAAAUUCAUUAUCACAUUAAUGCUAGGGACUUGAAUCAAAAUUAAGAACUAAUAAGGUGUUAGUCAAUGAACAGUAAAAACUAGGGACUGGAUACUAAUUUUUCCUUAAAAAUAUAACUUUCAUUCAUAUCUACUCAAAAUGAAGAAAACCAUUUACCUCUACAUUCAUCUUUAUGUACUUGGAAUUUUACGAGUUAUCUAUUACAAUCCUAGAAAUCAAAUGACCUUAAGAAACAAAGAAUCAGAAUAUUUAAACUUAGGACAUUGGAUACAAAAGUGUAUAUUCUUAAUCACUACAGUUCAUUUCUUAAACUUUUAUAGUUUAGAAUGCAUAAUCUAUAAAAGCUUUAUUUACAGAAGAAAAGAAAGAAAAUGAGGAGACACGAUUGAUUUGUACAAAAAUAAUAUUGUACAGGCAAAGUCACAUCCCAGAACCAAUUUUGGGAGAGGUUUUGUUUGUUUGCAAGUAAAACAAGUAGAUGUUUUUAACCUUUUACCCUCCAAAACAAGUUCAAGAACGUUCUACUAGUUAGAACAAUAAUAGUAGGGUGGAAUGCUGAUUUAAUCUCUGAAUUAUUACCUCAGUGAAAAUUAGGUCCCUGAAUUAUUUUUCGGUAAAAUAAGUCCCUAAAUUCAUUAAAAAUUGCUAAUUUCAUCCAUACUACUAUAUUAAAAGCUAGUUUAUCACUUUUUUGUCAACUUAAGUCACUUGACACAUUUUAAAGUAAAAUACCAACAUUUUCUCACGUAUAAGCCAUUAACAUUUCAUACAGGUUACCAAUCUAAGGUCUAAUUUUUACCCUCCAAAGUUAACUUCAUAUACUAUUUCUUUAUGUAAAAUUACUAAUCUACUCUCUAAUGUGUAUCAUAUGCAAGUACCUUGACUUAAGUUGACGGAAAAUUGAAUAUAAUAGCUUUGAAUAUAAUAUUAAGGAUGUAAUUGGCAGAUUUUUAAAAUUCAAUGAUUGAUUUUCCUCAAAAAAAUAAAAAUAUUAAAGACCUAACUUUUACUCAGGUGAUAAAUUAUUCAGGAACUAAAUUGGCAGUUCACUCAUAGUAAUAAUGACAGACCCCGACCUAAAUCAGGGCGUGCUAAUCGUCACGUGAGGGUGACGUAGCCAUGUGCACAGUGUGGAAGCAAUAGAGAUAAAAGGAAAUGUGAAUGAAUAAAAACCAUACUACUAAAAGUCCUAGCUAAAAUAAAGUGCUAGUGUGAGAUUAAGUGUGAAAUACACCAUCAAAGCAUAAAUAGUCUAAGUGCAGUUCAACUGGAUAAGUACUAAUUAUAUAACACCCGAAGGUGAUCCUACAUUUAAUAUUCUGUAAGAACCACCGACGAAAUCCCCAUGAGCCACCAAAGCACUUCUACUUAAAAUCUGGAGGGGCGCAAAACAGAAAGUGUGAGUGGGCAAAAACAAAGCUUUUCAAAAUCAGUUCAUUUAUCAAAAAACGCUAACCCCUUGUCGUAAAACCUGUAUAAUUUCCUAAAAAAUAAUAUAUGUUAUAUCAGAAAUCAUGCUCAGGAUGAAAAUCCAUAGAAAUAUAUCAUGCCAAAGUAUCUCAAAGAAAUGCUAUAAAUUAUUCAGUUAAAAUAUAUCAAUACCAGAUAUCAUAUCAGCCGGAUCCACCUAACAUGACCUGCCCAGUUGAGUUUAUAACUCAUAACCAAUCUUAAUCAUAUCAAAUCAUGCACACGAGUCGGAAACACCUAACGUGGUCUGUACGACAAGACUAGGUGUAAAAUAAAUAUGCUCUAGUGCUAUGAUCACGUGAAGACUAUGCAUAUGAUCACGGUUCACCUACGAGUCAGAACCACCUAUAGUGGUCUGUAGGACAAGCCUGUGCACCUAACUUGGAUCCAAGGUAAGCAUAUGGUGCAGGAGGUGAACAUCACAUGAAGGACUGUGCCUUAACUCUGGGCAGGAGCACUAACACCAGGGUGCAGGUUUAUGAGCUCUCAUUGCAUCACAUCAUAUCUCGCAUAACUAAAUCAAUCUCAUAUAUUUAAUUUAUGAACUUACCUGGCACUUACCUGUGCGUCCGCAGCACCAAUCAUAAAUAUAUGCUACUAUUAAUGCAUAAAUAAAAUAGGCAGAUACUUUGUAUGGCAUUUCAAAACGUAUAAUCAUUCAAAUUCAUUUUCUGGGAAAAAUCUCAAGUAUAUAGGUAUAUACGGAAAACCAAAAGCCCACUCACCGGUAUGUCGAAAGGUUGUAGCCCCCGAGCCUCGAAUGAUGGCGCUCGUCCUCUAGAUAGGUCUCACCUAUAUGCGAAAUAACUAAAUAAAUGUUAAUUAAAGCACACAACCACAAUUAGCUAAUAACUUCUUAUACAAUGCUCAAAUGAGGUGUUUGAAUAUACCAACGUGAUCUACUCAACACCACGAACAUCCCCAUAUUUUUAGAAAAAAAUUUCGAGCAUCCAAACACCCUCACGCGCUGGCCAAGGCACGGCUAGACAAGCGGCCCACUUGCAGGCACGUGCCUGGCACACCAAACGGAUUCCCUAACGGCGUUAAGGAAUAUUCCGUUAAAAACCAACAUAUACCGUUAAAAUUACCUGACAGCAUUAGCAUAUUCCGUCAACUUUGACGUAAUAUUCUCCUUCUUCCUCCUUGGUUCGCCGGAGUCUAGCGCCAAUGCCGUUGCUAUCAUCGGAAACUGGAAAAAUCCUAAAAACUUCAUAUCUUUUUCGAUUCUCAACCAAAAUUCAUGAAAUUUGUCUCAAAAUGAAGCUUAGAGUGAGUAGAACACAUUCUUACCACUUUCAAGCCUUGAAAUCCAUGGAAACUCGCCAAAGAAACCUCGAUAAUCCUGCCAAAAUUUGAAACUCGUCAAACUAAGCUUCCCGACGUCCAAAACAGUCCAACUUUCUUCCCCGAGCUUCGUGAAGACGUCCUAAAACUCCCUGGAACCUUAAAAGUCAAAGAAAAGUCCACAAUCAUAACUGCAUGAACAGUGCUCAAAAUCGGGAUUCUUGGGUUCUUGAGUUUUUGAAGGAUUCACGUUCUAAAAAUGGUAUAGAUGUGUUCCUGAGCUCACAAGGAACAUGAAGAUGGCUUCCAAAACCUCGAUUUGCGAUUAAUGAGCUAGGUUCGAGUUUGUCCGUACGGUUGUACGAAAAUGGAAAAAAAUCUGAUAGGGAGGAGAGAGAGAGUAAACGGGAUUGGUUGGUGUGUGUGUAUGGUCUAGCUUUGGGCUACUAACAACAACAAACCAUUAACUUUAAGUUCCGAAAACUUAGGAACUUAACAUAUUGGUCCACCUCUAAAAGUACGUCACACACAACACAUCUCAACGUUUAAGGGUAAAAUAGACAUUUCACACUAUCGAUAAAAAUAAUUUGGGACUGGCUGUGACAACCUACCUUCCUUAAGAAAAUUUUAUCCUCGAAAUUCACACAACAAAUACAAUCCACUAAUAAUCAUAAAACAACCUUGCAUACAUAUCCCUCAUCCUGUCCUCUGUCUCCCAAGCAGCUUCUUCCAUUGAGUGAUUUCUCCAUAAAACUUUCACUAAGCGCACGGUCUUGUUCUUCAGCACCUUAUCUUUCCAAUCCAAUAUCGUCACUGGCUCCUCAUCAUAAGUCAAAUCUGGAUUAAUUUCCAAAGGUUGAGGAGGUAUCACAUGUGACGGAUCUGAAAAAUAAUGACGAAGCAUGGAAACAUGGAAAAUGUCGUGCACUUUAGAUAACUCUGGAGGCAACUCAAGCCUGUAAGCAACUUCACCGACUCUCUCGGUGAUCACAUAUGGUCCGAUAUACCUAGGACUUAACUUACAUUUCUUCCCAAACCGAACCACACCUCUCCAUGGUGAAAGCUUAAAAAAUAUCCAAUCACCCACUUUAUACACCCUGCCAAUGGCGUGUUUUUCUGCUAAACUCUUUUGUCAAUCCUGGGCAGCUUUCAGGUUAGAUUUAAUUACUUGAAUAUUCUGAGUAGUCUCAUCCACAAUCUUAGGGCCCACCAAAACUCUUUUGCCAACCUCUGACCAACAUAAAGGUGUACGACAAGACCUGCCAUAAAGUGCCUUAAAUGGUGCCAUACCAAUACUUGAAUGAAAACUAUUGUUGUAGGCAAAUUCCAUUAAAUCCAACCGCUUAUGCCAAACGUCACUAAACUGCAAUACUGAAGAUCUCAGCAUAUCUUCCAGCGUCUGAAUAGUCAUCUCUAAUUGUCCAUCUAUUUAAGGAUGAUAUGAUGUACUAUAAAGUAAUCUCGAACCAAGAGCUUCCUGGAAUGCUAUCCAGAACUUAGAAGUAAAUCUAGGAUCACGAUCCGAGAUAAUACUAACUGGAACUCCAUGGUACUUCACAAUCUUCGAUAUGAAUAAUUUAGCUAAUCGGCUUAAAGAAUACUUCUCCCUCACAGAAAUAAAAUGUGCCGACUUAAUAAGCCGAUCAAUUAUCACCCAAAUGCCAUCAUAACCAUUCUGUGUACGAGGAAACUUGUACACAAAAUCCAUAGUAAUAUUUUCCCAUUUCCACUAUGGAACGGGAAGUGGCUGCAUCAAUCCAAAAGGUUUCUUUCUUUUUGCUUUGACAUGCCACCUACUCACAUAUUCGGCAAUUCUCUUUUCAUACCUGGCCAAUAAUAAAAUGGUCGAAUGGUAUGAUACAUUUUAGUACCUCUUGGAUGCAUUGCAUAAGCUGAAAUAUGUGUUUCAUCAAGAAUUGCUUUCUUUAAUUCCAUAUUAUUCGGCACAUACAUUCUACUUUCCUGCAUAAGCAUGCCAUCAGUUUCUCGAAUUCUGAAGUCUUUCUUCUUCCCCCGAUUCCUUGCUUGAAUUAUUUCCUGGGUCUCUUCAUCAUCCAUCUGGGCUUCAAGUACAUGAUCAAUUAAUAUUGGCCUGACUUGAAAUUUUGCAAGUAAGGCUUCCUCUCGAUCUUCCACUCCUAACUUCACUCCAGUGGACCUUAAAUCCGUAAGAAGAGGAACAUGACAAUCAUAAAUGACAUUAAGUCUAAUUGAAGGAACUUCAAGAUCAAGCCCCAACGACCCUUUGAAGGAACUUCCACCAAUUCAAGAUCAAGCCCCGACGGCCCUUGAAGAAAGCGUUCAUCGUUCAUCAUCCGUUCAUCCUAAGAUCAAGCCCCAACGACCCUUUGGAUCAACAACAUCAACAAAUCCACAUAUCCAAUCGUUUUUCAAGAUAAAGCCCAAAAUCCCUUGAAGAUCCAUUCAUCAACUGUUCAUCAAGAUCAAGCCCCAAAGGCCUUUGAAGAUCCGUUCAUCAACAAUUCUUCAAGAUCAAGCCCAAAAGCCUUGAAGAUCCGUUCAUCCAUCAACCUUCAAGAUCAAGCCCAAAGGCCCUUAAAGAAACUUCCCUCAACCUUCAAGAUUAAGCCCCAAUGGCCCUUGAAGAAAACUUUCAACCGUUCAUCCAAGAUCAAGCCUCGACGGCCCUUGGAUCAAUCGCACAUCCACAAAUCAACACCUUACGGAGAUCGAAUCAGAGGAUCAAAUUUGAGAGAGAUUGUAACCCCUAAAUCAUUAAUACAAAUAUUAUUUUGUACACGUGUUCUUGUCUCGUUCGUUUAGAAAUUUCCGUGUUUACAAAUUUGGCACGCCCAGUGGGACGUUCUCUAUCUUUGAAUCCGUAAAAAGCACAAAUGGCAUCAAAGAAGACUCAAGUCGCUCUCACAACCAAUGCAAGGAAUAAGAGCGUCAUCACCGCAGGUGGUGUCACUUCGGGCGUCACAACUCGAAGCAAGGCAAGAGCUCUUUCUGCCGCCUCUUCUAUUCCUGCAUCAACUCUGCCGAAGGAACAAGAGCACCCGAGGCACGAACCUAUGAUCAUCCUGGCCUCGCUAAGGGCGCUAAGGAAGGAAAGCCCAAGGAAGUACUCUGGUUCCAUGUUUUCCGAUGCCGACUCAAGCGGCAGCUCAGCCAUGCAAGUCAUGACUACUAGAGCAACUUCAAUCGAUGAGCAGUUGGCUCAUAUGAAUGAAGCGAUCGCAAGGCUAACACGGAUUGUGGAAGAAAAAAACCAGCAAAUCGUCUCACUCGUCAACCAACUAGAUGUAAAGCCCGACGUGAAAAUCGAGCAAGGGGAUGAUCCAGUAAAGAAGGAAAACGACGAGGAUGAAGAGCCUCAUGUGGAGAAAGUCGAAGAGAAACUAAAGCUAGACCAAUCAGCGGUAUUCAUAGGAUCUCUCUCGAUCCAGCAGCUGCAGGAGAUGAUCGCCAGCACCAUCAAGGCACACUACGAAGGAAGUUCACAUGACUCCGUACUAUACUCAAAACCCUACUCCAAGAAAAUUGACGUUUUGAAGAUGCCGAGGGGUUAUCAGCCACCAAAGUUCAUGCAGUUCGAUGGAAAGGGAAACCCGAAGCAACACGUUGCACAUUUCGUCGAAACCUGCAACAACGCGGGGACAUAAGGAGAUUACCUCGCCAAGCAGUUUGUACGCUCGCUGAAAGGAAAUGCCUUUGAGUGGUACACGGACCUAGAGCCUGAGUCCAUCAACAGCUGGGAGCAAUUGGAAAGAGAAUUCCUCAACCGCCGCACUGUGAGCAUACUAGAGCUGACGAGCACAAAACAAUGGAGGGAUGAGCUAGUUGUAAACUACAUUAAUCGAUGGCGCAAUCUAAGCCUCGACUGCAAGAACAGGCUCUCAGAGAUCUUUUCAAUCGAGAUGUGCGUCCAAGGCAUGUAAUGAGGGUUACACUAUAUCUUUCAAGGUAUUAAACCACGGACCUUUGAAGAGUUAGCCACCCGUGCCCACGACAUGGAGCUAAGUAUUGCCCAUCACGAGAAGAAAAAUUCGAUCACCGACUUCAAGAAGGAUAAGGUGUUCUCCCCAAAUGUAGACAAGACUGGGAAGAAACCCCCCAAGGAAGCGUUCACCGUCAGCACUGCACCUGUCAAGACCGCCUUUGCACCUAUCAAGAUCUCCUCCAAAACCAAAGCAAAGGAGAUAAAGAGAGGUGAGCCUCCUCGCACCCAAGAAAGGUACAAAAGCACCUUAAGGGAAUUGGAGCAGAAGGCGUACCCUUUUCCUGACUCAGACAUGGAUGCAAUGUUAGACGACUUGCUGGAAAAGAAGGUAAUCAAGCUACUCGAAUGCAAGUGGCCUGAAGAAAUGAAUCGCAUAAACGAUCCUAAAUACUGCAAGUACCAUCGAAUCGUGAGCCAUCAUGUGGGUAAGUGCUUUGUCCUCAAAAAGCUCAUCAUGAAGCUAGCAUAACAAGGGCGAAUCGAGCUCAACCUCGAAGGCACGGCCGCAACACAUACUACUACAAUUACAUUUGGAUCUUUCGAUCCUGUACCUCUUCAAACAACACUUGACCAUUCCUAUCAAUGCUCAAGUUGCACGAUACCUUAUGCGCAACCAUCGCCGGGGGCAAACGAACAAGAUGCACAUACCGAUGAUGAAGAAGGAUGGACAUUGGUGACCUACAAAAAAACAAGGAAACCAAAACCACAAGCCAUAAGACCAAAUGUGGAACAAGUGAGAAAGCAUCGUCGCCGCAACAAUAAGAAGCCCAAAAGAAACAUAAAAGCUGAUAAGCCAACAUAUGUUGGGGAACCUAUGGAGCAAGAGACACGCAUUCCUGUCUCCUUGCAUGAGUAUUUCUCGAAUGACUUCUUCCAACAGUGCACUAUCGCUGCAUGCCACAUGGUCGAAGUAGAAAUGGAAGAACCUUCAAAAGGCAAAGAUAUCACCACUGAGGGAGAAAAAACUCUCACGCUCGAAGAAGGUCUGCCAAUACACCUUAGCAUUGAGGAAGCGCUACGAUUGCCAAAGAAGAUGCGAAGAGCAUUAACAGCGGUCUUGGAAAGUCCCAAUGACCACGAAGCGCAAGAAAGCAAAGACGAAGGCUUGAAGCUUCAACCACAUGAAUACGCCACAUGUUGUGCCACCUAUGAUGCAAUCAACUUCACUGACGAAGAUUUACUACUGGGAUCAAAGCCUCACAACCGUCCUCUUUUUGUCUCGGGAUACGUAAAAGAGCACAAAGUCAACUGCAUGCUUGUGGAUGGUGGAUCAGCCAUCAACAUCAUGCCAAAGUCAACAAUGGCUACAAUCGGCAUCAAGGUGGAUGAACUGUCCUUAAGUCAUAUACUAAUCCAAGGUUUUAAUCAAGGAGGACAAAGAGUGAUGGGCAUGAUCCGUGUGGGGAUGACUAUUGGUGAACUCAAGUCAAGCAUGAUAUUCCACGUGAUUGAUGCAAGAACUUCCUACGACUUGCUCUUAGGAAGGCCUUGGAUCCAUGCAAAUAGAGUAGUACCGUCCACCCUUCACCAAUGCUUAAAAUUCUACUGAGAAGGAGUGAAGGUGAUCUAUGGUGACACCAAACCAUUCACCGAAGCCGAAUCACAUUUCGCAGACGCCAAGUUCUACAUGGAUGAAGACAUGGUGCCCAAACACCGUCAACAAUAAAGAAUGUGACCUCACUGAGACUCAAAAGAAGUUGAAGAAGCAUGGUUACGGAGUUGACAACGACAAAGCUGGACUUGGCUUCACACCAAAUGCACACGUGAAGAUUUCAAGCAAAGCAAAAAAUGCUAGCACUCAACACAUCAGCGUGAACAUUGAACAAGAUCAAUAGAAGCUUAAGUCCGCCCUUCGGACGUUAGUCUUUGAUAGGAUGAAUCGUUCAAGACCCAGAACGUCAGCACUUGAUCGCAUUGGUGGUCAAAACCCAACCUCCGUCUUCAAGAGGCUUAACAGGCCAACAUCCCAGCUCUCCUUCUCGUCGGUCGACUUUGGAAAGACUUGAAGACAACAGGAAGUUUUCUAGAAAUAGGGAGACAACGUCAAAGGAAGAAAAGCUCAACAGGCUAGCAGAAAAAGGCGAUAUUUGAAGCUGAAUUCCUUCAAGGAUGAAGUGCCAAGCAAUCUUGAAGGUUGACACAAAUGGACCACUGAAAGUAAGAAGGUGCAUCAUCAUCCGCACUGGACAAUCUUCAUGCCAACAAGCCCAAGAGGAUGACACUGAAUGGGAGAUCCAAGACAUCUUCCUCGUCACAAUUCAAAAAGGUAAAGGAGAUGAAAUCCCUAAGGAAGAAGUCACCUCUGUUUCUUUCGACUCAAAGUCGCCACCUCAAUCGCUAGGGGCAUGCUCCAAGUCAAGCGAAGUUGAAGGAGGGACUCAUGUCGCUUCAAAGAAAUUACACAUAAAGCCUACGUCACAUUCACAAAUGCACCAGUUGAAAAGGGGGCAAGAAACCAUUGUUAAUACACUUUCAAGCCUGGAUGAAGUUGAGAUCGACAACAUGAUCGAAGGUGAUCUAAUUUAAGAGGUCGUGGAUGCAGGACGAAACUUAAAUGUUGCCUUUAAAAAAUCAGGGGAACUCCGCGCUUGCAUAGAUUCUCGUAACUACAACACCCGAAAGAACAACACCGAAUAGGAAGUCCAAGAUGUCUUCCACAUCACGGUCCAAGAAAGCAAAGAAGACGAGAUCCCCGAAGAAGAUGUCACUGCUGUGCCACUGCAACUUGAGGAUGGGGGGAAUCCACGGUUGAUGAUCUCAAGGAGCUCAACUUAAGCACAAAAGAGGAGCAGAAACCUAUCUUUGUAAGUGCGCUGCUAAGUGCGGACGAGAUAGAGGAGUAUUACCAAUUGCUAUCAGAAUACAAAGACGUCUUUGCUUGGACCUACAAAGAAAUGCCUGGCCUUGACCCUAUCAUUGUUGUGCAUCAUCUUGCAGUCAAGCUUGGAACGCGACCGAUAAGGCAAACUCAAAGGCGUUAUUGAUCCGAGUUCAUUCCACAAAUCGAGGUAGAGAUUGACAAGUUAAUCGAAGCAGUCUUCAUUUGGGAGGUGCAAUACCCCAAGUGGAUCUCCAACAUCAUCAUCGUCCUUAAGAAAUCUGGACAAAUACGUGUUUACGUAGACUUCCGGGACCUCAACGACGCUUGCCCGAAUGACGACUUCCCCUUGCCAAUCAUCGAAAUCAUGAUGGAUACAACCACUGGCCACGAGGCACUGUCAUUCAUGAAUGGCUCUUAUGGAUAUAAUCAAAUUCGUAUGGCUCUCGAAGACGAGGAACUAACAGCCUUCCGCACUCCAAAAGGUAUUUACUGCUACAAGGUGAUGCCCUUUGGUCUGAAGAACGCUGGAGCUACAUAUCAACGUGCAAUGCAGAAAAUCUUUAAUGACAUGCUACACAAAAACGUAGAAUGUUAUGUAGACGAUGUGGUGGUCAAGACAAAGAAAAGAUCAGACCGCUUGAAGGAUUUGCGAAUGGUGUUCGAAAGGUUGUGAAAAUACAACCUCAAGAUGAACCCGUUAAAAUGUCCAUUUGGCGUCACCUUCGGAAAGUUCCUUGGCUUCAUUGUCAAGCAUCGUGGUAUUGAAGUUGACCGAUAAAAAAUCAAGGCCAUUCAAAGCAUGCCUGAGCCAAGAAACCUGCAUGAGCUGAAAAGUCAACAAGGACGGCUAACCUUCAUCAGACACUUCAUCUUCAACCUUGCAGGGCGUUGUCAACCGUUCAGCCGACUCAUGAAGAAGGAUGUUUCGUUUGUAUGGGACGAAACAUGCCACAAUGCUUUUGAAAGCAUAAAAAAGUAUUUGUCAAGUCCACCUGUCUUGGGGGCACCUGUGCCCGAGAAACCACCAUAUUGUACAUCGCCGCUCAGGAAAGUUCAGUUGGAGCACUCUUGGUGUAAGAGAAUGAAUCCCAGAAAGAAUGAGCGCUCUAUUACCUCUGCCGAACUCUCACCGGCGCCGAGUUGAACUACUCCCCAAUAGAAAAGAUGUGCCUUGCCUUGGUGUUCGCCAUCCAGAAACUCAGGCAUUACAUGCAUGCUUACACCAUCCACUUGGUUACUAAAGCUGACCUAAUCAAAUACGUCAUGUCCAAACCAGUCUUGACGGGGUAACUCGCUAAAUGGGCAUUGCUUCUUAACCAGUAUGAGAUAAUCUACAUCCUAACUAAAGCUGUCAAGGGACAAGCACUAGCAGACUUUCUUGCUGAUCACCCAAUCCCAGCUGAUUGGAAAAUCUCAGACGACUUGCCUGACGAGGAAGUGUUCUACAUCGACAUCUUCCCGACAUGGACGAUGUUCUUCGACGGAUCUGCACGAGCAGACGGAGCAGGGGUAGGAAUAGUAUUCAUGUCGCCACAAAGGCAGAUAUUACCUUAUUCAUUUCAACUAAGCGAAUUAUACUCCAACAACGUCGCUGAGUACCAAGCACUGAUCAUCGAACUCCAAAUGGUGAUCAACAUGGGAAUCAUAGCCCUUGAGGUAUUUGGCGACUCCAAGCUCAUAAUCAAUCAACUCUUAACCGAAUAUGAGGUGAGGAAAGAUGAUCUUGUCCCAUACUUCCGGCUGGCAACUCAACUGCUACAAGAGUUUGAGAUUGUGACACUAGAACAUAUGCCAAGAAAAGAAAAUCAAAUGGCAGACGCUCUUGCCAACCUAGCCUCAAGCAUGACAUUAGGAGAAGACGAAGCUGCAGACGUGCCAGUCUGCCAAAGAUGGGUGACCCCCCUCGUCACCGAAAUGCUAUUGGAUGAUACAAAUGUCAUCUCAGUACUUCCAGUCGAUGUUAAAGAGUGGAGACAACCGCUGAUCAACUACUUAAAGCAUGGAAAACUUCUAGAUGAUCCUAGACACCGCUCCGAAAUACGUCAACGAGCACCUCGCUUCCUUUACUACAAAGAAACACUCUACCGGCGCUCUUUCGAAUGAGUACUUCUGAGAUGCCUAGGCGAGGAAGAAGCCAAUCAAGCCAUGGAAGAAGCACAUUCAAGCGUGUGUAGGGCGUAUCAGUCUGGACCAAAGCUGCAUUUCCAGCUCAAAAGGAUGGGUUAUUACUGGCCAAGCAUGGUGAAGGACUACCUGGAACAUGCCAAAAGGUGCAAAGCCUACCAAUUCCAUGCCAACUUCAUACACCAACCACCUGAGCCAUUACACCCUACAGUUGCUUCAUGGCCAUUCGAUGCAUGAGGAUUGGAUGUCGUAAGACCAAUUACCCUAAAGUCAUAUGCAGGAGAAGCUUACAUUCUAGCUGCAACAUAUUACUUCUCCAAGUGGGCUGAAGCCAUACCCCUAAGGGAAGUAAAGAAGGAAACCGUCAUCCAUUUCAUCAAGGAGCACAUCAUCCACUAAUUUGGGGUACCUUGCUACAUCAUCACUAAUAACGGAAAACAAUUCUCCAACCGACUCGUGGAUGAGCUCUGUGAGAAAUACAAGUUCAAGCAACACAAGUCUUCCAUGUAUCAUGCUCCGGCCAACGGUCUUGCAGAAUCAUUCAACAAAACAUUGUGCAAUCUUCUGAAGAAGGUGAUCGGUCGAAUAAAGAGAGACUGGCAUGAAAGAAUAAGCGAAGCACUUUGGGCAUAUCGAACGCCACAUAGGACUCCUACCCAAGCUACGCCUUAUUCUCUUGUAUAUGGCGUGGAAGCUGUUCUACCGCUCGAAAUCCAAAUCCCCUCACUAAGAAUGGCUAUACAAGAAGGCUUGACUGAUGAAGAGAAUGCAAAGUUGCGCCUUCAAAAGUUGGAAGCACUCGAUGAAAGAAGGCUCGAAGCUCAGCAACAUUUGGAAUGCUACCAAGCAUGGCUAUCCAAGGCAUUCAACAAGAAGGUCCGCCCAAGGUCUUUCCAAACUGGAGAUCUCGUCCUCACAUUGCGUAGGCUUAUCAUCACAACUCACAAGACAAAAAGCAAGUUCACAUCAAAGUGGGAUGGACCAUACAUAAUACAAGAGAUCUACACCAACGGCGCCUACUUAAUCACGGCAGAAGACGACUUGAAUAUUGGCCUUAUCAAUGGAAGAUUCUUGAAGCGCUACUACCCCUAAAAGGCGAUAACCAACGCUCUUGGUUCGCACGAGCCUAAACUGCACAAACCAAAGCUCCUGGCCCGCAAAAGCAUAAUCUGUAUACGGCAAAAUCAUCAUCAAAAUCAUUGUUAAAUUCAUCGCUCAUUUGAACUACGUUAUGACUUGAUCCCUCCUCAACUGAGGGUACGUAGGCAACUUGAAACUUCAAAACUUCAAGUACAGUCACACCAUCAAAACUUCAAAAAUAUAAAUACUUUAUUUCUUUAAAAGAAGAAGUCGGCUCCAAAGCCUUAUUACAAGAAAAAUAGAAGAUACUACUUGAAAACUAUGUCCCUAAAACUACGAAGGCGAUCUUCAAGCAAGCCUUCCAAAGUCUUCAAAGUCUCUACCUCGGUGGGAGACAAGAUGGGCAACUCCAUAGUCAUGCCUUUCUCUCGUUUUAGGCGUGAAAUCUCCUCCUGGUACUGAGAAGGUGUAGUUCCCUGCUCCGAGAGAACACUUUCAAGUUGCGAUGCUUCGAUUACCAACUGCUCUCGCUCUUGCACCAACGCAUCUAGACACACUUGGACAGAAGUUAAAGAAGUAUCUGUGAAUUGAUAAUCUCCCGAAGCAGCUUGCUGAGAAGACCGGACUUGAGCCAGUGACAAGUUUAUUGUUGCUAGCUGAUGAGCUAUAACAUUUGGACUCAACUUAUCCAAGGAAAUAGCACGCAAGGAAGAAUACUCAGUCGAGGCGGCCAUAAGGUCGGCAAUCUUGAUCUUCAACGAUGAAGAAGCAACGUUAAGGUUGUUAAUCACAGAAACAAGCUUCGGAAAAUCCUCUUUGAGCAACAUAUGGUCUUCCAACGGGCACUUAGAAAUCCUCUUCUCUAUAUGGCUCUUGAUAUCCAUUGUCGCACCAAGACUAAUGCGAUGGAUGACUUGCUCAGUACCGCUAAGGUUCGGCCCUCUCAAAGAAAUCUCAGAGCUAGCUGGCAAAGGUGUUGGACGCAUGACGGGUCGCCGAUCCUCGAUCUCCCUGUCUGUAGGUAGGUAUCCUACAAAUAGCAUCUCCAUAUAGGAAUAAACAUCUGCAGUUGCCAAAUCAAAAGGACGAGAAGGCCCAGCCUAAAGAAGGCAAAGAAAGAUGUUAGAAACAAAAGCCAAAAUGAUGAAAGCAGAAGAAAUCACGAAAAAAAAAAAUUGAAGUACAUACAUCUCUCUCAAAUGACACACGGUCAUCAAAUCGAUGAGGUCUAAACACUUCCUUCUUCUUAUGAUGAAAAUUGACAUCGCUGUCAACAUGAGCAUCCUCAAGUGGUCGCUUGUUUGAAACUUGUUCACGCUGCUGCAAAAUAAAUCCAUCUUCGUGUGAAUCAACUUCAUCUCCCACCUCUCUAGAAGCAUUCGGAUGUCGAGGAGACAAGCAAGGGCGUUGAUGAGCUAAAGCUACAGGUCUAUCUUGUAAGGGAGCCGUACUCGCGCAAUCAAGAGGUACCAGUUGCAUAGGAACCACAAGACAACCCUCUCUCGACAUAUCAUCACCUAAGUGAGAAUAAUUGGUAUCACUUGCCAUCCCCAAGCUCUUAUAAUGUACCUUUGACCACCAACAUGCGUAAACACGGGUCAUUGGAUUACUUUUGAACUCAUCAUUGGCUGGCAGCGUGAUAACAACAUUUGUGCAUGCACGGGUACAAGACUAUCAAUGCAUGUACACGGCUUGCAAGGAUGCCAAUUGGUUCUUUGCCUUCAGCUUGCCUGGCACAUUUUGGACAAAGCCAAAUUGCUUGCUGAAACGGUGGGGAUUAUAUGGCUGAACAAUGCAUCGGUCUUCUUGCCGUAAAGAAACAAACCCCGAGCGAAGACUUAUAAGAUAAGACAAGUCUGAGAAGCGGAGACGCGAAUUGUCUACGAUGCCUCGCCGCACCGGGCCAUCCUUAAAUCUUUAAAUCUUCACAACGUUUAAAUAGCGCUCGCGCUUGCAAAUCAUCAAGGCUCUUCGCGGAGAGCACGCUAGAAUACUUCGUCAUCAAAGGCCUCAGUUUGGCUCUAAUCGAUGAAAAAGACAUUGACUUGUCUAAAGUCAACAAAGAAAAAUGAGUGCCAAAAUAUUCACCCAACCAACCAUACACAUAGUGGUAAGGGAGCACUGCAGCAUGAUCUUCAGUGCUUGCCGAGUUCGAAACAAUGCUCAAGCCAUUAUAAAUGUUGGUUAAGACCGGAAUAGCAAGGCUAAAAGACUCCCCUGCAGCCAUCUUGCUAGCAACCUUGAAAACUCCAGGACAAACUAAGUUGACGUCGCCUGUUAGGAAAACAAACUUACAAAGCCAACAAGCUAAGAAAGCAGCUAGGUAAGACUCUUCCACAUGCUCUGAUGUUAUGCCAAGAUCCUCAAACGCUCUCAACUUGUCAGAAGAACGGCGCAUGGUUGAGCCAAUAACACCGGACGGGUCUGAGUCUCCCUUUGGCCUAGUGGUUUUAUUAUGGCCAUUUUUCUUCAAAGGCUUCUUAUACCUCAUGGCCUCCCAGUACCAAAAUCGGAUCCAUGAGGAAUUCCUCACGCCUGAUUUACCUUGAGCAUCCUGGAAAAGCUUGUGAUACGCCCAAAACAAACAGCGGCAACUCGCAGGCAAUCCUCGGUUAUAGCAAAGAGAAAGUUCAUUCACGCUGAGAACGACCUCGUCGUAAAACUUGCCUUGGAUCGGCAAGCCUCUUAUCCUGUGAAGAUCCCAAAGUGAAAUUGACAUCUCCCCUUGCGCCGUGUGAAGUGUGUUGGUCGUCGAACACCAAUGCUCAAAGAACGCACGAAGGACGGAAGGAUGGCGAUCAUAACUAAACAAAGAUGCGUACACAGCGUGGUAAAGGCCCACGUUAGUAAGCACAUCUUUAGAUCGGCUUAAGACAUCUUCAAGCCACACCCAAUAAAACUCAUCAGACGGCCUCUCCAGUGGUCGACAGGGUACCAUUCCAAGCCAUAGCUCCACUGCGGAUAUGAUCACCAAGAAGCUUAAACGAGGCCGAAUGAUUGUCAUGAUUAUGGUGCGAAUGAUUCAAGAUAAGAACCCUCGAUAUGCACACCUUCUUCUUCAUAUUUGGUCGAACAGAGUCUACCACCUCCCAAGAUACUUCAGAAGACCACGACUUAAUAUGCAUGGAGUUGUCUUUCGCGAGAAGAGCAAGCGCCUUAUAACCAGUCAGUGGCGUGUAAAGCUUCAACGUUGUCCCCUCAUCUUGCGAAUCGCCGUCCUUCGCAAGAAUGGUGAUGGUGUUGCUCUUAAAACACUUAAAAAAUACCAUGACUGCAAAAAAAAAAAAUCAGCCACAAAACUUGAGCACCACGGCAAAUAGGGCAGCUACAGAGCGUUCCUUUAAAGCACGCUACACUGGCGAAGAAAACCAAAAUGCUAUGCAAUCACACUACGUAACCCCGCUGCAGGCUCUUGCACAACACCACACGGCAGCGCACUACCAAGGGAAAACUGUGAUCAAAAGGCACUACACAGCAAAACCCCGUUACAGUCUCUGGCACAAGCACUAGGCAACCUGCUCACUCCGCCACCAACAACCAUGUCUCUAAAAGCUUCGUGAGAGUCUCGGCAUCAUGCUCUGCCUUCAUAAAAAAUAGACACAUCGUAUUUUAUAUAUAUAAGACAUACAUACCCACGGCAAGUGGCAAGGUCAAUGUGCAUGGCAACGUCACCACCAAGGAAAGUUGUGACCAAAAUGCACCACAUAGCAAAAUCCAGCCGCAGUCUUUUGCACAGCAACACGUGGUCUGCUCCAAGCUCCAAGCUCCAAGCUCCAAGCUCCAAAGUUCACCAGUUCGACAAGCAGCAAAGCAGAGAAGAACGUUCACAGCAGAAGGAGGUUAUGUCUAUGGUCAUUUUAUAAGCUCAACUUGUCCGUCCAAGUGAAGAAAAGAAAAGAAAAGAAAAGAUAUAUAUAUAUAUAUAUAUAUAUAUAUAUAUAUAUAUAUAUAUAUAUAUAUAUAAAAAUAAUAUAAUAAAAAAAUUUGGGUGCUUCAUGCACCAUGUAAAGAAAAUAUAAAAUAUAUGUAUAUAUUAUUAAAAAAUGUAGGUGCUUCCAGCACCAUGCAAGAAAAAUAAUUUAAAAAAAAAGGAAAAGCAAAAGAAGGUGGCCGGCCAUCAUUUAAAAAAAUUGUAAGGGCUUUGGGUGCUUCACGCACCAAGUUUUGGAAUUCUGGAGGUGCAUGUGCACCAUGCAAAAAAAAAAUUAAAAAAUUAAAAAAUUAAAAAAUUAAAAAAAAAAAAGAAGAAAAGAGAAUGAUAGUCAUCUUUUGUUAAGGGAUGGUGGUGUCCAGAAAGCAAAAGGGACAAACAUUCAAAUUGGGAAAAAGAAGGAAAAUAUUGAUGGUGCCAGUCUCACCGACAGUGAAAAAUACAUAUAUAUAUAUAUACACACACACACAGAAUGAAAUAAGGCUCAUUUAUUGAUUUCUCUGAAAAUUUACAUAAAUGUACAUUUUACAUAUGAAAAAAAAAAUUAAAAAAAAAUUAAAAAAAAUUAAAAAAUUAAAAAAUUAAAAAAUUAAAAAAUUAAAAAUUAAAAAUUAAAAAUAAAUACAGGAGGGAGCUUUCACGAAGGUUGCUCGUGUGAAGCCUCAUCACUCUGCGAAACUCCAGGAAAACUUUGGAGGUUGACUGUUUAGAGCCUCAACAUUCAGUAAAACUUUGGAGGACGAAGGCAAUAGAUGCCUUUGAAGUAAAGCCACAAACGUCCGAUGGUCACUCUGAAUCUGAUCUUCAGAUUCCUGCAGCUGGUCGAGCUUUCUUUUCAUGUUCGUUGAGUAACUAUUGGCAAGCAUGUGCAACUCUUUGUUUUCAUGCUUAAGCCUUCUAAUCUCUUGCUUAAGACUCGCCGCCUCAGCCAUCAGUGACUCGACUUGACGAGUUCGAGCAAGAAGGCGUUGGCCCAUAUUUGAUACAGAGCCCGCACACUGAACACUAAAAGCCAGAGAGUCCUGAACAGCCAAUCAUUAGACCGCUUGGAAAAGAUCCUAUUGUCCUUAGGGGUGAGAAGAUUCCUAGCUACCACCGUCGCGGUUAUGUCAUUCUUCAUCAUAGAGUCCCCAACUGUAAGAGGACCGGUGGCGGAUAAGAAGGACGGGCGCCAUACGUUGUCUGGAGAAGACAUAUCAACAUCUUCCCCAACAUUCAAAUCAAGACGACGAUCAGAUGGGCAAGCCAUUUGCAAAAAUGAUGAAAGAAGAAUAGGUCGUGUAAGUCGAAUUCUUAGAAAUGCAAAAUAAGGGAAAUUCCUAACAGGUAGCGACUCUCUAAGUGUGUUUUUGAACACGAUUCAUGCCUCUAUAAAAAGAAGAGGCAACAGGGCCUGUUCAAAAAUCGAAGAGGCAAUGUGGUCGUUCAGAAACCAAAGAGGCCCCUCUCCCCGAAUUUCAAAAAACUGAGCCAUUUGUUCAUAAAUCGAAGAGGCAACAAGGCCACCAGUUCAAAGAUCGAAGAGGCACCACUCUCUGAAUUUCAAAAAAGACCGGCUUUUCAGGAUUUGUCACCAUCCUUCACACGCAACCUCAACUUUGCGGAAAUCACGCACAACUUUGUAAAAGAUUUCUGACAAAGCUGAAAACGCGUGAAUCUUACUAUUUCAAUUACCCAACGGUUGCCGACAAGAGUAAAGGAAUAGUGCCACUACUGGCUAUUGGGAAAUUCCUAUAUAUGUCGACCUUCACCCUCCAUAGCAAGGCAGACCUGCAAAAAUGUCCAACCCUUCCUCAUUUCCGAGAGUACACUCCCAGCAAAGCCUAUUGAAAUACCCAGUUUUCUUCCUCUCCUGGAAUACCUCUGUAAACAAAUGACACCAAAGUAAAAGUAUCCCAUAUCAUCAGGGUAAAAAGCAAGAGUAUCUCAUAUCAUGCAAUCUCCCUAUCCUUUUCUUUGUCCUUGUUCUUACCUGCAAAGACAAGGAUAAAGAAAGCAAUAUGUCGGAACCUCCACUCAAACUCCGGGUAAGGAAUCGACUACCUGGAACCUUUGCCUGGUUGCUUACCUGGCAUUGCUCUAAAGUACUCGUCUUAAACUGCUGAUGUACUUCCGAAGAAGAUGCCACAUUUGCCUAGAGAACAGAUAAGGCAAGUGAAAAUGAUACCUUGAAGCAUGUGGAGACAACGUGUUGAUUUCCUUCAAGAUCAAGUCUCCCCUUCCCUGCACAAUCAAGCAACCCAGCAGAAGAAGUCUGAGUUGAAUCCAAGAGCUCGAGCUGCUUCAACAACAUAUUGACGGCAUCAUCAUCGAAGAGCAAAGCCUCGCUGUGCAACGCUGUCAAAAUUGCCACCAUUUAUUCGAAAGCAAGAGUAUUUCAUAUCAUGCUUUCUCUAUGUCCUUGUCUUUGUCCUUGUUUUUACCUGCAAGACAAGAAGAAGGAGAGCCAUCAGUCAGAACUUGAAAGUCAAACUCCCAGUCAGGAACCGAUUGCUUGGAACUUUUCCCUGAUUGCUUACGUAGCACUACUCUCGAAGUAUCCAUUAUCUCAACAUCUUAUACUUCCAGAUAAGAUACCACAUCUGCCCGAAGAACAGAUAAGGCAAGGGAAAAUGAUACAUUGAAGCAUGUGGAGACAAGCACAACAAAGCACAACAAAGCACGUGCCAAUUCAUCUGCUACUUCUUCAAAAUCAAAAGUAUCUCAUAUCAUCAGGGUUUCAAUCACUCUGGGUAGUGGACUCGUUUUGACCCUCAAAUUCUUGGGUCGACUUGCUAGGCGUUGUGGGCUGCACGUGCCGAUUCACCACCCUUGAAUCAAAUCCUUAAAGAUCAAGUCACCAACUGGAAGAAGAGCCCAUCAAUCUUGAAGAUCAUACCGUUGACCAAACUCCUCAAGUGUGAAUUAGAAAGAUUGAACAAAGCAACAAGUCAUCACCUUCACCUCGUGCCUGCUUGCCAUGUGUUCGAGUCAACCUUCAAGAAUCAAGCCUCAACGGCCCUUGAAGAAGCUUCCAGCCAAAUUCAAGAUCAAGCCUCGACGACCCUUGAGGAAAUCACAAGUCCGAUUCAAGAUCAAGUGUCUACCACCCUUGAAUCAAAUCCAGUUCAAUAAUAAGCUGUGGAAAGUCAACAAUUGGAGGAAACCAGAAAAUCCUCCAACCUAGUUCAAGAAUAAGCUUGUGGAAAGUCAACAAUUGGAGGAAUCCAGAAAAUCCUCCAACCCAGUUCAAGAUCAAAGCUGUGGAAAGUCAACAAGCGCAACAAAAUACGUGUCAAUUCAUCCACUACCAAAGCCAAGGAUCAUAUACCACAUGAAGCUCCUUGUGGUCUAAUUUCAACCUUCAAUAUCAAGCCUCGACGACCCUUGAAGAAAUUUCAAACAAAGUUCAAGAACAAGCCUCAACGGCCAUUGAAGAAAUCUCUAACCUAAUUGAAGAUCAACCAUCAAUGGCCCUUGGAUCGACAUCUACAUUAAGGGACUUCAAAACGCAUCUUCUACACAUAAUAAACACGUGUAUACAGCGUGCCUUGAAGUGGGGGCAUUUGUAGACAUCGAAAUUUUGGUGAAAUAAAUGUUGAUCAAUAAUUAAAAUUUCAACGUUCACGUGUCACAUAAAUUUUACACAUAGCAGGUGACUCAACGAAAAAUCGAGAAUCAUCAAAAAAGUCAUCAAACAGGACACGUGUCAACACCUGGCAGAAACGAUUUAUUUCAUCUGAAUAAUACAUUCAAAAUUAGGCUUUGGAAAAUUCUAUAAAUAGAAGCCAUUUCAUUCAUUUUGGGGACCCCAAUUCAUAACCAAUUCACCUCACACCAAAACCUUGAAGCUUUGAAACUCCAAAGCCCCAAGCAAAUCCCGAAAGAUCAAGAAAGCUCUCUUCGUUCUUCGUCAACCCAACCUUCAAGAUCAAGCCCCAACGGCCCUUUGAAGGAACUUCCACCAAUUCAAGAUCAAGCCCCGACGGCCCUUGAAGAAAGCGUUCAUCGUUCAUCAUCCGUUCAUCCUAAGAUCAAGCCCCAAAGACCCUUUGGAUCAACAACAUCAACAAAUCCACAUAUCCAACCGUUCUUCAAGAUAAAGCCCAAAAGCCCUUGAAGAUCCAUUCAUCAACUGUUCAUCAAGAUCAAGCCCUAAAGGCCUUUGAAGAUCCGUUCAUCAACAAUUCUUCAAGAUCAAGCCCAAAAGCCUUGAAGAUCCGUUCAUCCAUCAACUUUCAAGAUCAAGCCCAAAGGCCCUUGAAGAAACUUCCCUGAACCUUCAAGAUUAAGCCCCAACGACCCUUGAAGAAAACUUUCAACCGUUCAUCCAAGAUCAAGCCUCGACAACCCUUGGAUCAAUCGCACAUCCACAAAUCAACACCUUACGGAGAUCGAAUCAGAUGAUCAAAUUUGAGAGAGAUUGUAACCCCUAAAUCAUUAAUACAAAUAUUAUUUUGUACAUGUGUUCUUGUCUAGUUCGUUUCAGGAAUUUCCGUAUUUACAGAUUCAACUUUAAAUUAUAAACAGUCUCAAGAGGUGUCCUCUAAGGAGGACGAAAAGAAGACUGAAUAGCAUUAGCAAUAGCUUCUCCUAAUUGAGCAAUAUCGGGGAAACUAGGCUCAACAGCGGGACGUGGAUCUCUACGAGGCGCCAUAGUUCUGACAGAAGACAUCAAAAUAAUUAGAAAAUUCACAAGAUAUGCAAGACUGCAAACCUAAGCUCUGAUGAUGGUGCUCGUCCUCUAGAUAGGUCUCACCUAUAUGCGAAAUAACUAAAUAAACGUUAAUUAAAGCAUACAACCACAAUUAGCUAAUAACUUCUCAUACAAUGCUCAAAUGGGGUGUUUGAAUAUACCAACGUGAUCUACUCAACACCACGAGCAUCCCCAUAUUUUUAGAAAAAUUUUCCGAGCAUCUACGCACCGGCCAAGGCACAGCCAGAUGCACGGCCCACGUUCAGGCACGUGCCUGACACACCAAACGGAUUCCCUAAUGGAGUUAGGGAAUAUUCCAUUAAAAACCAGCAUAUACCGUUAAAAUUACCUAACGACAUUAGCAUAUUCCGUCAAAUUUGAUAGAAUAUUCUCCUCCUUCCUCCUUGGUUUGCUGAAGUCCAGCACCGGUGCGGCUGCUAUCGCAGGAAACUUGAAAAAUCUUUAAAACUUCAUAUUUUAUUCGAUUCUCAACCAAAAUUCAUGAAAUUUGUCUCAAAAUGAAGCUUAGAGUGAGUAGAACACAUUCUUACCACUUUCAAGCCUUGAAAUCCAUGGAAACUCGCUAGAGAAACCUCGAUAAUCUGGCCAAAAUUUGAAACUCGUCAAACUAAGCUUCCCGAGGUCCAAAACACUCCAACUUUCUUCCCCGAUCGUCGUGAAGACGUCCUAAAACUCCCUAGAACCUUAAAACUCGAAGAAAAGUCCAUAAUCAUGACUGCAUGAACAAUGCUCAAAAUCGGGAUUCUUGGGUUCUCGGGUUUUCGAAGGAUUCAUGUUCUAAAAAUGGUACGGAUGUGUUCCUGAGCUCACAAGGAACACAAAGAUGGCUUCCAAAACCUCGAUCCAUGAUUAGUGAGCUAGGUUCGAGUUUGUCCGUACUGUUGUACGGAAAUGGAAGAAAAUCCGAGAGGGAGGAGAUAGAGAGUCAACGAGAUUGGUUGGUGUGUGUGUGUGUGUGGUCCAACUUUGGGCUACUAACAACAACAAACCAUUAACUUUAAGUUCCAAAAACUUAGGAACUUAACAUAUUGGUCCACCUCUAAAAGUACGUUACACGCAACACAUCUCAAUGUUCAAGAGCAAAAUAGACAUUUCACAUUGUUGAUAAAAAUAAUCUGAGACAGGCUGUGACAAAUAAUGUUUAAAAGUGGUCCAAUGUUGGUUGUGUACAAAUCAUGUGGUGGUUGGUUGGGGAAAAUAUUUAUAUUUCGACAAGUAAACCAUUUUUAAGGAAUUAUGUAAUCAUAAAUUUUUAAUUUAAAUGGAUGUGCGGGGCUGUUUUUUUUCUUUCUUUUUCGAUAGACAUGAGGCGUGUGGGGAUUCUGCUUCGCUAUUUAAAAUACGGUGUACUUGUAGUUCAUUUCAUUUAUUGGUGAAAUAUUUAGGUUUAAAUCUGGUUAACGAAUAAGCCAAAUUAAAUUAUUAUAGUUGAUCUAUUGUGUGAUUUGAACCUAUAUCAUCAUUUUUAGUGUAAAUUAUAGCGUUAUAAUUUUUUUUUUUAAAGUCAUGCUGUUUUAUAAUAGUUUGAAUAUCUGGAAUAAAUCGUUUACCUUUACCUUCAUCUUUAUGUACGUGGAAUUUUACGAGUUAUCUAUUACAAUCCUGGAAACCAAACGAGCUUAAGAAACAAAGAAUCGGAAUAUUUAAACUUAGGACCUUGAAUACAAAAGUGUAUAUUCUUAAUCACUUGAGCUACAAUUUCUUUGUUAGACUUUUGUAGUUUAGAAUGCAUAAUCUAAUAAAAGCUUUAUUUACAGAAGAAAAGAAAGAAAAUGAGGAGACAUGUUUGAUUUGUACUAAAUAAUAGGGGUGUGAUAUCUACACAUCACGUUUUAACUUCUCACACACCCUCUUAAUUUCUAACCGUUAGAUCGAAUGAAUUAAAAAAAAAAUCAAAAGACAAAAAUAAUAAUGCUUAAAGGUGGUCCAAUGUUAGUUGUGUAAAAAUCAUGUGGUGGUUGGUUGGGGAAAAUAUUUAUAUUUUCAAUUUAAAUGAACCUGUGGAGCUUUUUUUUUUUUUUUUUUUUUUCUUUGAUAUUUUGAUACAGACAUGAGACGUAUGGGGCUUGUCAAAAGAGUCAUUCUUCUUUGUUAUUAAUUCAGUCUAGUUGUAUUAUGUUUUAUUAAUAAAAUAUAUAGGUUUAAAUCUUGUUGACUAAUAGGGCCGAACCAAAUAAUUAUAUUUAAUUUAUUGUGUGAUAUUUUCAUCAUCUUUAGUGUAAAUCCUAUGGUUAUAAUUUUUUUUUAAGUCAUGCGGCUUUAUAACAGUUGAAUACAAUAUUGCAAUAAGUGCGAAUAGUGUCAAGAGACUAAUGUGAAACUUUUGUUGAAUUGAAGGACAUAAAUUGACCGAAUUUUUGUUCUAGGACAUAUUCUAAAGUCGGGAGCAAGUUCAGGGAUGAAUUCUCAUUUUCACCUUUUUAAAUCUUUCUUUGCUUAUAAAAACAGAUGAAUACUUGUAUUAUGUGGAAAGAUUUACAAUAUAUGAAGCUAUCGAUUGAAAUGUAAAUGUAAAUAUUGUUGAUGUGAUAUUCAAGUUGUUAGGAUUUAAUGUGAGUCAUUGAAUCAUAGUCUUUUUGGUAUCUUAGAUUAGAUUUCAUUAAGUCAUAACUCAUGACAAGUGUAAUCAUCUCAUAAGGUGACUUAAGAUUGAAUGGUUAGGAUGAUUUUGUAUGGUGUGAUAGAGUGAGAGAGUGUGGUGCUCCUCCUCUAACGAUAAUAUAUUAUUUGCAUGCAUAUUAAAUUAUUAGUCUCUGUGAUGAUAUGGUAGUUGGAAGAAAGUUCAUGUAGUAAAAGAACAAAAAACCAAAUCCCCUCCUUCUUUCCUGCAACCCGCACCUCCACCAGCGUUUUUUUAUCAGGAAAACUAAUGAAAAGGGCUUGAAAACUUUGAGUUUUAAUGAUAAGGACAAAAUAAAGGGUAAAGUGAAUAGUACCAGGAUUGACUUUUUAGUGUAAAAAUAUGGUUUUUCGUUAAAGUGAACAGUACCGGGAGCUUUUCGUUAAAGUUUCCUUUUUUAUCUUCCCCCAAUCAACUUUUUAACCACUCAAAGCUGUCCUAAAAUCCCUUUUCUUCUUCUCUCUCCUCAAAACCUUCUUCUUCCCUUCUUCCUCCCCCAAUCAAAUUUUAAACCCCUCAAAGCUAUCCUAAAAUCCCCUUGUCUUCUUCUCUCUGCUCAAAACCCAAAAAGCCUGCGUGCGCUUCCAACAUCCAGGUUGCAGACAGGUUCGCGGCGAUCUGCAGGCUGCUGGAGCAGUAGAUUUUGCAUUCGGCUUCCUCCGCUAACAAGUCUUAGAUUUGGCAACAGCUCUAGCACUACUCUCAGUUCCCCGAUUUCAAUAACUACCUUGCUUUCAAUCUCGCACGUGCCGAGGUAUGCUCCCCCUCCCUCCACUUCCCCCCAAUUGUGUAUUCAUUUUCAAUUUGAGUCAGUAGGGUUUGUGUUUUUGCUUUUCAAUUUUUAUUUUUUUAAGAGAGAGAGAGGGAUGGGGAAGAAAUUACAGGGGGAAGAAGAAAGGUGGGGGAAGGUUGGGGGAGACUGGUGGUGAAGGAAGGCUGGGGGAGGGUGUGGGUUGCAGGGAAGAAGGAAGGGAGGGUUGGGGGAGGAAGAAAGGAAGAAGAAGAAGUAGAGAGAGGAAAAAAAAAAAAAGAAAAAAAGCUGGAGGGUGCGGGUUGCAGGAAGAAGAAGGGGAUUUCAGGGUUUUUUUUUUAUUAUAAUUUUUUUUAAUAUAUAUUUUUUUAAUGAUAUGUGGCAUCUAGUCAUUGUCCACGUGGAACAACAUGAUCAGUUAACAGAAAACUUAACAGUUUGACUAACGGAUGAAUGAGACUGUCCCAAAAUUUACACUUUAGAUAUAACUCUAAAACGAAAAAAACUUGAUGUACCAAAUGUUGAAAACCACAAAACAUAAAGGUAGUAAAGGGAGUUACCCUAAAAAAAAUUAGAAUUUAAGUUCUUGUGGGGAAGUUUGUUAGUAUUUAUGCCAAAAAAUGAAACUUCCGUCAACUCUCCUUUAAUUAUUAACACGUGAGCUAUACAUAUUAGGCUAAAACAAAAUUCUCCAUCAAUUGUUAGCAUGUGGGGCUUAAAUAUGAGGCUAACUUUAUUUUUUAGUCUCAAAUGUGAGUUUCAUAUGCUAACAAUUAACGAAGAGUAGACGAAAUUUUUAAUUUUGAAUCUAAAUCUAAAUAGAUUUCACCACACGGACUUAAAUCCUCUUUUUUUUGUUGUUAUGAUUUAAUGUGAGUCAUUGGAUCAUAGUUCAUGUGGUCUCUUAGAUUAGAUUUCAUUAAGUCAUAACUCAUAACAAGUGUAAUCAUCUCAAAAGGUGACUUAAGAUUGAAUGGCUCUGAUGAUUUUGUAUGAUGUGAUAGAGCGACAAGUGUGAUGCCCCUCCUCUAACGGUAACAUAUUCUUUGCACGCAUUUGGUGUGAGGAUGAUAAUCCAAUGAGAAUUUCAGCUGUGAUACUUCUUUGCAAUUGUUGCAUCACUGCAAUUCCUCAGAAAUCAUUCCAUUGAAAUCGUACACUCAGAAUCAAUAUACUAACAAAUCUAUUACAAUGGAUUUCCGAAUUACUCGUUUCCCCAUGUUACGCCAACGCAUCUGUAGAACGGUAAGAACUUGGCCGGUGUUAAAGGUAGGCAUUGGUAGCGGUUGGUCAGCCCAAUCUGGUGAUAGUUCCACGAGAUGGCUGAAACUUACAUGAAACCUGUGUAUACCCCCAUCUGUAUCAUCACGAGAGGACGGAGAUAGAUGAGGAUAUAUUUUGUCUCUCCCGCAAGAGUCUGCUACACACUCAAGAAGCACCACGGUGUCAUGUUUUUGAUCCUAAUGAAGACCGCGCGGGUUCGGCGAACAUGCUCCCCGAGGCAUAACCAAAGAAUAAAAAUCAAAACAAUGGCCUGAGCAUGCUACUACUUAGGGGUGGAUUUUUUUGCCUAAUUGCCGUGCCAACCGAAUUACCAACCGUGCCAUACCGAUUUUGUGCCAAAUUUUUUUGUGCCAAUCGGUAAUGGUACGGUAUUCUACCGUACCGAAAUUUCUUGGUACGGUAUUGGUAAUGGAUAUCAUUACCACGGUAUUACCUUACCGUACCGAACAUAUAAUAUAAUAUAUCAUUUAUAAAUUAUAUAAUAUAUAAUUAUAUAACACAUAUUUAUAAUAUUCUAAUAAUUUGAUAUGAUGAAAGAGGCUCAACCUCGGUUCAAGAUUCCAAAUAGGAAGAAGAUUGCGGCCAAUGUGUGGGAUUUAUAUGUGUUGGAGAAGUCUAAAUUAUUUGAAGCAAUGCAUAAUCAAAAGGUAAGUAUCACAACCGAUACUUGGACAUCAGUACAAAACAUUAACUACAUGGUAGUUACCGCUCACUUCAUGGAUAAUGAAUGAAAGUUGCACAAACGGAUCAUAAACUUCAUAAAGAUCACGGGUCAUAAGGGAGAAGACAUUGGGAAAGUUCUAGAGGUGUGUUUGAACCAAUGGAGGAUAGAGAAGAUCUUUAGCAUGGGGGAAACUUCUAUUUGUUUUGGUUCAUAACUUCUAUUUGGAUUGUAAGCUUAAUUUUCAUCAUGAAUCUUGAUACAUCAUUUGAAUUAUUGUGUGUGUGAAUUGUAAAUGAUGAAUAAUAGAUGAAUUUAGGCUACAAUGUAUGAGAUACAGGUACAAUAAAAAAGUUUUGCCCUUGAAUUGGGUUAAAAAAGCAAGAACAAAUUUUGUCCCAAAACAAAGUGGCAAUUACCAUUGCCAUACAAUGCCAACCGAACAUUUGGCAAUACCGAACUUCGAUAUACCGAAAGUUUGGUAUGGUAAUGGUAAUAGAUUUUACCAAACCGAAAGUUUGGUAUGGUAAUUGGUACGAGGGUUUUGGUACGGUAACCGUACCGAACCCACCCCUACUACUACUUGUAUGCCCUUGUCCAAACAGGUACACAAUAUAUCAGGAUUCCCAAACCAAACGAGGUGCAUAUCGUAGCUGUGGCAUAUGCGUAUGCUCUCCAUGGGUAUUUGCUUUCUCUCAUCGCGUUGAACUCAGCGAUGAAGGUAGAAACAGUACUAAGGCAACCCAAAAAUCCAAAUUGUAUGCCUGUUGCAACAAUGUCGCAAGUCUUAGUAUUCACCUGCACAAACAAAUAGUUCUGCACGUCAGAUUUUCUAUUAAAAAGGAAAAAACCGUGGGCAUGGAUCAAGACAACGUAUGACAAAGGUAAUGCAGUUCGAAAAACAUUACAAUAGAGAAUAGUACGGUUCAAGAAUUCCCCAAGAAGCUUUUAAAACCUCGACGAGAAAAAAAAAAACCCAAAAUAACAAAUUUAGCAGUUUAUAAUAUGACGAAUAUAUGUGAACAGUAAGCUUGCCGGACACGAGACAAUAACACAUGAAAGGUAAUGGUGAGGAUGAAGUCAUGGAGUGGAUGCGGACAGAUAUCAUAUCAUAACAGCUUACUGCCUUCUUCACAGUAGACAGGGCUGCCAUUACACAAGCUGCAGAAACAUUGGCAAUUAAAGUACCAAAUGGAACCCAUUUCAACAACCCGGUCUUUCCUAAUCCACAUCCAUUAAGCCGGGCUAAGAACCACCGGAUCCACACACCAAAAGGUCCAACUAUGCAACCCAACCAUAGUUGCGCCUCGCUGCUGCUACUGUUAAAUUCCUCUCUCAACAGUACUCCACCUAUGCUCCACAGAGAACUUAGCAUCAGCAACAACACUACUAAAGCUACCAAGUGACGCUUGUAGCUGUCAACCCUCCACCUCCUUCUAGAGCUGGUAAUACCACAGACUGAGCUUCUCUCAAGAAUCUGCCUAAAACCCUUUGCUGUCUCUACCCCAAAAAUGAUGGAGUAGGCCGCAAGAAACAAACCUGACAUCCGUCACAUAAAAGAGGAUCUCAUAUUAGUCCAGUGAUUUGAGUAACAUUGAUUGAAAUGAAAUUUAAAUAUCCUGUUUGCCAAAGCGAUCCACAUGUCUACUGCAGCAAUUCUUUAGAAUAUGACAUCUUACCUAUCAAAAAGCCGAGCAGAGCAAAAACCCAAUGUCCUUCAACACUGAGUUCAAGCAUUUUCUGGUUCCAACCACUAAAAGUUGUAAGGCUUCCCAAGUAACCAGUUGUUAAUCCGAUGACCAAAUAAUCUGACACAUAGGAUAUAUCUCUUUGAAAACAACACCCAAACACCCCAUCAAGAAAGAGCCAACCUACAAAAAUGCAUUAGAAACAAAAAUUUGAGUUGGAACAUCAUCCAGCAUUUUCGGCAUCACAACCAUUGAGAACUAUGACAUGAAAAAAAAAAAAGAUGAUGGGAAAAAAGUAUGGAAAGAAAGGUGUUAAGAAACUUGAUAAUACUUCGGCGAUCAUCGUACUGUGUGCAUCACAAGUCCUUCCUAAUACUCAUAAGUAACAGCUUUACAGAAAACAUGUUUAUUAACACAACACUACCGAAUAAAGGGCAUAAUACAUUUGUGUGUGUGUGUGUAUGAUCGUGUGCAUGAGAGAGAGAGAGACCAUAUUAGAAGGAAGAUCAAGGUAGAGAAUGGUUUUGUCGCUUGUUACACCAACAACUCCAGGGCCAAACAAUUUUUGCAGAAGAUAUCUCGUUAAGACCUGCAUACUGUAGCAUGUCAAAUAAUCUAUUUAAUAUCUAGGUUUCCAGAUUUGAAGAAAGAUCUAAGAAGAUGUAUUACAGUGACAUAUUCAAUUUUUUCCAAGACAAACAGAAAUAUGAACAUGCCAGUGCAUCAUCAAACAUUUUUGUGAACAAAACUUAUGUAAUUUUAGGGGGUACAAUAGACCGGAUAC